rnacentral:lncRNA from 1 species
GGAUGCGAUCAUACCAGCACUAAUGCACCGGAUCCCAUCAGAACUCCGCAGUCAAGCGUGCUUGGGCGAGAGUAGUACUAGGAUGGGUGACCUCCCGGGAAGUCCUCGUGUUGCAUCCCUCUUUUAUGUUUAACCUUUUUUUUUUUGGUUAAAACUUGAUGACUCCAUAACUUUUAGACCGUGAGGCCAAACUUGGCAUGUGAUACCUUUUCGGAAAGCCCAAAGACAGCCCUCCGACGAAAGAAGCAGGACAAUGGAACUUUUCCAUUGACUUUUUGUCGACCCCAAAUUUUGACCUUUAAGUACUUUUUCGGGCAUUUUCGUGAUUUGGGCUAUAUUACGGACCCAAAAUUACUUGUUCAAGCAUUGUUUUCGAAUUUUUUCAUGCAUCAAAGCUCGUUAAGACUAGAUGGGGGAUCCCUACAUAGCGGGUGGGACCCACGGCGAAUGGUUCAUCAAGUCUUCAAAAAAGAAUAUAUACGAUUGCAUUGCAUAUACUAACGGAUGCGAUCAUACCAGCACUAAUGCACCGGAUCCCAUCAGAACUCCGCUUUUAAGCGUGCUUGGGCGAGAGUAGUACUAGGAUGGGUGACCUCCCGGGAAGUCCUCGUGUUGCAUCCCUCUUUUAUGUUUAACCUUUUUUUUUUUGGUUAAAAUUUUAUGACUCCAUAACUUUUAGACCGUGAGGCCAAACUUGGCAUGUGAUACCUUUUCGGAAAGCCCAAAGACAGCCCUCCGACGAAAGAAGCAGGACAAUGGAACUUCUCCAUUGACGUUUUGUCGACCCCAAAUUUUGACCUUUAAGUACUUUUUCGGGCAUUUUCGUGAUUUGGGCUAUAUUACGGACCCAAAAUUACUUGUUCAAGCAUUGUUUUCGAAUUUUUUCAUGCAUCAAAGCUCGUUAAGACUAGAUGGGGUAUCCCUACAUAGCGGGUGGGACCCACGGCGAAUGGUUCAUCAAGUCUUCAAAAAAGAAUAUAUACGAUUGCAUUGCAUAUACUAACGGAUGCGAUCAUACCAGCACUAAUGCACCGGAUCCCAUCAGAACUCCGCAGUUAAGCGUGCUUGGGCGAGAGUAGUACUAGGAUGGGUGACCUCCCGGGAAGUCCUCGUGUUGCAUCCCUCUUUUAUGUUUAACCUUUUUUUUUUUGGUUAAAACUUUAUGACUCCAUAACUUUUAGACCGUGAGGCCAAACUUGGCAUGUGAUACCUUUUCGGAAAGCCCAAAGACAGCCCUCCGACGAAAGAAGCAGGACAAUGGAAGAUCUCCAUUGACGUUUUGUCGACCCCAAAUUUUGACCUUUAAGUACUUUUUCGGGCAUUUUCGUGAUUUGGGCUAUAUUACGGACCCAAAAUUACUUGUUCAAGCAUUGUUUUCGAAUUUUUUCAUGCAUCAAAGCUCGUUAAGACUAGAUGGGGGAUCCCUACAUAGCGGGUGGGACCCACGGCGAAUGGUUCAUCAAGUCUUCAAAAAAGAAUAUAUACGAUUGCAUUGCAUAUACUAACGGAUGCGAUCAUACCAGCACUAAUGCACCGGAUCCCAUCAGAACUCCGCAGUUAAGCGUGCUUGGGCGAGAGUAGUACUAGGAUGGGUGACCUCCCGGGAAGUCCUCGUGUUGCAUCCCUCUUUUAUGUUUAACCUUUUUUUUUUUGGUUAAAACUUUAUGACUCCAUAACUUUUAGACCGUGAGGCCAAACUUGGCAUGUGAUACCUUUUCGGAAAGCCCAAAGACAGCCCUCCGACGAAAGAAGCAGGACAAUGGAACUUCUCCAUUGACGUUUUGUCGACCCCAAAUUUUGACCUUUAAGUACUUUUUCGGGCAUUUUCGUGAUUUGGGCUAUAUUACGGACCCAAAAUUACUUGUUCAAGCAUUGUUUUCGAAUUUUUUCAUGCAUCAAAGCUCGUUAAGACUAGAUGGGGGAUCCCUACAUAGCGGGGUGGGACCCACGGCGAAUGGUUCAUCAUGUCUUCAAAAAAGAAUAUAUACGAUUGCAUUGCAUAUACUAACGGGAGCGAUUAUACCAGCACUAAUGCACCGGAUCCCAUCAGAACUCCGCAGUCAAGCGUGCUUGGGCGAGAGUAGUACUAGGAUGGGUGACCUCCCGGGAAGUCCUCGUGUUGCAUCCCUCUUUUAUGUUUAACCUUUUUUUUUUUGGUUAAAACUUUAUGACUCCAUAACUUUUAUACCGUGAGGCCAAACUUGGCAUGUGAUACCUUUUCGGAAAGCCCAAAGACAGCCCUCCGACGAAAGAAGCAGGACAAUGGAACUUUUCCAUUGACUUUUUGUCGACCCCAAAUUUUGACCUUUAAGUAUUUUUUCGGGCAUUUUCGUGAUUUGGGCUAUAUUACGGACCCAAAAUUACUUGUUCAAGCAUUGUUUUCGAAUUUUUUCAUGCAUCAAAGCUCGUUAAGACUAGAUGGUGUAUCCCUACAUAGCGGGUGGGACCCACGGCGAAUGGUUCAUCAAGUCUUCAAAAAAGAAUAUAUACGAUUGCAUUGCAUAUACUAACGGAUGCGAUCAUGCCAGCACUAAUGCACCGGAUCCCAUCAGAACUCCGCAGUCAAGCGUGCUUGGGCGAGAGUAGUACUAGGAUGGGUGACCUCCCGGGAAGUCCUCGUGUUGCAUCCCUCUUUUAUGUUUAACCUUUUUUUUUUUGGUUAAAACUUUAUGACUCCAUAACUUUUAUACCGUGAGGCCAAACUUGGCAUGUGAUACCUUUUCGGAAAGCCCAAAGACAGCCCUCCGACGAAAGAAGCAGGACAAUGGAACUUUUCCAUUGACUUUUUGUCGACCCCAAAUUUUGACCUUUAAGUAUUUUUUCGGGCAUUUUCGUGAUUUGGGCUAUAUUACGGACCCAAAAUUACUUGUUCAAGCAUUGUUUUCGAAUUUUUUCAUGCAUCAAAGCUCGUUAAGACUAGAUGGUGUAUCCCUACAUAGCGGGUGGGACCCACGGCGAAUGGUUCAUCAAGUCUUCAAAAAAGAAUAUAUACGAUUGCAUUGCAUAUACUAACGGAUGCGAUCAUGCCAGCACUAAUGCACCGGAUCCCAUCAGAACUCCGCAGUCAAGCGUGCUUGGGCGAGAGUAGUACUAGGAUGGGUGACCUCCCGGGAAGUCCUCGUGUUGCAUCCCUCUUUUAUGUUUAACCUUUUUUUUUUUUGGGGUAAAACUUUAUGACUCCAUAACUUUUAUACCGUGAGGCCAAACUUGGCAUGUGAUACCUUUUCGGAAAGGGCAAAGACAGCCCUCCGACGAAAGAAGCAGGACAAUGGAACUUUUCCAUUGACUUUUUGACGACCCCAAAUUUUGACCUUUAAGUACUUUUUCGGGCAUUUUCGUGAUUUGGGCUAUAUUACGGACCCCAAAUUACUUGUUCAAGCAUUGUUUUCGAAUUUUUUCAUGCAUCAAAGCUCGUUAAGACUAGAUGGGGUAUCCCUACAUAGCGGGUGGGACCCACGGCGAAUGGUUCAUCAAGUCUUCAAAAAAGAAUAUAUACGAUUGCAUUGCAUAUACUAACGGAUGCGAUCAUACCAGCACUAAUGCAUCGGAUCCCAUCAGAACUCCGUAGUUAAGCGUGCUUGGGCGAGAGUAGUACUAGGAUGGGUGACCUCCCGGGAAGUCCUCGUGUUGCAUCCCUCUUUUAUGUUUAACCUUUUUUUUUUUGGUUAAAACUUUAUGACUCCAUAACUUUUAUACCGUGAGGCCAAACUUGGCAUGUGAUACCUUUUCGGAAAGGCCAAAGACAGCCCUCCGACGAAAGAAGCAGGACAAUGGAACUUUUCCAUUGACUUUUUGUCGACCCCAAAUUUUGACCUUUAAGUAUUUUUUCGGGCAUUUUCGUGAUUUGGGCUAUAUUACGGACCCAAAAUUACUUGUUCAAGCAUUGUUUUCGAAUUUUUUCAUGCAUCAAAGCUCGUUAAGACUAGAUGGUGUAUCCCUACAUAGCGGGUGGGACCCACGGCGAAUGGUUCAUCAAGUCUUCAAAAAAGAAUAUAUACGAUUGCAUUGCAUAUACUAACUGAUGCGAUCAUACUAGCACUAAUGCACCGGAUCCCAUCAGAACUCCGCAGUUAAGCGUGCUUGGGCGAGAGUAGUAUUAGGAUGGGUGACCUCCCGGGAAGUCCUCGUGUUGCAUCCCUCUUUUAUGUAGGUUUCAUAAUCCAAUGGAUGACGUGCUAUUACUAUGGUUCUUGUAGUUGAUCGAGAGAGUUGAAAAUCUCCUAUAUCUCUCUCUUUUGCCUCACCUUAGAACUAAAUUUGUCUCAAACUAGGCUGCAUACUUCUUCUUUUUCUUCUUUCAUUUUUUUUUUGCAAACCAGGUUGCAUGCUAUUUGUACUUUCUUCGUCAAUGUUUAGACAAACUCUCAUUAACACAAUGGAGUUUACGUCUUAGAGACUUUCCUAUACUUGUGAUGUUCGUUAAUUUUUAUGUUCAGGUGAUUUCGUUUAGUGCACUUAAACACAUUAUCCAAAUGGACCACCUAGAUGUAUUUGUCAAACUCAUCCGAAAAACAUCCAAAAAUGUGUUAGUUUAAAUGGUACAGUCAGAUGGAGAUAAUUCUGCAAAAAUUUGCAAAUGUCCAAAUUAUUCUCAAUUACAAUAUAUAUAAAAUAUUGUUAAUUUCUCAUUUUAUAUUUAAAAAUUACAUAUUUCCACUAACUUUUUUUUAAUAUCGUAAAUAACAAAUUAUCAUUUUCUGUCAAAAUUGCAAACUUACGUUUUUUAUGAAAAUUAAAAUUACUUUUUUCUCAUCAUUGUUUUUGCCUAAUUAUGAUUUUGCGGAAAAUUUGCAAAAUAACAUUUCAAAAAAAAAACAACGAUUUUGGCGGAAAAAUUACCAAAUUGAUUUCUGUCAAGACCAGAAAAAUCUGAGAAUUGAGUUUUUUGUCAAAACCCCUAAAAUCGUAAUUUUUGCCAAAACCGUAAGAUAGUAAUUUCCUGCCAAAACUAUACAAUCACGAUUUUUGCGGAAAAAUUACGGAAUUGUGUUUCCCGCCAAAAUUAAAACAAUCAAAGAAUUACAUUCUUUUUACCAAAACCGUAACAUCAUGUUUUCUUACCAAAACUGCAAUAUCAUAUUUUCCGCCAUAACCGGAAAAUCAUACUUUCCAUUAAAUCAUGUUUUCUGUAAAAACCACAAAAUCACAUUUUUUGGCAAAACCCAAAAAAUGAAUUUAUAUAUUUAAAAUAAUAAAAUGAAAAUUAUUUAGUUGUAAAUAUAUUUAGAGCAAGAAUUAAAUUAAUAUAGCUAAGACUAAGAUUACAAAUAUAAAUAGAUUAAAGUAUGGAUAUUUUAGUAAUUUUCUUGUUAAAGUCAUCUAGAUGGAGAUGAAGAUUUAUAUAAAUUAAGCAAACAAACAAAAAUUUAUUGAGAUGAUCCAUCCAAAUGAAUAUCCAAAAAUUAAAACGAACAACAUUCAGAUGAAGCAUUUAGAUGGAACAUUUAGAUAGAUCAUUUGGAUGGAAAUGCCAGAUGAUGAAACAAACAAGGCUUCCGUCUCUUAAAAUAUCGUAAGACAUAUAACAUGGUGACACAUUCAGCAUCUUGUAUGAUAUCCCUCAAGCAAAGGAGUCAUCUAAAUUUAGCAACUAAAAGAACAAUAUAACAAGAUGAGAAACUUAAGAAGCAAAACAUUACGAUCUGAAUUUAUAUGAUCUAAUGCGUGCUUUGAUUAAGAGACUCGAUAAAGGUUACUUAAGACAUUUAACUGCAUAGAGAGUAAGAAACCCGUACGUGUGUCAUCCAUCAUUCAGUCUUUUUAGUCGAAGCUCUCGCCUUGGCGCAGUAGUCGAACAAGCUCCCGUCAAAGCAUCUCCUGACCGCUUCUUUCGAUAAGUGACCAUUCUCGUCUUUGGCAAGGAAGUAGAGUACUCCCCACUCCAUUUUACUCGCUGCCCUGUUUUUAUUUUCACACCAUUAAGAGAGAGACAAAAAAAGGCCAUACGAAAGAGAGACAAAGAGGGGAUUGACCAGCCAAAGAAAUCGAAUGCGUUGCGGUUAGCUUCCGUCAUUUGCCACAGCUCGUAACAGAGUUAGCUUGUCAGGCACUGUACGGGCAUACUUACUAAACAUGUUCUCAAGAUUUGCAGGAAUGUACCUGAAAAUUUUGAUAUUUAUAACCACAUAUUCAAUAAAUAUCAUCAUAGAGAAAUGUUAACGUAACUGAGAGACAAACCUUCCUUCUGUGUCGUAAGUUGAAGUGUCGCUUCCAUGUUUGGCUCUAUGGAUGUUCUUGAUGUAAAUCGGGAAGGUAGGAGAAGGCAUCCAAGUCUAGUUUUAAAAAAAGAAGACAUCUUGAGGAGAACCAAAAGAUAUAAAGGACACUAACGUAACACAACAUCAUAAUUGAGAUGUUCAUGAGAAAUGAACUUACAGGCAAUGUAGCAUAACUCAUUGUAAGAUGCACAAUGAUUGUUAGAAAGAUACUAGAAACCAAGUUGAAACCAAGUGCUCUAAAUCCUGAGCAAUCCAAAAGAGACUAUAUAAGGAAGUCAUCAUUUUUUAUUUUUCAUUAAUUAAUUGUUAUAAAGAUGAUUUUCAUAGAUACCUCUAAAUGUCUCUGAUGGGUAGAUGAUACCAUCACCAUCCUGGUCAAAGAAAGCAAUGUGUUGCUGAAGAACCGACAUGUCCCGGUGCUUGUGUCCUCUUGUCCCGUUAACGUUUUCCAUGUCUGGUGCAACCAUUGCUCGAGGCACAUCUAUUUUGAUCAAACACCAAACAACCUAGUCAAAACUAAACGCAACGUUUAAUUAAAAAAAAAAUGCAAUUUACAAAUUACAAUUGUGUUCACAAUAAAGGCACCACUAACAAAAUGAUAAAACCAUUUCAAACCACUAAAGAGAAAUUAUGGAUAUUGUUUUCAACAAAACUUUGUAUUUGUGUAGUAGCCAAACAAAAACAUUUCAUAGCUUGUGAAUCAAGUUAAUAAUUUUGAGAAAAUCUUGAAAGAGAGAGAGAUUCGGACAAAAGUCAUAAAUAUGAUUCUAAAUUUGGAAACAUAUACAAAAACUGUUAGAAAAAGACCAAGAUGAAAAGAGAGAGAGAGUGUAUGAACAUGGUUUAGGGAGACGAUCAUCGAGAUCAGUACGGACUCUCCUCUCCGCUGUGACAGGGGCUUUCUCAGCCACCGUAGCAAUCGAAUCUGCUCUUGCGUGAUCUGUCGACAUUUUGUUUUUCCUUGUUGCGUAAUUGUGGAUAAUGGAGAGAGAUUUUUCUUUUAUAAAGAGAUGUGAGAGAGUGUUCUUAACUGAUUCCAAAGAAGUCGCGGGAGUUGCUUCGCCAUUGAACAAGAACUCUUUUGUUGACACGUGUUCCUAUGACUAAGGAUUUUUGCUUCUUUUUUUAACAUCGCUUUUUAAAUAAGAGUUAGGCUAUAAAUAGAUGCUGUUUUUAGUUCAGUUUUUGGAUUUGAUGUUUAGUUUUUGGAUUGUAGAUUUUUGUUUAAAUUUUGCUAUUAGAUUUUUGUUUUACGAAUACCAAAAAAUGCUUUUUGGUUUUUGAGAAAAAAUAACAUAGAUGGAUUCCUAAUAAGUUUUUUUCUUUGUAGAAAAUCUAAAGUCAGUUGGUCUUGAAUCCAAGUUCGAUGGGUGUUUAAACUUACGUGUUACCAGCAUGCCACAACAAUUUAUUCAUUUCCUAGUAAGUUGUUAUUUGAUUUAAUAUAUCUUACACACACUAGUUAAUUUAGUAAUUUUGAAACAAAUAACUAGUAUCUUCUAUUCCAUCUGCACAAGAGAGACUCAUUAAAUUUUGGACUAAGACUUGUUCAUAACUUUUUGAUACUAUGUAGAGGGAAACAAAGCUUACUCUAUCAUGUAUGAUAUGACUUCUUGAUGCUAGCUUCAUCUCCCCUAUCCAAUCUUUUCAUGGAUGAUUCUGAUAGUAGGCUUUUAAUCAAUUAUCCUAGAACAAUAUCCUGUCGUUGUAAUAUUUUAGGUGUCAAUCCAAAUGGGUGUGAUGCGAACAGAUGAGAUAUGAUCAGAAGUUGCUAAGUCAAACCACACAAAAUUUGGUUAUUUUUCGAACAGUCCUAGUGUUUGAUGCAGAUAACAGUAAAAAGUCACAAAAAUGACUGAUAUACUCGGCUGCAUAGUCGACUGCCAGAAGGGACCUUGUGAACGAGUACAAACGGCUACCAUAGAGUAAAAUUGCAGAAAAUGGACCUGUUUACUCUAUCACAUAGACUCACUACUAAUAGCAGAGUGUGAUCGAGUAGAAUUGUUGAAAACAUGAAAUAACUAAAAUUCAAUAGCAAGUGAAUGAAGCAGGUAAGUAAACAGAGAAAUCAAUUAGGUGAGAAAUUUCUAAGGAUGGGAUAACUUAAUAUUGUAGUUGUAAUACCCCUGACGAUGACUGGCAAUCAGACGGAAGGUCGCAAACGUAGAAGUACGAUCGUGACUUUGAAAUUUUUUCGUAAAGUGAUCACCCAAAGUGAUCAUAGAUUAAAGGAGGCUUAUCGAAGAAGUUCAAGAGCAACCGGGAUUGAGUUGAGAUUUAUCGGCUAUUUCUAAGAGUCAAGAAGUUAAGGAUCGGCUAUUACCGGCAUUAGACAGUUAGGCUAUAGAGGACAUUGGUAGUUCAAUCAUGAGGACAUGAUCGAACAAAAUCAAUAAUGACGGCAAUGUGGUUGACAUGCUAUCGACGAAGUUAUUGUUCAUUUGAUCGAAGGACCCGAUCAAACCAUCAAUGAUAAAAAUUAAGGUUUUAAAAAGGGAUUUUAUUUUAGGCAAUUUGGUCGAGGGAAAGAUCAAGGCUACCAAAGAAAAAAUAAAGGAAGUACUGAAGACCAGUUUUUAUUGGAGAAAACUAGAUUUUUGCCGAGAAAAAUAUUUUUGGACUGGAACAAGCUAUUGGUGAUCAAGCGGAGUGGUAAUCAAAAUUAUCAAGGUUUAUUGGAGUGGUUAAAUAGAGUAAGUGGCCGAGGACAUGCCACAUUACUUAAAUUUUUGGCUGUAUAGUCGUUUGCGGGAUUUUGCGGCCAUGUCGUGGAGGUGCUUGUGGUGGAAGGAGCUCCGUCGCAAGCUUGGCGUGUGUUGGCACACGUUUAGGAUAAGGAUAGGAUCAAGAGUGGACAAAGACGAGUUUAGAUAAGGGUAAGCUUGAAAUCAGAUAAGGAUAAGGUUUUAGAUAAUGUUUAUCCGCCACCUCGUGCUUCCGUUGCUUGCUCCCCACGUUUUCCCACCCCUAUAAAUCGCUCAGCUCGCCAUUUGCUCUCUAAACCACGAAAAAUCACAUUUAGACUAGUUAGGUUGUGAAGCUUCUCGGAGAAGCCGUGGUCGAGAGUUGAGUUAGUCAGAUAAUAGGUAAGUAGUUCCGCCCUUAGUCUUUAUUCUCAUUAGAAUAUUUUUCUAAGUUUUAUUUUUUGUCGGCGGCUUAGAUCCAUCAUUUGUAACGCACCCAGACCGUACUAGAACUCGGCCAGUCCGAUACGGCCCGGAGACGCCACAAUGGAAAUGAGUUCUCAUUAAGUAGCCGAGGUUCAAGAACACAUCCCUACCCUUAGCCCACUCAAGAUCUCCAAUUUUCACACCUAGGAUCCAUUUAGGCUUGCCAACCCUCACUUCACCCAAAUGUUGUGUCGACUCGGACUAAGUCUUAUCAGUUUGAAACCCGUACAAUAUAAAAUAAAUACCGAUUUAAAAACUAAAGAGUGAUAAAAAUACAAGGGGGGAUNCUNNUAGCAUCAAUCCUGGCUGGACAGAACAUNAGUACCUNNCCUAAAACAAAACUUUUUUUUCCUUNNNNNNNNNNNNNNNNNNNNNNNNNNNNNNNNNNNNNNNNNNNNNNNNNNNNNNNNNNNNNNNNNNNNNNNNNNNNNNNNNNNNNNNNNNNNNNNNNNNNNNNNNNNNNNNNNNNNNNNNNNNNNNNNNNNNNNNNNNNNNNNNNNNNNNNNNNNNNNNNNNNNNNNNNNNNNNNNNNNNNNNNNNNNNNNNNNNNNNNNNNNNNNNNNNNNNNNNNNNNNNNNNNNNNNNNNNNNNNNNNNNNNNNNNNNNNNNNNNNNNNNNNNNNNNNNNNNNNNNNNNNNNNNNNNNNNNNNNNNNNNNNNNNNNNNACCCUUGUUACUGAAGCCUUUCUGUAAGGGACCAUCUUUGUCUCUUGACCUUUUACCUUAGCCAAAUGAGUUCUUUGAUGAUGCAUUGCUUGAUUCACGUUCCAGAACUAAUGAAUGUUAAAGGGAUUGGUAGAUUUGAAAACUUGUGUAGGUCGAGCAUAUGAGUCGGAUUGAUUGAUUGAUGAGGCAUGGCUAACGUUUUUAAGUAGAAUUUGAUCUUGCAGCUUAGAACUUUCAACUUGGACAUUGAUUUCAUCUGGUUUAUCUAGUGCUUUGGCUCUGAGUCCCCGCUUUCAAACCUCACCUCCAGCUUGUUCUUGAUUGUUUGCUUGAGGGCAAGCAAAGACUAAGUUUGGGGGAGUUGAUAAGUGUGUAUUUUGCAUGUUUUGAGCAUCCAUUUGUCAUCACUUUAGCAUCAUAUCAUCACUGUUUUAUACCAUUUCACAUCAUUUGUCAUCACUUUGCAUGUUAAGGAUAGUUUUGCAUGCAUGUUGCAUAUUUGCGUUGAUUUUCUGUUUUCUGCAUGUUCAUUUAGGACUGCUAGAACACACCAAAACCUGUUAUGCUUGGCUUGACUUAGUGACUUCUGAUCACAUCUUGAUUGUUAGCAUCACACCCAUUUGGAUUGACAACCUAAAAUACUACAACGACAUGAUUGGUGUUAUAGGAUAAUUGACCAAAAAAAACCUACUAUCAGUUUGCAGGAAGAGAAAUUGGGAAGACCGUUCCAUCUUGGUGAGGUGUUCAUCCAGACACACACUAAGUCGGAUGGCACUUAUGUUGAUCGGAAGGCGGAGAAGAUUGCUCAAACUUAUGGGCAGAAUGUGAGAUCAAAGCUGUCUGAACUGGAGGCUGCAGCUUCUACUGUCUCUAAUGGCACUUCACGACCUUGGGAUCUCACAGUAGAUGAGUAUAAAGCCAUCUUUCUCGAGGUAAGAUGUUGUAGUCUAAUUCAGAGUCUUAGAGUCCAUUGAUGCAUUCAUUCACUAAUUGUCUUCCUCUCUAUUUCUUGCAGUCCACAGAUAGGGAUUCAAGAGGCAAUCCUUAUGGACUUGGAUAUCUUAAAGACACUCUAGGCAAUGCCAACCGCUAACUCCCCGGAGACUCAGCAUCCUUUCAAGAUUUAGAAGAACGGCUGCAAGAAGCUCAACGGAAAAUUGAAGAGCAGGCUGCGUAUAAUGAGAAGCAGGAUGCUGAGAUUGCAGCCCGAGAAGCUGAGUCAGCCCGAGUCACAGCUGAGCAAAAGGACAAGCUCAAACACUUGUCCUUAGUCGAGAAGUAUCUCCGCCAAAUCGAUCCGCAAUUCUUGGACUUCAUGGCCACUCACUCUUCCACAUCCACUGAGCGUCUCCCAAAUACUCCACCUACUGCUCCAUAGAUUUAAGAACCAAACACUAUACUUGAACUUAUGUUUAUUUGAAUAAAGUAGUUUGUUUAAGAAUAAGAUACUUGUAUGUGUAUUUGAACUUAAUUUUCAAUAUAUGUUUAUCUUUUCAUGAUUUAUAGCAUUUCGAGUAACAAACCACAACAAACCAUAACACUAAUCAACAAACAAGAAACCCAACAAUCGAUGACCAAAUUCUUAUUCGGAUAAAACCAAAAGUCGCAAAAUAGUCGUAAAAACGUCGCAAAUUAAACGUAUAGUAGUCGUAAAAUAGUCACCCAAAUUACCGACUAUUUUAAGACAAACCAAAAUAAUCAUAACCUAAUCAUCAAACAGACGUCCAUUAGUCGUAUAAAUUUAUACGACUAUUAUAUGACUAAGUAUAUCAUAUCAUUGGUAUUUUACAUUUACUCGUUUAAUAGUCGGCAAAUUGUCGUAAAAUAUGUUACGACUAUUUUGCGAUUACUUGAAAGACACCCAGGGUUCAUUGAAUUUAAUCGGAACAUAGUCAUAACAUUGUCGGAAGAAUUUAACGACUAUUGGACGACGAUAUGUUUCACACGCUCUGUACAGUGUUAUUAAUCGUGAAAUUGUCGCCAAAUAGUCGCCAUUAUAAUACGACUACUCAACGACUAAUGUAUAUUGUAUGGUCUGUUGUCAUAAAUAAGUCGUAAAUCAACGACUAAUUGACGACAGCUGGACUUAACGACUAUGGUAUAACGACUACUGUCAUUAGUCGCGGACUAGUCGUAGAUUCAGAAUUAACGACUACUAAGUGACUACUUUGUAAGUCGUUGAUUGCCUGUUUUCUUGUAGUGGUUCUAAUGUGAAUCUGAUGCCUCGUUCAGUUGCUAUGCGUCUUGGGUAUUCCAGUCUUGAGCCUACUUUUAUCACUCUUGUGUUGGCAGAUCGUUCUACUCGAAUUCCAUAUGCAAUUCUUAUUGAUGUUCCCGUGAUGAUUGGAAAGAGCAUGAUUCCUACAGACUUUGUAGUCUUGCCUUAUGAGAAGGAACCUAAGGAUCCAUUAAUCUUUGGGAGAUCCUUCGUUCACAUAGUUGGAGCAAUGAUAGAUGUUCGACAAGGGAGGAUAGGGCUGAAUGUUGGCGAUCUCACUAUGCAGUUCGAUAUGAACACUUUGGUCAAGAAGGGAAAACAUUCUCGAUAGAUUCUUUCACUUCAUCAGCUUCAGAUAGUAUUUCAGAGAAGAAAUUAGAAGACCCACUAGAGCGAGUUUUGGUCUCUUCCAUAGAGGAUAGUGCAGAUUUGGACAGUGAAACUUCUACAUAUACUAAGCUGCUAGAUGAGACCGAACAUGUAAUGCAACUUACAGUUGAAGAAGCUCUUCCAUCUGUGACUCCAACGCCGACUAAUAAUUGAGAUUGGGAUCCAGCAAAGGCUCCUAAAAUCGAAUUGAAACCACUUCCUGUAGGGCUAAACUACUUAUCAUGUUAUUAUGAAUGCUUCUCUUAAUCCCGCAGAGCUCACCUUAUUGCUAAGCAAGCUGCGAAAUCAUCGCAAAGCUCUUGGCUAUUCUCUUGAUGACAUUGCAGGUAUAUCUCCAGAUGUAUGCAUGCAUACGAUCCACCUUGAGGAUGAGUCUAAGUCUUCAGUUGAACAUCAGAGAAGGCUGAAUCCGAAUAUGAAAGAAGUGGUUAAGAAAGAGAUUAUGAAACUGUUGGAAGCAGGGAUUAUCUAUCUGAUUUCAGAUAGCAGUUGGGUUAGUCCAGUUCAUGUGGUUCCUAAGAAGGGAGGUGUUACAGUAGUCAAGAAUGAGAAAGAGGAGUUGAUUCCUACUCGGACAAUCACAGGACAUCGGAUGUGCAUCUAUUACAGAAAGCUGAAUGCUGCUACCAGGAAAGACCAUUUCCCCUUACCAUUUAUCGAUCAGAUGUUGGAGAGGUUAGCAAAUCAUAAGUACUAUUGCUUCCUUGAUGGAUACUCAGGAUUCUUUCAGAUCCCGAUUCAUCCAGAUGACAAGGAGAAAACGACUUUCACCUGCCCCUAUGGUACAUUUGCUUAUCGGAGAAUGCCCUUCGAUCUUUGUAAUGCUCCUACGACAUUUUAGAGAGGUAUGAUGUCUAUCUUCACAGAGAUGAUUGAGGAUAUCAUGGAGGUUUUCAUGGAUGAUUUUUCAGUUUGUGGAUCAUCGUUUGAGGAUUGUAGAGAAUCUCUGCAAAGUGUUAGCGAGAUGUGAGGAGAAACUUACCCGCAAACCUUUUGAUUAUGCCCAUGAGGAAGUUUGAAGUAAUUCUAGGAAUGGAUUGGUUAUCUGGAUACCAUGCCCGAAUAGACUGUGCUAAGAGUCGAGUAGUAUUCGAAUUAGGAAACCAAACCAUGUUAGUUUAUUCCGGAGUGAGUCCGAGUGCCGGAGCGGUUUCUGAAUCAGCCCUUCGUGUUGAGAAUAUGCUAGUCCAGGAGGAAGCAUAUUUAGUAACCCUUACCGCGAUUAGUGGAGAAGACGAUGAGGAGUUGAAAGUGGAAGACAUCUCAGCAGUAGGGGAGUUUGCAGAUGUGUUUAAGGCUUUAGAUGGCUUGCUGCCGCCCCGGAGCAACCCUUUCGCCAUCAACCUUGAGGUCAGAGCUAUUCCAAUUGCCAAGUCUCCUUACCGAAUCGCGCCUGUCGAGUUAGAAGAAUUAAAACAACAACUAGGAGGUCUUCUUGAGAAAGGAUUCAUACGCCUGAGUUCAUCACCAUGGGGAGCCUCGGUGUUAUUUGUAAAGAAAAAGGAUGGAAGUAUGCGGUUGUGUAUCGAUUACCGUGGCAUCGACAACAUUACCAUCAAAGAUAAGUACCCGCUUCCAAGAAUCGACGAACUCUUAGAUCAACUGAGAGGAGCUAGUUGGUUUUCGAAGAUUGACCUUGCAUCCUGAUAUCAUCAAAUUCUCAUUGCUGAAGCUGACAUAACAAAGACGGCCUUCCGGACUCGCUACAAACAAUACGAGUUUGUUGUCAUGCCCUUUGGUCUAACAAACGCUCCUGCCGCAUUUAUGAGAUUGAUGAAUGAAGUGUUUCACGAUUAUUUGGAUAAGUUUGUCAUCAUAUUCAUUGACGACAUCCUCGUUUACUCACGAAGCCAAGAAGAACAUUAUUACCAUCUACAGAAAGUCUUGGAACGACUUAGAGAGCAGCCGCUUUAUGCUAAGUUCAGUAAAUGCAAGGUUUGGCAAAGAGAUAUUGGAUUCCUAGGACAUCGCGUCUCGGAGCAAGGAGUAACCGUAGAUCCCAAGAAGAUCGCCGCCAUUCAAGAUUGGCCGCAACCAACCAAUGUUACUGAGGUCAAAAGCUUCUUGGGUUUGCCAAAAUACUAUCGAAAGUUUGUCAAAGGAUUCUCUUCCAUCAACAAGCCUUUGACACGCCUCACGAGUAAAAGCGUACCAUUUGCUUGGAGCAAGGAAGCUGAGGAAGCGUUUGAGAAGGUGAACGAAGCAUUAACCACCGCGACAAUCCUAACCUUACUUGAGCCUGGUAAUCCUUACUCUAUUUACACUAAUGCAUCAAGAGUCGUGUUAGGGUGCGUAUUAAUGCAAGAUGGGAAAGUAAUCGCUUAUGCAUCCCGACAAUUUUGAAAGCAUGGAAGAGAAUUAUCCAACUCACGACCUGGAGAUGGCAGCUGUAGUGUUUGCAUUACUAAUCUAGAGAUCGUAUUUGUAUGGUAAAAAGGUUCUUGUAUUUACUGACCAUCAAAGUCUUAAAUACUUGUUCACUCAGCCUGAUCUAAACUUGCGACAAUGAAGAUGGAUGGAAUUCAUUGCCGAUUAUGAUUUACAAAUUCAAUAUCACCCCGGGAAGGCCAACGUGGUGGUCGACGCCUUAAGCCGCCGCCGAACCAAGUUAGAUGCAGACAAGGAAUUGAAUCUGCUUCUGGAAGAAUUCAAGCAGAUACAUCUUUUUGCCCUCGAUGGAGAAUCACCGGAGCCACUUGGACUUCAAACCGUUUCACAAUCAAACAUGCUGCAGCAAAUCGGAGAAGAACAACAAUAAGAUGAGAAGUUACAAGAGAUAGUUACAAAGCUGAAGACUCUGGACGGACCCAACGAUAGCGGAUAUCACAGGGCAGACGAUGGCACCCUGCUACUCAAUGGAAGAAUUAUGGUCCGGAUCGAGGAAAUUUACGACAAGAGAUCCUCUGAAUGGCGCACUCGUCUACACUGAGUUUUCACCCAGGUAGUACCAAAAUGUAUAACGACGUAUGCCGAUAUUAUCAUUGGCCAAGAAUGAAGAAAUCGGUAGCCAAAUGGGUAAGUCAAUGUGAUUCUUGUCAGCAAAUAAAGAUUGAUCCCCAAGUUUCAAUCGGGUUACUUCAGAGCUUACAUGUUCCGACAUGGAAGUGGGAAACGAUCUCUAUGGACUUCAUCACCGGAUUACCUACAAGGAAGGGGCAGAGGAAUGACUCAGUAUGGGUUAUUGUUGAUCGUCACCAAACUGACACAUUUUAUACCAGUAAGAAGCAUCAACCAAGCUCCCAAUCUCGUGGAAAGGUAUAUAAAAGAAGUGAUCAAGCUCCACGGUAUACCAGCCAAUAUCGUAAUCGAUCGAGAUCCAAAGUUUUCGGCUAUCUUUUAGCAAGACCUACAGAAAGCCCUAGGGACAAACGUUCACAUGAGUACAGCGUUUCAUCCCGAAACCAACGGACAGACAGAGCGGACGAUCCGAACUAUCGAAGAUCUAAUCCGAAUAUGCGCCUAAGAAUGGGGAAGGAGUUGGGAGGAAAAUCUGCCAUUUAUUAAAUUUUCGUACAACAAUAGCUACCAUUCUAGUAUUGAUAUGUCACCGUUCGAGGCCAUGUAUGGAAAACCGUGUAGAACUCCAUUAUGCUGGACGAAGGUAGGAGAAAGAACCAAAUUCGACCAAUGGAUAGUCGAUGAGGCAGUAGAGAAAAUCCAGUUCAUAUGCGAAAGCAUGAAGAAGGCGCAAGACCAACAAAAAAAGUACGCAGAUCGAAAGAUACGAGAAGUGGAGUUCCAAGAAGGAGAUAUGCUCUACCUAAAGGUCACAACUCAAGAGGCAAAAUAUCGAUUUGGAAAGAUAGGGAAGCUUGCGGUUCGUUAUAUUGGCCCUUAUCAAAUUGUGAGUCGAGUUGGAGAGGUUGCUUAUAAGUUGGACAUGAUAGAAAUCAUGCGACUUCAUAAGGUGUUUCAUGUGUCUCAAUUAAAGAAGCAUAUACCAAAUCCCAAUGUUGUUAUUUCAGAACCGAUACCCGAAUUGAAGACCAACCUCACUUAUCCAGAGGGGCCACUCGAAAUCGAAGAACGCCGUAUUCAAAAGUUCAAGCAGCGGUUAAUUCCUCAAAUUAAAGUGUUCUAGGGAAAGCAAAACCGACGGGUAAUAACAUGGGAAGAUGAAGAAAAGUUCCAGGUAAAAUAUCCUCAAUUGUUCGAUACUGAAGAAGGAGACGACAAUGAGGCCAGCCCAUCCAAUUCUUAGGGAAUUUGGGACAAUGUAGCACCCCGCGCAUUGACCUAGGAGGCGAAUGAAGGGCAAGAGGUGGAAAAAAGAAAAUGCGCAUUAGGUGAGAGACGCGGAUUGUCUAUUUAUAAACAAGGAAAACUUGGAGCUGUAUCCAUUCGGGUGAGCCAACUUGGUGACCAAGUUUUGUCCUUAAGCUGAAGUGGAGCCCAAGUUUCGUCUCUUACCCCUUAAACUCGCACCCUUAGCCUGUAAACAGGACCUCACCCCUUUAGCUGAACCCUUAGAGAACUUUACAUCGAAUCGCUGCCCAAAUAGAGAGAAAGAGAGAGAGAUCAUCCGAACCUUUAGAAAAACCCGAGAGACAAAGAGAGAGAGAGAGCGAGAGCGUUCGAGCAAGAGAUCGUCCAAACCCUUAGGAUAAUCUGAGAGAGAGAGAGAGAUCCCGAGUUAGAGACCGUCGACCAAGUUAGGAGGAUUCGCCAGUGAUUGUGAGUUCCAGUUUUGGUUCUUGCAUGUUUGAUUUCUUUCUUGCAUGUUCUCGAUUCUCCCUUCUCUUAGUUUUGUUGAUGUUAUCUUUGAGUUUGUUGAGGUUGUCUUAUCGAAUAGCUAGGAGAGUUUGCGACUGAAUCACCAUUUGCCCUAAAGGAGUGGUUGUAUUACAAGAAGCACCAUUCGAUUGAGAGGGAUGGUUGCGUUGUCUAGACACCGCUCGCUAGUAUUUGAUAGUCAAAGUAUGAGAACACUAUGAUUAUGUGUGUGGAGAAUGAACCACAUGUUUCAUAGUGUUGAUUGAGUAUCGUAGCGUGUGGAGCUUGUGAAAGUUAUCCAAGUUGAUCCAUAAGCAUGCUACGGUCAAGUGGGAUGUAGCAGGCCUUGCCUUGUGAUUCCGUUCUUUCGUGAGGUUUGCUUGACGAGAUGCAACAGGCCUCAUGGGGAUCAAAGGACCCGAAGAGACUGGGCUCGCUACCAAAGGGUCGGGGUCGUUUACACGACGGUAUAGCCAAGGGUGAUGUUUCGAUUAUGUGCCAUUGUGGUUAUAACUCGGGUAUUCACGGUGUGUGGAGGAAGGCAAUGCAUUGGGCCCUAGUAAAACUUUAAGAAAACGUUAUAUUUCUUGAUUGUUUUAUGUGUUGUUUACUACCUUCUAUGCGUACUCUAAUUGUUUAUGUUAUGUUUGUGGGGAUUUUGGGUGGGGGUCCACUAACCUUUCCUUUGCGAACCCCCCGUUUUGNNUAACGCCCGUUUGCCCGUGAUCCCCCUUUGUUCUGCGUGCACCCUUCAAGGGCUNUUGGGGGCGGGUGACCCCUCGGCCCCCGUGCCGGUUUUAGCCCGCGUUUCCGCUAAUCCGCCGCCUCUGCCUCCGAUUUCGCGGUUUUCUCUCCCCGCCUCUUCGGCCGCCUCCCUGCCCGCUUGUGGUCGCUCCCUGUCUGCUCUCGCCGCCUCCCCCCCCUCGCCCUCGCCCCCCCCCUCCCACAAAACAGCAAAANNNNNNNNNNNNNNNNNNNNNNNNNNNNNNNNNNNNNNNNNNNNNNNNNNNNNNNNNNNNNNNNNNNNNNNNNNNNNNNNNNNNNNNNNNNNNNNNNNNNNNNNNNNNNNNNNNNNNNNNNNNNNNNNNNNNNNNNNNNNNNNNNNNNNNNNNNNNNNNNNNNNNNNNNNNNNNNNNNNNNNNNNNNNNNNNNNNNNNNNNNNNNNNNNNNNNNNNNNNNNNNNNNNNNNNNNNNNNNNNNNNNNNNNNNNNNNNNNNNNNNNNNNNNNNNNNNNNNNNNNNNNNNNNNNNNNNNNNNNNNNNNNNNNNNNAUAUAGAAUCAAGCUCUGGGCUGGUCACAGAGCCCUACUGCUACUCGGAAAUCAAACUCAAUUAAUACUAAAACACUAACCUGUAGCUGUAGUAUUUUAUGGAGGCAAUCCAAUACCAUGUGCUGCAAACAUAGUGAGAUAUGCUUCAAUAAAGAUGUAAGCAAAGCCUAGCAGAGAGAUGCAAGGUUCUAACAGUAAAUAGCAGGCAAGUGAAUGACAAAGCAGAAAUGAUAACAGGCAAUCAAAUGGAUAAACGAUUCCUAAGGAUGGGGUAAUCGUAUAGCGUGGUCUACUUGAUCUAUUCAGGCGGUUGACAAAACUUCACAGAAGCUAUCCCUAGACAACAAGUUCAACAACAGAUUAAUUCACUCCCGUGAUAGAAAUCCUCAAGCAAAGCUAGACACUGACCUAAAUCUCUUUAGCGAUCUCUAACUAAGCAGGCAUUAUCGAAUCAACAUGUUAAAGUUAAUACCCUCUCUUCAGCCAAUCCCUUGGGGUAGAGUCAGAUAUCUCUAGAAUUAAUAGGAUCCAACGCCCAUUAAACGCCUUCUGAGCGCUGGACGUCUGGACUCAUACUCCAGAUUAGCCAGUGAAACAAGCAAUAAGCGCAACUAAUCUAGAAGGGAUUCUAGUAUUCUAAACUCAACCACCUAAAACGACCAAGUAAACCACAACUAUUCUAUCCCAUCCUCAGAAAUACAGUUCACUACUCGGACAUAAUCAAAGACAAUAGCAAAGCAACAAUUGAAAACAUGAUAACAGAAAUGACGAAAGACUUAAACGAAAACUGAAUAACAAAUACUUGAAAGUGAAAAUACAAAGUCGCAAGAGAAACACUGCGUCUAUCAAAGUUGCAAAAAUGUAAAAGCGAGAUAAUAAUGGAUAAUAGCGGAUGCCCUAGGGAAAACCCUAAGAGGCAGUUUAUAUAAGCGAAAAAUGAAACAAAUAAGGAAACUAAAUAUAUAGCAAAUCUUCACGUCAUGAUCCUGCGACCGAAUGUGUCAUUGGCAUCUGACGGGCUGAAAUGAGCUUCCUAGUGAUCGAGUAUGUCAUUGAUCAAACUGGGCUUCAGGGGUUCUGUUUUGCGAUCGAGUGAGAUGUAGUGAACUCGAGAUUGAAUGAUCUAGCGACCCUGUGUCGAGUGCGAUCGAGUGGAUGUCAUGAGGUGGUGAUCGAGUGGUUUCUUCGGCUUCUUUUCUCUUCUUUGUUCUUAGCUUGUCUGGUUGAGUGCAGAACGAGCAGAUAGGCUUCUUGGUGGUCGAGUGGUGAUCGAGUGGUCCUGAUGGGGUGAUUCCUCCGGCUUCGCGAUUGAGUGAAACUGAGCUGCUUGCUUCUCCGGGGUUGCGAUAGAGUGAUUUGCCCUGGCAGGGCUCCGAGGCUGCGAUAGAGUACUUUUGCUGAAGGCGUCAUUGGGCAUUCCGACUUCAUGUUCUGUUUUUCCUCUGUUUGAACUCCAAAAGCAUCCAAAGUACCUGAAAACAACCAAAUAUGCCAUGCACAUGCAAUCCUGAUGCAAAAUCGUCCUAAGUAUGUAAAACACACUGAAACGACUCCUAAUGAGAUGAUUUGUGGAUGAAACAAUGACAAAGUGGUGAAGAAUGAAUGCCUAAAUCAUGCAAAUUAUAGACAUAUCAAUAUGCAUUCUUAACGAGUUCGAUUGUUCACCUUAGUAGCUAGGCCGAUUCUUAUUACGCACCUAAAUACCAAGCUCAUCAAAUAAUAGAUUCAACUACAGAUACCUAUGGCGGGCAUAUCUAUUGUCUAGAUUCAAGAUCUAGUUAAUUACUCUAGAUCUAGCAUUAAGCAUAAUUAAAGAUGAAGAAUUCUACAGAAAACCUAGCAAAAGGGGCAAUCUACUAAACCAUAUGAAUCCCUAAUGAGAAACCCUAUUCCUAACAAGCAGAUUACUCAGACAUAUUGGAUGAAGCAAACAACAUAUUUGAGUAUGAAACAAAAACACAGUGAUAUAACCCUAUUUUUACUGGUUUUUGCUAUGAUUUAGGUAUAGGUUUUAGAGUCUAUUUGUUAUUUCUAGAGUCUUUUCUAGUCCUUUUCAGGUCUUUACAUGUAUGGAAUGCAUUUGGAGAUUAUGGAGCAUUCUGGAGCAAAACAGACAACUUAAGCUGCGGCAGCAAUCCGGAGACGAAAAUUAACGUAGGUCUCGAUUGACACAAACCCUGGUGUCGAGCGACACCAAUAUCUGACGGCAAUUGAAUUGCGCAACUUAUUGAUGUUUGGAAGAUUUCCAAAUUCGGCCCAGAACUUUCUCCUAUUUCUAAAGAAGUCCCUGCACGUUUUAGGUCAUAUAUAUAUCGUUUUAAACGUCAUUGUUUAGACCUAACUCUUAUUAUCUCUUUUAUUCUUGGGAGCAAAACCCUGUGGAGACUCUCUUUAGAGAAGAUCUUUCUAUACACUUUUCUCUUCUUAAUUUCAUUAUUGAUUUCUUAUUCAGUCAUGUUUUGUUCUUCUAUGAUCAUGCUUGAGUAGUUCUCUUGUUGGGUAUAGGGAUUCUCAUUAGGGAUUUGGAUGAAUUUGUAGAUAGAAAACCCUGUUAGGAUAAUAUAUUUAGAAUUCUUCAUCUUGGAUUGUUCUUAAUGCUAGUUUUAGAGUAAGUAGCUAGAACUUGAUUUUAGGUUAUUAGGUAUGCCCCACCAUAGGUAUCUAAUACUGGAACUAUCUUAGAUGAGCCUAGUAUUUAGAUGCGUGUUAGCGUCCAUUACUUAAAUAAACUUAUCAAACAUGAUUAUAAUGCUUUCUUAGUUCUAGGGACUUACAAGAGAGUUGAGAUCAAUACUAUUAAGCAUAGUGAGUUUCACGGAACACUACCGGUUACUUUAUAUUAGUGAUUUGUGUUCUAGAAUGGUUCGAUAAUAAUCCCAAUUUACUGCUAAAUCUACUAUUCUGAUAUCUCCUGAGAAUUUCCCUAAACCUGACGUCUUAAUCAUCUGAAUCUACAACCAAUUUUAAUUGCUUUCUUGUCUUUUACUUUUAUAAUAUUUUCUGUUUAGCUUUAUUCAAAACUGUUAAUCUAUUGUGUGAUCCGAGAACUUUGUGGAAUUCGAUCCCUAAGUGCUAUAACAACCUCUUUCUUUGAGAGAGUAGUCAUUAGGGUAAUUUGACUCAUAUCAAAUUUGGCGCCGUUGCCAAAGUUCUCUUCGAUUCACCAUUAGAUUAGGUGUAGAAUUUAGUCUAAGCUUUUCUUUUCUUUUGUUACUUACGCGUUUUUAUUUCUUUUUCUUCUUGUGUUUCAAGAGUUUAAGGAAUUCAAACGCAACUCAAGAUGCUGAUAGUAAUACCUGAUGCUGCUGGAGUGUUACGCGACAGAGCUGGUCAGGCAUACAACGAAGAGGGUCAGAAAAUAGAUGAACAGGGAAACCUGAUACUAUAAAUCGCCGAGGGUGUCGAUCGACACCAAGAAGAAAUCAGAGCAGAUGGACGACGGAUGACUCUUGGUGACUACAACAGACUGGAUCUAUUCUAUUCCAAUCGGUCUACAAUCCAACCACCUACCUUCGAAAGAAGCGAUUUCGAGAUAAACCCUACAUUAUAUACUCUUGUGAGCAUGCAUCCUUUCCAUGGUCUUUCCCAAGAACAUCCUAUGGAUCAUAUUGAGCGGUUUGAAGACUUGAUUUCUAGCAAUAAGGCAGAAGGUGUUUCUUAUGACUAUCUUCCCUGCAAGCUCUUCCCAUAUUCUCUUGUUGGGAAAGCAUCUUCUUGGCUUAAGCAGUUGAAGCCUGGAUCUUUGACAACUUGGAAAGAAAUAAAGGUUGCUUUUCUCAAUAACUUUUAUAAUGAUGCAAGGUCUGAGGAGCUGAGAAUGAAGAUCUCUACCUUCUCUCAAGAAGCAACUGAAGCAUUUAAAGCCGUUUGGAUCAGAUUCAGAGGAUAUCAGAGAGAUUGUCCGCAUCAUGGUUUCAGUGAGGUUCAGCUGUUAGGUAUCUUCUUCAGAGGAGUUGAUUGGCAUUAUCAGAUGGCUUUGGAUGCAGCUAGUAAUGGGAAUUUCAUGUCAAGAUAUCCAGAAGAUGCAACAAUGUUGAUUGAUAGCUUAGCUUCCAGCAUUAGUACCAAAAGCGUUGACAUUGCAAGGAAAACGCAAGUUCAGUAUGUUGCACAAGUUGAAAGUUUAGCUACUUCAGAGAAGAUGGAUCAACAGAGAUACAUGAGCUUCAAUCAACAAUCUAUACAUCAGAAACCGGUUCAGCAAACUAAAAGCUUCAUUCAGAAUCAUGCUUCUUCAACCCAAAUUCACCCUCCACCCGAGACCACUAGGAAGAUUGAAUCUCUUCUCGAACAGAUUCUCAAAGGUCAAGAGAAGCAAACAACAGAUUUUGAUCACAAACUGGUUGCAUUAUCCGACGAUAUGAAUAGGAAGAUUCAAAUAUUGAACAAUCGGAUCAAGCAAUUGACUACAAACAAAGAAGAUGUUCGUGCUAUUGAGUUAAGGAGUGGAAAACAGCUAAAUCCAGUGCUGCAACGAGAACUUCCUGCAGCCAAAAUCGUUAAUUUGGAAGAAAAUGAUGUUGCAGUUUUUGCAGACCAGACACCAGUGUCUACUGACACAGCAUCGUGUCGAUCGACACCAGCUAUGACAGACACUACAGAACGCGACAGUGUCGACCGACACCAACAAGGUGUCGAUCGACACCAACCCUGCCCAAACCUGGGAAUUCGCCAAAACCCAAUUUCAGCUGCAGCAAAGGUAACCAAACCCAAGGUUCCUUUUCCCAAGAGUCCUAGGAAGUCCAAACAUGAGCUUGAGGAUGCUAGAUGCAAAGAUAUGAUGGAUAAGUUGAUUGUAGAGAUGCCACUUAUAGAUGUUGUGAAGUCUUCUCCUAUGAUCAGACAAUUUGUGAAGAGGAUGGUUACUAAGGAUAUGCUUACUGAGAAAGCUGUCAUGACGAUGUCUACACAGGUUAACGACAUUAUUCAGAACAAGAUUCCACAGAAACUUCCAGAUCCAGGUAGCUUUGUUCUCAAUUGUGGUAUCUUUACGAGAGUUUUGAUUAAUGCUUGUGCGAUCUUGGUUCUAGUGUCAACUUAAUGCCACGUUCAGUUGCGCUUAGGCUUGGUUUGACAAAUUUAGAACCUACGCAAAUCACUCUUGUUCUUGUCGAUCGAUCUGUCCGUAGACCCGAUGGUAUCCUAUGCGAUGUCCCUGUAUAAGUCGGUACCAGCUACAUUCCUACAGAUUUUGUGGUUUUAUCUUAUGAGAAAGAACCUAAAGAUCCUCUAAUCUUAGGAAGACCUUUCUUAGCCACAACUGGUGCCAUUAUUGAUGUAAGGAAGGGCAGCAUAGGAUUGAAUGUAAGUGAUCUUAGAAUGCAGUUUGACAUGAAUAAGGUGGUUAAGAAGCCUACCAUCGAUGGGCAGACUUUCUAUGUGGAUACUAUCUCUUCUCUGGCUGACGAAUUUCUCAUGAAGAUGACACCUGUUGAUCCGUUGAAGCAUGCUCUAAUUCCCUCAAUUGACAAACUUCCCAACAGGUAUAGUAAGCUGCUGGAUAGGACUGAGCAUGUGAUGCAAAUGGUUGCUCAAGAGGAGUUAAUUGGCACAUCUUCCCAAGCAGCAACAAUUAGCGAUUAAAGCCCAGAAAAAACUCCUAAAAUUGAUCUAAAACCGCUUCCAGCAGGGCUAAGGUACGCAUUUCUUGUUGAAAACUCUACUUACCCUGUCAUUGUUAAUGCUUCUUUAAACAAGGCAGAGCUCACUUUAUUGCUAAGCAAGCUGCGCAAGUAUCGCAAAGCUCUUGGCUAUUCUCUUGAUGAUAUUACAGGUAUCUCUCUAGAGUUGUGUAUGCAUAGGAUUCACCUCAAGGAUGAGUCUAAGCCCUUAGUUGAGCAUCAGAGGAGACUAAACCCGAAUCUCAAUGAUGCUGUUAAGAAGGAGAUCAUGAAAUUGUUGGAAGCUGGUAUCAUCUAUCCUAUUUCAGAUAGUGAUUGGGUUAGUCCAGUGCAUAUGGUUCCUAAGAAAGGAGGUGUUACAGUGGUUAAGAAUGACAAGAAUGAGCUGAUUCCUACACGAACUGUUACCGCCCACAUGAUGUGUAUUGACUACAGGAAGCUGAACGCUGCAACAAGGAAGGAUCAUUUUCCUCUACCAUUCAUUGAUCAAAUGCUGGAAAGGUUAGCUAAUCACAAGUAAUACUGCUUUCUUGAUGGGUACUCUGGAUUCUUUCAAAUACCAAUCCAUCCAGAUGAUCAGGAGAAGACCACAUUCACGUGUCCCUAUGGUACUUUUGCCUAUCACAGAAUGCCGUUUGGUCUUUGUAAUGCUCGUGCGACAUUUCACAGAUGUAUGAUGUCGAUCUUCACAGACAUGAUUGACAAUUUCAUGGAAGUCUUUAUGGAUGACUUUUCUGUUUAUGGGUCUUCAUUUGAAGCAUGCUUGGAGAACCUUUGCAAAGUUCUAGCUAGAUGUGAAGAGAAGAAUUUGGUUCUUAAUUGGGAGAAGUGUCAUUUCUUGGUUUAGGAAGGUAUAGUUCUUGGUCACAAGUUUCAGGUGCUGGUAUUUCGGUUGAUAAAGCCAAAAUGAGGUUAUGACAAGUCUACAGGCACCAGAUAGCAUGAAAUCAGUGGAGGGGUUUUCUUGGACAUGCCUGGAUUUACAAGGAGGGUCGUCAAGGGAUUCAAUUCCAAUUGCCAGGCCACUAACAACUUUGCUUUGUAAGGAUAUGAAGUUUGACUUCAAUUCUGAGUGUAAUGCUGCUUUUAAUCAGAUUAAGAAUGCCUUAGUGAGUGCUCCAAUAGUUCAACCUCCAAACUGGAAUUUACCUUUUGAGAUCAUGUGUGAUGCAAGUGAUUAUGCGGUUGGAGCAGUUUUGGGACAAAGGAAAGGCAAUAAACUACAUGAUAUCCACUAUGCAAGUAGAACACUUGAUGAUGCACAAAGGAAUUAUGCGACAACAGAGAAAGAAUUGUUAGUAGUGGUUUUUGCUUUUGAGAAGUUUCGCUCUUAUCUGGUUAGUUCAAAGGUAAUUGUGCAUACAGAUCAUUCAGCACUCAAGUACCUUAUGCAGAAAAAGGAUGCUAAGCCAAGAUUACUACGAUGGAUUCUUCUUCUUCAAGAGUUUGACAUCGAAGUACGGGAUAGGAAAGGGAUUGAGAAUGGAGUUGCUGAUCAUUUGUUAAGGAUCAAGGUUGAAGACGACAUUCCUAUCAAUGAUUUUCUGCCUGAGGAGAGUAUCUACUUGGUUGAGACAAGUUUGCAGGAAAAUCAUGGCAGUGUCGAUUCACACGCAGAUGAGAGCUGCAGAGUAUAAUUGGNGAUCGCCACCCCACACCCUGUCGUUCGACACCCUCGCGCUUCAAAGACGAAUGGUUUGGACCUCCUUCCCAGCCCACAUUUAUUUCAGUUCCUCUGAUAGGUACUCCUCCUCUUUUCUCCUACUUAUUCUUGGUUACCUCUUUUAAAUCUUUGAAUGUGCCCCCCCGCCAACCGACAUCGAGUUCUCUCGGCCGUUGUUUCCCCUGCUGAUUUUUNNUNAAAAANNAAAUNNNCNCCNUCCCCCCCCCUCCUNUCCCUCCCUUCCCUCUCUCCUCUCCCUCUUUCUUCCCCCCUCCCCCCCCCCACACACAAAAAACACAAAAANNNNNNNNNNNNNNNNNNNNNNNNNNNNNNNNNNNNNNNNNNNNNNNNNNNNNNNNNNNNNNNNNNNNNNNNNNNNNNNNNNNNNNNNNNNNNNNNNNNNNNNNNNNNNNNNNNNNNNNNNNNNNNNNNNNNNNNNNNNNNNNNNNNNNNNNNNNNNNNNNNNNNNNNNNNNNNNNNNNNNNNNNNNNNNNNNNNNNNNNNNNNNNNNNNNNNNNNNNNNNNNNNNNNNNNNNNNNNNNNNNNNNNNNNNNNNNNNNNNNNNNNNNNNNNNNNNNNNNNNNNNNNNNNNNNNNNNNNNNNNNNNNNNNNNNAGCGGGGUUCAGGCCCCUAACCUAGGUCUCCCCAACAAACCAUUCCCCCCGCGCCGGCGUCAAGUCCCAGCACCCACCACCUCAAGUUUUUGUUGUCAACGUCACCCCCCAGGUACGGACAUCCCCCGUUACAACACUGUUCCAGACCCCAACACUCACCCUCAGGGUGUGGUGCUCGCCUCGAUCUAAGAGGUACACUUCAAUCCACCGCCGAAAGAGCCUGCUCAGCAAGAUCCUGAGUCGCCGGAUACUGACAAUCCAGCUAACAGCCACCCUUCGUCUCAAGGGGGCGGCUUCCGAGAGGAAGCUCCUGGGACAUUGCGGGAGCUUCAAGAAGACUCGGCGGUGGCUCUGCAAGAUAUUCUCUCAGUGCCAAACAGGGAGCAGUGGACUUGUGUAUUGUCUCCAAUUCCUAGGCCAAAAACCGUGUGGUAAGUCUAUCUUCCUUUAAUUUGUUUUCGUGUUAUCUGCCUUUGUAGUGUAAGUAGACUUGUGAAUCCUGGAAGAUAGUUGUGAAUGAUGGGUUUUGUUGGAUGUUUGUUAUGUGUUGUGUAACAUAGUAGCCUUGUGAAUACUCGUGUGUGCUCUUGUGAAUACUCGUGUGUGUUCUUGUGAAUACUUGUGAAUACUUGUCUUUGCUUCGAUUUGAAUACUCGUGUGUGCUCUUGUGAAUACUUAUGAAUACUCGUGUGUGCUCUUGUGAAUACUUGUGAAUACUCAUGUGUACUCUUGUGAAUACUCGUGUGUCCUUGUUCAGUUCUAUACUUGUGAAUCGUGUUCUCUUGUUAAUCGAGUCUCUUGUUAAUCGUGUUCUCUUGAUGUUCUAUUGUGGAAAUUGACUUUGAUGUCUGUUAAUUGUGUUCUGUUGCUACUCAUGCUCUUGUUAUGUUCUAUAGUAUGUUCUCUUCUCUACUGUGUUCUGUUGCAACUCAUGAUCUAUUAUUGAACAUAGUUGACUUUUGAACUUAGUUGUGUUAUAUUUUGUUGUGUGCUUUUGACUUUUGAACUCAUACUCAUUUCUUAUUAAUUGUGUUCUAUACUGUUGUGUGCUCUUGUUCAGUUCUAUAGUGUAUGUUCUAUUGUGAAUCUGCCUCAGUUCUGCCUGUGUAGUGUGUAACAUAGUAGACUUGUGAAUCUCCCUCAGUUCUAUAGUCUGUUCUCAUAGCUGUUGUUGUGUUUUGAUUUUUUAACAUGUUUACUUCUUUCAUUGUUGCAUGUGCUUGGAGGUUUACUCGCGACAGAGGAUCUAAACUGGUUAGAAAGAUCACAAGGAUCUUUACUCAAAAGUUCAAUGCUCCUUACUAUAAAUGGUCCUCUGUGCCAUUGGCUAAAAGAGAGAGACUGUUUUUAGAGUUCGCGGUAAGCUUCCUGACUCUUUGCUUUGUUCAGUCUUUGUUUUAUUGUCUGCUCAAGUUCAGUUCACUAACUUCUUCUUUUUUUGUAUAAAACUCACCACUGGGAUCCCUUAAUCAUAGGGACUGUCCAAUAUUACUUCAAUGAGAUCAUCAAGAGGCGCUUGAAGGACAUGGUUUGCACCGCAAGGAGAACUCGAGAGCAGCCUCCAUGGAUUGGAGAAACUCUGUGGGGAACAAUGUGUGCUUACUGGGACAUAGAAGAAGCCCAGAAAAGGAGUCAGACCUAUUCUAAAGCUCGGCUCUCUGACCGUAAUGAUCUCGGUCCACACAUCCACUACUUUGGGCCAAAGUCUUAUCAAGAAAUCCAAGAUGAAUUGGUAAGUGUUUCAGCAUCCUUUCAUGUCUUUUAGAGUCGUUCAAAUCAUAAGUUAGAGUUUUAUUGUGUGUCUUGUUCAGUUCAAGCAGUCUUUGACUUGUGAGGAUAUUGAUCUGUGUUUGUGAUAAGUGUGUAUUUUGCAUGUUUUGAGCAUCCAUUUGUCAUCACUUUAGCAUCAUAUCAUCACUGUUUUAUAAAAUUUCACAUCAUUUGUCAUCACUUUGCAUGUUUAGGAUAGUUUUGCAUGCAUGUUGCAUAUUUGCGUUGAUUUCAGGUGAUUUGGAGCUGUUGACGAGCUAUCUGGAAGAAGCGGACCUGAUCAUGACAAACCACUCGACCCAAAGGUCGAGUAGGAGCUUCAAGAUCUCAAGAGACCACUCGACCACCAGGUCGAGUAGAGGACAUCACUACUUCACUUCACCACUCGACCCCGAGGUCGAGUGCCCUCGUCUCCAUCACUCGAUCGCUUCACUCGACCAUGAGGUCGAGUGUCUUCACCUCCAUCACCAGACAACCACUCGACCUCUUCACUCUACCUAGAGGUCGAGUAUCGCCAUCACACCACUCGACUGCAUACUCGAUGACAAGCUUCAGAGCCUUCUUCAUUCCGCACUCAACCAGACACUCGAGCACAAGGAAGAAAAGAAGACUCCAGCUAUUCACUCGACCUCUCACUCGACCACCUGGGUCGAGUACAGUUCUUAACCCGUCCAAAUACUUCGUCGUUUUGAGUAUUAGAGUUUCGGAUAUUUGGCUAUAAGUAGCAUGUACUUCUCAUUUUCGCAGGACAAGAAGUUUUUUACCUAGUUUUAUUUCCGCGGACCUUGUGUUCUAGACUUUUUGUAAUCCGGAUUUCUAUUUAUCUAUUCAGUAUUCAGUAUUCAGUUUCUGUUCUUGAUUUUCGUUUACUGUUGUUCAUUCUGUUAUCAUACUGAUGUUACACUGCUGUUAUCAUGUCUUCAACCUGUUCAACGUUUAUGCUUUCUCUUAUGAUGUCUGAGUAGUGAAUAGGUUUCUGAGGAUGGGUUAGAGUAGUAUAGAAUUUUCAGUAUGCUAGGUGAUUGAGUAUUGAUUGAUAGAUCCCUUCUGGAUUAGUUGUUCUUAAUGCCUAUUGCUUUCUGAUCAACUGGAAUUUGAGCCCAGACAUUUCCGCGCCCAAAAGGUGUUCGAUGAAAUGUCUGAACCACUGAUUCUAGAGAUUCGUGACCCUGUACCAAGGUAUUGGUUGCAGGGAGCGUUUUGGCUUUAACUUGUUGAUUUGUAAUGCCUGUUAGGUUAGCUCUCGUCAAUGGUGAUUUGAGUCUGAGACUAGGUUAGCUUGAGAGUCUCUGUUGCGGUGGCACUUAGAUUUGGUUAAUGAACUUGUUGUCUAGAGUUAAUUUAUUCAGCAUGUCAAUCACCUGUAAACUGAUGGAAACGAAACUACUCAAUUACCCCAUCCUUAGGAAUUCUUUGUCUGAUUGAUUUUAUAGUUUACUCUACUGCUGUUUACUGCAUCCUGUCAUCUGUUGCUUAGUUUCUGCAAUUCUUUACUGUUACUCGACCUUGUACUCGACCACCCAGUUGUCUGGCAACAGACUGUGCAGUCGAGUAUCCCUAUUUCAUUUUCUGUGUGUUACUCGACCUGUCACUCGACCUCACCCAGUGCUCUACAAAGAGCUGUGUUGGUCGAGUGUUUCACUGUUUCUGUUUGAUUUUCUGUUUUCUGCAUGUUCAUUUAGGACUGCUAGAACACACCAAAACCUGUUAUGCUUGGCUUGACUUAGUGACUUCUGAUCACAUCUUGAUUGUUAGCAUCACACCCAUUUGGAUUGAUAACCUAAAAUACUACAACGACAUGAUUGGUGUUUUAGGAUAAUUGACUUAAAAGCCUACUAUCAAUUUGGCGCCGUUGCCAAUUGGGUGUUUGUUUGUUACAUUUAAGAUUUCAGACUUGCUUAGAUCAAGUUCUUUUUUAAUUUUCUUUUUAACUACUAACUGUGUGUUUUUCUUGUUGUCUUCUUGAUCCAGGUACACCUCUACUGUAUGCGAACUCGAUCAACAGGCAACCAGAACCUCCUUUUCAACGACAACAUCAACCGCACAGCCCGCGAAAUCAGAAAAAGGAGAACCACAGUCAACACUGUACCUCAGCAACCACUCGUUAUGGCUGAAGAACAGAAUCAACAAAAUGGCCAUGCCAACAUUGGUGUUGGAGAUGCACCACGUGAUCACCGUCAGAGGAAGGGAAUCGCACCUCCUGCUAUCCAGAAUAACAACUUCGAGAUUAAGAGUGGUCUCAUCUCGAUGAUUCAGGGGAACAAAUUCCAUGGUUUGCCAAUGGAGGAUCCACUCGACCACCUUGAUGAAUUCGAUAGGCUCUGCAACCUAACGAAGAUCAACGGUGUCAGUGAAGACGGAUUCAAGCUCCGUUUGUUCCCAUUCUCGUUGGGCGACAAAGCACAUAUCUGGGAGAAGAAUCUGCCCCAUGACUCAAUCACCACCUGGGAUGAUUGUAAGAAAGCUUUUCUGUCAAAGUUCUUCUCCAAUCCCAGAACUGCAAGACUCAGAAAUGAGAUUUCUGGUUUCUCACAGAAGACUGGUGAAAGCUUCUGUGAAGCAUGGGAGCGUUUCAAGGGUUACACCAACCAAUGCCCUCAUCAUGGCUUUACUAAAGCCUCUCUUCUCAGCACUCUUUACAGAGGAGUCCUACCACGCAUCAGAAUGCUUCUGGAUACCGCUAGCAAUGGGAAUUUCCAGAACAAGGAUGUUGAAGAAGGCUGGGAAUUGGUUGAGAACUUGGCUCAAUCAGAUGGUAAUUACAACGAGGACUGUGAUAGGACCGUCAGAGGCACAGCUGACUCUGAUGACAAACACAGGAAGGAUAUCAAAGCGCUGAAUGACAAGCUGGACAGGAUUCUUCUUAGCCAGCAUAAGCAUGUGCACUUCCUUGUUGAUGACGAGCAGUAUGAAGUCCAAGAUGGGGAGGGUAACCAGUUGGAAGAAGUAAGCUACAUCAACAACAACCAGGGUGGCUACAAAGGAUACAACAACUUCAAAACCGACAAUCCCAACCUCUCCUACCGCAGCACAAACGUUGCUAAUCCUCAGGAUCAGGUGUAUCCUCCGCAGCAACAACAAAGUCAGAACAAACCUUUUGUUCCCUGCAACCAAGGUUUCGUUCCCAAGCAGCAAUUCCAGGGGAACUACCAGCAACCACCACCACCUGGGUUUGCACCUCAGCAAAACCAAGGUCCUGCUGCUCGUGAUGCUGAAAUGAAACAGAUGGUCCAGCAGCUGCUACAGGGACAAUCAUCUAGCUCAAUGGAAAUGGCUAAGAAAUUAUAUGAAUUGCACCAUAAGCUGGACUGCAGCUACAAUGACCUGAAUGCCAAAGUGGAGGCAUUGAAUACCAAACUCAGAUACUUGGAAGGCCAAUCAGCAUCUACCUCUACACCAAAAGUUACAGGACUUCCAGGGAAGUCCAUACAGAAUCCAAAAGAGUAUGCAACCGCUCACGCCAUCACCAUCUGCCAGGAUCGAGAACUGCCAACUCGACCUGACCCUGAUUUCAUCACUAGGGACAGUGAUGUUCAAGAAGGAGAGGCUUCUACUCAGGUUGAAGUCUCUGUUGUUGAAUUCAACCAUUCCGCUGGUUCUCGCCAUCUCACUCAAUCCAUCUCGGAAGAGAAGGCCGCCAUAAUCGAGAGAAUGGUAAAACGAUUCAAACCUACUCCACUACCCUCACGUGUCUAAAAGUGGACAUUCAGGAAAGCAUGGAUGGAGAGAUCCAGUCUAUUCAGCGAAGCAGUUGGACGAGAUUGAAACAGUGAUUCCACUAAUGGAAGUUCUUAACCUGAUUCCUGAUCCUCACAAAGAUGUAGAAAUUUGAUACUAGAAAGGAUCAAGAUGUAUCACGAUUCGGAUGAUGAAAGUGAUGCCACUCCCAUUUCGAGCUGCUGAUAAGAGGAUUGUUCAAGAGAAGGUUAAAAGAUCNCUGGAUCUUUCCACUCUACCAUGUUCCAUUGGGGAAUUUGCUUUCAGCGAUUGUCUGUGCGAUCUCGGAGCCUCUGUUAGCUUGAUGCCACUCUCUGUGGCAAGAAGGUUAGAGUUCAUUCAAUAUAAACCUUGUGAGCUGACUUUGAUCCUUGCGGAUAGGUCUUCUAGAAAACCGUUCGGCAUGCUGAAAGACCUACCAGUCAUGAUUAAUGGCGUAGAAGUGCCUACAGACUUCGUGGUGCUGGAUAUGGAAGUAGAGCAUAAGGAUCCCUUAAUACUGGGAAGACCCUUUUUAGCGUCAGUGGGAGCAGUGAUAGAUGUCAGGGAAGGGAAAAUAAGUCUCAACCUUGGAAAGCAUAUCAAGUUGCAGUUUGGCAUCAACAAAACUCCACAAGGGUCAACCGAAGAUGGAAGAACCUCUAGAAAUGAUAGAGCGAUCUCAGGAGAAGGAUAUGAGACUGAAAGAGUGAAAGAACUUAGAAAGAGGUCUGAUAAGCAGGAUGAAACUAUAGAGAAGCUAGCCCACACCAUUGAGGAACUUAGGAGUAAGCUGAAUCGGAUGCAGAAGGAAGCUCAACCUAAAGGCGGGAUUAACACUGUCCCGAGAAAAGAAUUCACUUCAAGAUGGUCUCAAGAUACAGAUUAUCCUCCAGAAGAGAAGGAAGCCUAUUUUGAAGAAAGGGGGAUUGAGUAUUCUGCUGCAGACCUCUCCAGGGAGGACGCUGAAUAUCAUGAUGGUAUCAGAGAGGCUUAUGCUGACCCUCUCUACAGUUCAUUUUCUUCUUGAUAAUGUGAGGAGUCAAGCUAGAGACUUAAACAAGCUCACUGAGAGGAAGUCCAUGACUAUCCUUGUAAAAAAUUUUACUUUCUUGUAUUUUUUGCUGUGGUUUGGGCUGGUUUGGCGGGCUUCACGGAGCAAGGAGUACCUGGAGGUUAAGUUAAACUUAAAACUUUACUUCCCUGAUGCGCUCGAACCGGUUUUUGGUCCGUUUGAUGGUCGUUACAACCCAAAAAUUUACUUCCCUUUACUCCACCAGAACACAAANNNNNNNNNNNNNNNNNNNNNNNNNNNNNNNNNNNNNNNNNNNNNNNNNNNNNNNNNNNNNNNNNNNNNNNNNNNNNNNNNNNNNNNNNNNNNNNNNNNNNNNNNNNNNNNNNNNNNNNNNNNNNNNNNNNNNNNNNNNNNNNNNNNNNNNNNNNNNNNNNNNNNNNNNNNNNNNNNNNNNNNNNNNNNNNNNNNNNNNNNNNNNNNNNNNNNNNNNNNNNNNNNNNNNNNNNNNNNNNNNNNNNNNNNNNNNNNNNNNNNNNNNNNNNNNNNNNNNNNNNNNNNNNNNNNNNNNNNNNNNNNNNNNNNNNUAUUAUGUUUGGGAAAAGCAUGGAGAAGAGGUGAAUAUGGAUAUGGACGAGGGUACUACCCGGGAUAUGACGUAUUUAGUUCGAAUCAUGAAGAAAGUGAGUAAUGUUGUAGAAGAUCCAUAUGUGGAUAUGGUGAACGAGGCAUUUAAUUUUAACGUGGGGUAUGAUCAUCAUGAUGAUAGUUAUCAGAAUGUGGAAGAACCGGUCCAUACCCAUUCAAAUAAGUUCUACGACUUGUUAGAAGGUACAAAUAAUCCAUUGUUCGAUGGUUGUCGUGAAGGGCAGUCGCAGUUAUCCUUAGCAUCUCGACUCUUGCAAAACAAGGCGGAGUAUAAUAUGAGUGAAAAGUUGGUGGACUCCGUUUGCGAAAUGUUUACAGAUUUUUUACCAGAAGGAAACCAGGCUACCACUUCACAUUACCAGACCGAGAAGUUGAUGCACAAUUUAGGACUUCCAUAUCAUACGAUUGAUGUUUGUCAGAACAAUUGUAUGCUAUUUUGGAAAGAAGACGAAAAAGAAGAUCAAUGUCGAUUUUGUGGCGCACAAAGAUGGAAGCCUAAGGACGACCGUCGAAGAACCAAAGUACCAUAUAGUCAUAUGUGGUAUCUACCUAUUGGAGACCGGUUGAAGAGAAUGUAUCAGAGCCAUAAGACAGUUGCGGCAAUGCGAUGGCAUGCUGAGCACCAAUCAAAGGAGGGAGAAAUGAAUCAUCCUUCAGAUGCAGCGGAGUGGAGAUAUUUCCAAGAGUUACAUCCCCGGUUUGCCAAAGAACCCCGUAACGUUUAUCUCGGGUUGUGUACUGAUGGGUUUAAUCUAUUUGGGAUGUCUCGUAAUCAUUCGUUGUGGCUUGUGAUCCUGACUCCAUAUAAUUUACCCCCUUGUAUGUGCAUGAAUACAGAGUACUUAUUUCUUACCAUUUUGAAUUCUGGACCAAAUCAUCCUCGAGGUUGUCUUGAUGUGUUCCUCCAACCUCUUAUUGAGGAGUUAAAAGAGUUGUGGUCUACUGGAGUUGAUGCGUACGAUGUUUCAUUAAGUCAGAAUUUUAAUCUAAAAGCAGUACUAUUGUGGACGAUUAGCGACUUUCCGGCGUAUAGCAUGUUAUCAGGAUGGACUACUCAUGGUAAUUUGUCUUGUCCAGUUUGCAUGGAAAGUACAAAGUCUUUUUAUUUACCCAAUGGACGGAAGACACGUUGGUUUGAUUGUCACCGUAGAUUUCUUCCUCAUGGUCAUCCAUCCCGUAGGAAUAGAAAAGACUUUUUGAAAGGAAGAGAUGCUUCUAGCGAGUAUCCACCCGAGUCUUUGACAGGGGAGCAAGUUUAUUACGAGCGGUUAGCUAGUGUAAAUCCACCAAAAACGAAGGAUGUUGGUGGGAACGGUCAUGAAAAGAAGAUGCGAGGCUAUGGGAAGGAACAUAAUUGGCACAAGGAAAGCAUCUUGUGGGAGUUGUCUUACUGGAAGGACCUCAAUCUUCGACAUAAUAUUGAUGUGAUGAAUAUAGAGAAGAAUUUUCUUGACAACAUCAUGAACACUCUCUUGCGUGUUAAGGGUAAAUCAAAAGACAAUAUCAUGUCAAGAAUGGAUAUUGAGAAAUUUUGUUCACGGCCAGACUUACAUAUUGAUAGUAAUGGUAAGGCUCCAUUUCCAGCGUAUUCAUUAACAGACGAAGCCAAACAGAGUUUAUUUCAAUGUGUGAAACAUGAUGUUAGAUUUUCAGAUUGUUAUUCUAGCGAUUUGGCUAGUUGUGUAGAUCUGGAGAAUGGAAAGUUUUCAGGCAUGAAGAGUCAUGAUUGUCUUGUUUUUAUGGAGCGACUACUUCCAUUUAUCUUUGUUGAACUCCUUGACCGGAAUGUCCACCUUGCCUUAUCAGGUAUAAUACUUACUAUUUUAUUUGCCGACAUUUUUUUAUCUAAUUAUUUAACUUGCACAUAUAUUUCAGGAAUUGGAGCAUUUUUCCGGGACCUAUGUUCGAGAACUUUACAGACAAGUCGCGUUCAAAUUCUCAAAGAGAACAUAGUUUUAAUCAUCUGUAACUUGGAAAAGAUUUUUCCACCAUCAUUUUUUGAUGUUAUGGAACACUUACCUAUCGAUCUUCCACACGAAGCUGAAUUCAGUGGCCCUGUCCAAUAUAGGUGGAUGUACCCAUUUGAGAGGUUUUUCAAAAAGUUAAAAGGAAAAGCAAAGAACAAAAGAUAUGCUGCAGGCUCAAUUGUUGAGUCUUAUAUCAAUGACGAGAUUUCUUACUUUUUAGAGCACUAUUUUGCCGAUCAUAUACAAACAAAAUCAAGGUAAAUACAUUUAUUUAUUCAACUAUUUUCUAUACUUCGAUCUUCAUUCAAUUACCUGAAUCAGGAUAACAAGAUUCGAUGAAAGUAAAGUUCCUGUAUAUCAUGUCCGUGGAGUACCUAACAUAUUUAUGCACGUCGGUCGUCCAAGUGGUGAAAUGCAUGUAGAAUGGCUUUCAGAGAAAGACUACCAAAGCGCACAUGCAUAUGUUUUAAGAAAUUGUGACUAUUUUAAACCAUUUGAGAGGUAUUUUUAAUCACUAUUAAUUCGUUUGUAAAUUUUCACUAAGAUCACUUUGAUUUAUUUUCUUUGUUUGUAAAUAUAGUAUGUUCGAGGAUUGUCUUUCUGCGAAAUAUCCAUGCUUGCCCGAAAAAGAACUCUACGCGAGAAGAGCUGAAGAAUAUCAUUUAUGGGUUAAAGAAUAUGUAAGUCUACAUCAAUUUCUUGCAUUCGAAAAGUGAGAAUCAUAUUUAUAUGUAUUAAUAUUAUUUAUCUAUUAUGUAGGUAACAUAUUGAAACACUACUUCUCUAUUUCCUACUUGGGUUCAAGAAAUUGUGCAAGGACCUUUGAACAAGGUCAAAACUUGGCCAAUGUAUUUCACAAGAGGAUAUAUGUUUCAUGCGCAAAAUCACGGCGCUGGACAAAAGACAUGUAACUAUGGGGUAUGUGUUAAAGGUGAAAAUUACGCUGAUUCAUCUGAUGAAUUGGAUUUCUACGGUACCUUAACUGAUAUCAUAGAGCUCGAGUAUGAGGGCAUUGUCAAUUUAAGGAUCACACUUUUUAAGUGUAAGUGGUAUGACCCAAAGAUUGGGAGAGGCACUCGGCGAAGCCAAGGUGGCGUUGUAGACGUUCUAUCUACGAGGAAAUACAAUAAAUAAGAGCCAUUUAUUCUUGGUACGUAAUUUUUAAGAGGUCAAUUAUGUUUCUCUGUUAAUUUUUAAUACUCUUGUUUGAUAUAUGUAUAACUUGUGUUUACAGGAUCUCAAGCAGAUCAGGUUUGUUAUAUUCCGUAUCCAUAUACGAAGAAACCAAAGAACAUUUGGCUCAAUGUUUUAAAAGUCAAUCCGAGGGGAAACAUUUCUGGAGAAUAUGAAAACAAUGAUCCGACUCUUUUUCAAACAGAAAAUGAUGAUGCUGUUUUACUCACUACAAUUGAAGAUCUUGUACUAGAAAAUCCGGUGGAAAGCUUAAACCCAAUAAUCCUUGAUUACGAUGUCGGGGAUGCUGAACCAGAAGACGAAUUCCGAUGUAAUUUAUCGUCCUCGGACGAAGAUGAAGUAGAAUAUGAAGAGUAAUAAAUGUGUGAAGUAUAUGUUUAAUUAUUUAAUAAAAUAUUUGAAUAAAUUGUGUUUUAUAAUAUAUCAUUGAACAUUUAAUUUUUUCAUGAAUAUUCCUUAUGCAAAAUUAUUUCAAUUUCAAAAGUAUAAGGUUACUAUUAUGCUACUACUUGGAGACUAAACUAUAAUUUGGUGGGCUUCCAAAUAACUAAGCCCAAAUCCAAUAGAGAUGUGACAAUAUGACUACUCAACAACGAAUCUUUGCUUUGUUGGGUUUCUUAAUAUCGAAGCCCAAACCAAAUAAAAACAGUGACGCUUAUGCGAUUAAUUAGCGAAUACAGCUUACUAUGUGACAAUUAUGCGACUAUUACAUGACAACGUUUUAAAUUGUUGGGCUUCUAAAUAUCGAAGCCCAAACCCAAAUCAUUUAGGUGACAGAUUUGCGACUACUUUGCGACUACAACUAAGUUGUUGGGCUUCUUAUUCUCGAAGCCCAAACCUAAUAAAAUCGGCGACAGAUUUGCUACUCUUUUGCGACUACAGGCGAAGUUGUUGGGCUUUUGAAAUUCGAGGCCCAAACCCAUUUCAUUUAGUAACAACAAUACGACUAUACUACGACUACUACAGUGUUGAAAACCCUAAAUCGAAUCAUUUCUCAUUCCUAACACUUAGCCAAAUUUUUCUUCGAUCUCGAACUCUCUUCUUCGUCUUCUUCCUCUCAAACCCUAAAGAUCUUCGAUCUGUUUAUCUUCUUCUUCGAUCUUCUUUAAACUUCUUCUAUCUUCUUCCAUCUUCUCCAUCUCUUGAUCUCUCUAUCUCUCUCACUUGUCUCGAUCUCUCUAUCUCUCAAUCUCUCGAUCUCUCGAUCUUCUUCUUCUUUGAUCUCUAUAAAUCUUCUUCAUCUCUUCAAUCUGCAUAUCUUAUCUUCGAUCUGCUCUUAUUCGUNNCUGCUNUUNUUCGUNUGGGGUACUNUNAGAGAAAACUGCAGGCUAGCAACUCAGGCCNNNCCAAAACANUACUUUUCUGGCCUGGGCGGGCCCUCCGGCGCNNNNNNNNNNNNNNNNNNNNNNNNNNNNNNNNNNNNNNNNNNNNNNNNNNNNNNNNNNNNNNNNNNNNNNNNNNNNNNNNNNNNNNNNNNNNNNNNNNNNNNNNNNNNNNNNNNNNNNNNNNNNNNNNNNNNNNNNNNNNNNNNNNNNNNNNNNNNNNNNNNNNNNNNNNNNNNNNNNNNNNNNNNNNNNNNNNNNNNNNNNNNNNNNNNNNNNNNNNNNNNNNNNNNNNNNNNNNNNNNNNNNNNNNNNNNNNNNNNNNNNNNNNNNNNNNNNNNNNNNNNNNNNNNNNNNNNNNNNNNNNNNNNNNNNNCGACAAAUAGUGGGUGGGGGUGGACACCCAUUUCGGCCCAGCAAAUUCCAAGACGCUUUCAAGUUUACAGAAGAGGAAAUUUGCCCCAGAAGACUUCCCUAAUUUGAAUUAUUAGUCCCUGGACAUUUUAUAGGGUUUAUAUACAUUGUUUAGACCGAGGUUUUCGUUAUCAAGUCUUUUAUCAAGUUUCAUUCUCGUACUUAUCAAGCUUUUUGAAAACCCUGUUACAGAGAGACAUAAGCUAUUCAUCGAGUGUUUUCAGAGAUUGAUUCAGAUUUUAAUACAGUGAAGAGAUCCCUUCUUUCCUUUAAUCUAUUUGCUGUGUGAUAUUAGUCAAAUUACCCUAAUGACUACUCUCUCAAAUAAAGAGGUUGUUAUAGCACUUAGGGAUCGAAUUCCACAAAGUUCUCGGAUCACACAAUAGAUUAACAGUUUUGAAUAAAGCUAAACAUAAAAUAUUAUAAAAGUAAAAGACAAGAAAGCAAUUAAAAUUGGUUGUAGAUUCAGAUGAUUAAGACGUCAGGUUUAGGGAAAUUCUCAGGAGAUAUCAGAAUAGUAGAUUUAGCAGUAAAUUGGGAUUAUUAUCGAACCAUUCUAGAACACAAAUCACUAAUAUAAAGUAACCGGUGGUGUUCCGCGAAACUCACUAUGCUUAAUAGUAUUGAUCCCAACUCUCUUGUAAGUCCCUAGAACUAAGAAAGCAUUAUAAUCAUGUUUGAUAAGUUCACCUAAGUAAUGGACGCUAACACGCAUCUAAAUACUAGGCUCAUCUAAGAUAGUUCCAGUAUUAGAUACCUAUGGUGGGGCAUACCUAAUAACCUAAAAUCAAGUUCUAGCUACUUACUCUAAAACUAGCAUUAAGAACAAUCCAAGAUGAAGAAUUCUAAAUAUAUUAUCCUAACAGGGUUUUCGAUCUACAAAUUCAUCCAAAUCCCUGAUGAGAAUCUCUAAACCCAACAAGAGAACUACUCAAGCAUGAUCAUAGAAGAACAAAACAUGAUUGAAUAAGAAAUCAAUAAUGAAAUUAAGAAGAGAAAAGAGUUUAGAAAGAUCUUCUCUAAAGGGAGUCUCCAUAGGGUUUUGCUCCCAAGAAUAAAAGAGAUAAUAAGAGUUAGGUCUAAACAAUGACCUUUAAAACUAUAUAUAUAUGACCUAAAACGUGCAGGGACUUCUUUAGAAAUAGGAGAAAGUUCUGGGCCAAAUUUGGAAAUCUUCCAAACAUCAAUAAGUUGCGCAAUUCAAUUGCCGUCAGGUAUUGGUGUCGCUCGACACCAGGGGUUUUGUCAAUCGACACCUACGUCAAUUUUCGUCUCCGGAUUGCUGUCGCAGCUUAAGUUGUCUGUUUUGCUCCAGAAUGCUCCAUAAUCUCCAAAUGCAUCCUAAACAUGUAAAGACCUGAAAAGGACUAGAAAAGACUCUAGAAAUAACAAAUAGACUCUAAAACCUAUACCUAAAUCAUAGCAAAAACCAGUAAAAAUAGGUUAUAUCAACUCCCCCAGACUUAGCUUUUGCUUGCCCUGAAGCAAAACGCAAAAGCCGAACCCGUGGAAGAGGUUUGAAAACAAAGGAACUCCCAACAUUCUCUACCUUAUUGCCUUGAUCAUCCUAACCAAAUCCAUAUGCCUAGCAGUUCUAAUCAAAUCCCAACCAACAUGUACUUCUCUGCAAGCUUACACAAUAUUCUAGAUUCCAUACCUAAGUUCCACAACUAUAUCCACCAAGCUUUCAUCGCUGGGUCUUAUCAAACAAGUUUACAUUCAAGAUCCUUCUAGACUCAUUCUUGUACUAUACCAUGAUAAAUAGACCAUUCUUUUAUUAUUAUUAUUUUUUCUUUAUUUCUUUGGUGUUCUUUCUCUCCCCUAGACUUAUUCUUUUUAGAGAGUAAACAAAGGGGAACUCGCAUACUGGAUCGACACCCUCAACAUUUUUCCAACCUUUGUAAUUGAUCAUUCCAAAUAAUGUAUAAUAAUGGGGUCAUAGGAAAUAUUCCUACCCCUAUACACUAUCUGAAAAUCCUGUCAAUCUCUCAUUAUUAUUUUUUAUUAAGGGAGAGGAACACUUUUUCUUUAUCACAUGAGUCUCAUUAUCAGGUAUGAACAAGGAGUCAAGAUCUAUUAACACUAACCGUUUGAAGAGGUAAAAGGAAGAGCAGUGAGAUUAGCUCCAGCCUUAGUGUUGUGUUGGAAACUAGGAUAUCUUCAAGUCUGUUGGUUGGCCAUCUAGAUUUUCUAAUAGUUGGAUUGAGUCAAACCUGCAACAUUCAUCAACCAGACAAUAAUCUAAAGAAUAGAGAUCAUAAUUCCUAACAAAAGUUUGACUCAAUAAAACGACUCAAAAAGAAAAAUAAGAAUAAAAAUAAGACUUAAAAAGAAAAACGUAGUUAGUAAGCGCCUCCUCCAGACUUAAACAACAAUGUCCCAAGUGGCAUUCAAAUCCGGAGUAAGCGAGAAAAAUAAAAGAAAAACGUAAAAUAAAAGAAAAAGAAAAAGAAAACCAUACCAGUGGGUUGCCUCCCACUAAGCGCUUGUUUAUAGUCAAUAGCUUGACUUGCCAGAGUUCAGGACUUGGAUGGAGGAACAUGAGACUUAUGCUGCAAUCUCGCCUUCCAAGGCGGUGUGUAAACAGAUCGGCUAUGUGCACAUNUUGGUGUCCAAAAAAGAAUAUAUACGAGUGCAUUGCAUAUACUAACGGAUGCCAUCAUACCAUCACUAAUGCACCUGGAUCCCAUCACAACUCCGCAGUCAAGCGAGCUUGGGCGAGAGUAGUACUAGGAAGGGUGACCUUCUGGGAAGUCCUCGUGUUGCAUCCCUCUUUUAUGUUUAACCUUAUUUUUUUUGCGUAAAACUUUUUGACUUGCUAACUUUUAUUCCGUGGGGCGAAACUUGGGAUGGGAUUCCCUUCCGGGGAGGCCAAGGACAGCCCUCCUGCGAAGGAGCCCGGCCACUGGCACCUCCUUCCAUUGACUUUUUGUCGACUCCAAUUUUGGCCCCUGUAACCCUUUUUCGGGCCCUUGAAAUGCUUUGGGCCCUCCCUCCGCCCACCCNAUCCCUCUCCCCNGCGGUUCCCAGCCCCCCCCCCCCCGGCCCGCUUCUCCGCUUNCCUUCCUUGGUGUNUCUGAUUCCNNUUUUCUGUCUUCUCCGCCUUUCUUCUCCUCCCUCCGCCCCUGCCCCCCCUCCCCCUCCCCCNAAAAAUCCAAUAANNNNNNNNNNNNNNNNNNNNNNNNNNNNNNNNNNNNNNNNNNNNNNNNNNNNNNNNNNNNNNNNNNNNNNNNNNNNNNNNNNNNNNNNNNNNNNNNNNNNGCGAAGCAGGGCACACAGAGCGGGAAGGAGGACACCGGGGGAGCAGCAUAAGCGGAUACAGAGCGGAACAAAGGUUGCAAGAGGGAGCCUAAGGGAGCGCCCCAACCGCCGACACCACACGCAGAUAGCCACCGUACGGCAGGACGGGGGCGAGCGCGGCAAACAGCCGCUAAACCGGAUGCAACCGCGCCGGGGGAACCAACGCACCCAGAGCGACGAUGGCGCCCGACACCAAAGGGAGGCAGCCGACAAAGCACAAAGAAGGGGAGGCGAGCGAAAACCGGGGGACAAGGGCCCAAAUAACAAAAGAGCCCAGGCGACGCAGGAGACACGCUGCCAACCUGGAUGGCGCCCCCACAGGGGACGCAGGGGCGCGGGUGCCCACCACCUCUGAGCCACAAUUACCCAUGCCUUCCCCAGCUCCGAUUCCUUGCGCCAACCAAAGUCCUUUAAUCAAGGCCUCAUUCUCCGCUUCAUUAUUAGAGGCAGUGAAGAGUAGGUGGAAUGACUGUUCGAGGAUCUCCGAUGUGGGCGAUUCCAAUUUAAUCCUAUUCCAGAUCCUUGCUUUGACAAGGAUCCAUCCACAUGUAACUUCCAAGUUUGAUUCUCCCAUUGUUUUGGCGCGUCGAGCAUCGGUAACCCGGUCAAGAAAUCAGCUAAUACUUGUGCCUUCAUGCUUACCCGACUUUUGAGUUCUAUAUCAUAUUCACUGAGCUCUACGGCCCACUUCGCUAAUCACCCGGACUGGUUGGGACUGUGAAGUAUCGCUCGAAGUGGCUGGUUGGUCAAUACUUUAAUCAGAUGAGAUUGGAAAUAUGGACACAAAUUUUGUGCUGAAGUAACCACUACUAGUACAAGUUUUUCCAUCAUUGCUUAUGUAACAAUGUUUUUGUCCACCUCGGGCUUAGAUACUACCGGCGGGGUAGUCAAGUAUGCAUUAACUUUAGCCGCGAGCAAAAUCUGGCCAUCCCGUGGAACCAAGUUGACCGCCCGAAAUAGCGCCGUUUGACCUGAGAGGUGCCCUUUAACCGCCAUGUGGACACCUCACUCUUGGUGCCGUGCGGCUAAAGUUACUAGUCUUGAAGCCGAGGUCGGCUGAGUCUUGGAGCCAAAGCUGAUGGGGCGGGGGGAGUGACACCCGUCGUCACUUGUCACCAUGCCGUCCCCCGUGACAUAUGUCGCCCGUGUGUGCGGCAGCUGUCCAGACAUGGGGCGGUAGUCGGUGCUGCAUGGGCCAACUUAGGCGGACUAUAAAUAGUCUUCAUUUUUCGCCCAUUUUCAUUUUUGAGGCGAGAGAGAACCGAAAGGCUGUCGACUGAUAGAAAAUAGUCUUAAACCAAGAAAACUUUACCCGAAUCGAGAGAAACUUGACCGUGGUCGAGGGAUCUCGUCCGUAAGAGGGAAAAUCAUCGACCGUGAGCAAGAUAACUCGUCCGUGAGUGUUCGACCGGCUGACUAUGACAAAGGAUCUUGCUCGUGACUCAGAAAUCUUCUCAAAACCCAAUCUGUGAGUUGUGGGUGAAAUGGGGGGUUGUUUCAUGUUUUCUAAAACUGGCCUUUAACAUAUGCAUGCCUACCCACCUAAGGGUAACUAAUCCAAUUUGGGUUAGAAUGGACCUCGAACCUAAAAGAUUUGGGCAUUUUGCACACUGUAACCUUAAGAAANNNNNNNNNNNNNNNNNNNNNNNNNNNNNNNNNNNNNNNNNNNNNNNNNNNNNNNNNNNNNNNNNNNNNNNNNNNNNNNNNNNNNNNNNNNNNNNNNNNNAGAUCACACUCCUCUCCUUAAAUAACGCUUCCUGUUUGUUCUUGGACUCGAGCAAGACCCAGUCCCAUCCCCACACCUAUUAAACUCGACCCCAUUCCCCUUAUUCAUCACAACCAACAAACCCAUCCUCAUCAAAGCCACGCACUCGACCGCUUCUCACUCGCCUCUUCACCAUCGUCUCAAGAUCACUCGACCGCGGUGCUGGCCGCAGCAGAAGGAGAGAGGUCGAGUUUCCUCAGAGCGGUGCUGGCCGCCACAGAGCUGAUGAGGUCGAGUACCCACCUGCUGGAGCUGAUACAGAACAAGGAGGUUCGUCUAUGGCCUGGGAGCAAUCGCAGGGAGCCAUUGACGAGCAACUACGUUCAUUCUUCGNNNNNNNNNNNNNNNNNNNNNNNNNNNNNNNNNNNNNNNNNNNNNNNNNNNNNNNNNNNNNNNNNNNNNNNNNNNNNNNNNNNNNNNNNNNNNNNNNNNNAUGAACCUUAUCAUGUAGAUUAGUUUUUUUAGAAUGUUUUGUUUGUAAUAUUCAGAUUUGAAGUGUUUGGUUAUGUUUUUAUAUAUAAUAUCGACCAAAUUAAAGUGUCAACGUAUAAGAAAACUUAUAAACAUACCAAAACUUAAAAAUUUCGAAAUUCAAAACUCGAGCGUUGGUAAUAAGUAGCUACUUGGUUGCAAAGUGCGACUGUGUUCUGUUGUCGUCGCAAAAACGUUGCACCUAGGGACUGUUUUGUGACAUUUUUGAAACAUUUUACAAAUAAAAAUGCUCUUUAGUCCCUAUUCGGUCGCACAAUAUUUACUCGAGAAACACUUAAUAAAUUUAACAAAAUUUUAAAACGUUGCACAAUCGUCGCAAUUUAGUCACAAAACAGUUACACAAACGUUGCAACGUGCGACUGUGUUCUGCAGUCGUCGCAAAAAAGUUGCACAAAGCGACUGUUUUGUGACAUUUUGGAAUAGGUCACAAGACAAAGUUUUGAAAUCCACAUAGUUCGAUCCAUUCUAUAGAUAAACAUUACUGAAAAACAACCAUUUUAGUACAUAAAGAACUUUAGGUAUAGAAAUGAUUGGUUUCAAACUUAUUUGAGAACUUGUUUGAAAAGAUCAAUCAUGAAAAUGAAUUCACAUGAACCUUAUCAUGUAGAUUAGGUUUUUUUGAAUGUUUGGUUUGUAAAAUUCAGAUUUGAAGUGUUUGGUUAUGUUUUUAUAUAUAAUAUCGACCAAAUUAAAGUGUCAACGUAUAAGAAAAAAUAUAAACAUACCAGAACUUAAAAAUUUCGAAAUUUAAAACUCGAGCGUUGGUAAUAAGUAGCUAAUUGGUUGCAAAGUGCGACUGUGUUCUGUUGUCGUCGCAAAAACGUUGCACCUAGCGACUGUUUUGUGACAUUUUUGAAAUAUUUUACAAAUAAAAAUGCUCGUUAGUCCCUAUUCGUUCGCACAAUAUUUACUCGAGAAACACUUAAUAAAUUUAACAAAAUUUUAAAACGUUGCACAAUCGUCGCAAUUUAGUCACAAAACAGUUACACAAACGUUGCAACGUGCGACUGUGUUCUGCUGUCGUCGCAAAAAAGUUGCACAAAGCGACUGUUUUGUGACAUUUUGGAAUAGGUCACAAGACAAACUUUUGAAAUCCACAUAGUUCGAUCCAUUCUAUAGAUAAACAUUACUGAAAAACAACCAUUUUAGUACAUAAAGAACUUUAGGUAUACAAAUGAUUGGUUUCAAACUUAUUUGAGAACUUGUUUGAAAAGAUCAAUCAUGAAAAUGAAUUCACAUGAACCUUAUCAUGUAGAUUAGGUUUUUUUGAAUGUUUGGUUUGUAAUAUUCAGAUUUGAAGUGUUUGGUGAUGUUUUUAUAUAUAAUAUCGACCAAAUUAAAGUGUCAACGUAUAAGAAAACAUAUAAACAUACAAGAACUUAAAAAUUUCGAAAUUUAAAACUCGAGCGUUGGUAAUAAGUAGCUAAUUGGUUGCAAAGUGCGACUGUGUUCUGUGGUCGUCGCAAAAACGUUGCACCUAGCGACUGUUUUGUGACAUUUUUGAAAUAUUUUACAAAUAAAAAUGCUCGUUAGUCCCUAUUCGGUCGCACAAUAUUUACUCGAGAAACACUUAAUAAAUUUAACAAAAUUUUAAAACGUUGCACAAUCGUCGCAAUUUAGUCACAAAACAGUUACACAAACGUUGCAACGUGCGACUGUGUUCUGCUGUCGUCGUAAAAAAGUUGCACAAAGCGACUGUUUUGUGACAUUUUGGAAUAGGUCACAAGACAAACUUUUGAAAUCCACAUAGUUCGAUCCAUUCUAUAGAUAAACAUUACUGAAAAACAUCCAUUUUAGUACAUAAAGAACUUUAGGUAUAGAAAUGAUUGGUUUCAAACUUAUUUGAGAACUUGUUUGAAAAGAUCAAUCAUGAAAAUGAAUUCACAUGAACCUUAUCAUGUAGAUUAGGUUUUUUUGAAUAUUUGGUUUGUAAUAUUCAGAUUUGAAGUGUUUGGUUAUGUUUUUAUAUAUAAUAUCGACCAAAUUAAAGUGUCAACGUAUAAGAAAACAUAUAAACAUACCAAAACUUAAAAAUUUCGAAAUUCAAAACUCGAGCGUUGGUAAUAAGUAGCUAAUUGGUUGCAAAGUGCGACUGUGUUCUGUUGUCGUCGUAAAAACGUUGCACCUAGCGACUGUUUUGUGACAUUUUUGAAACAUUUUACAAAUAAAAAUUCUCGUUAGUCCCUAUUCGGUUGCACAAUAUUUACUCGAGAAACACUUAAUAAAUUUAACAAAAUUUUAAAACGUUGCACAAUCGUCGCAAUUUAGUCACAAAACAGUUACACAAACGUUGCAACGUGCGACUGUGUUCUGCUGUCGUCGCAAAAAAGUUGCACAAAGCGACUGUUUUGUUAUAUUUUGGAAUAGGUCACAAGACAAACUUUUGAAAACCACAUAGUUUGAUCCAUUCUAUAGAUAAACAUUACUGAAAAACAACCAUUUUAGUACAUAAAGAACUUUAGGUAUACAAAUGAUUUGUUUCAAACUUAUUUGAGAACUUGUUUGAAAAGAUCAAUCAUGAAAAUAAAUUCACAUGCACCUUAUUAUGUAGAUUAGGUUUUUUUGAAUGUUUGGUUUGUAAUAUUCAGAUUUGAAGUGUUUGGUUAUGUUUUUAUAUAUAAUAUCGACCAAAUUAAAGUGUCAACGUAUAAGAAAACAUAUAAAUAUACCAGAACUUAAAAAUUUCGAAAUUCAAAACUCGAGCGUUGGUAAUAAGUAGCUAAUUGGUUGAAAAGUGCGACUGUGUUCUGUUGUCGUCGCAAAAACGUUGCACCUAGCGACUGUUUUGUGACAUUUUUGAAACAGUUUACAAAUAAAGAUGCUCGUUAGUCCCUAUUCGGUCGCACAAUAUAUACUCGAGAAACACUUAAUAAAUUUAACAAAAUUUUAAAACGUUGCACAAUCGUCGCAAUUUAGUCACAAAACAGUUACACAAACUUUGCAACGUGCGACUGUGUUCUGCUGUCGUCGCAAAAAAGUUGCACAAAGCGACUGUUUUGUGACAUUUUGGAAUAGGUCACAAGACAAACUUUUGAAAUCCACAUAGUUUGAUCCAUUCUAUACAUAAACAUUACUGAAAAACAACCAUUUUAGUACAUAAAGAACUUUAGGUAUAGAAAUGAUUGGUUUCAAACUUAUUUGAGAACUUGUUUGAAAAGAUCAAUCAUGAAAAUGAAUUCACAUGAACCUUAUCAUGUAGAUUAGUUUUUUUAGAAUGUUUUGUUUGUAAUAUUCAGAUUUGAAGUGUUUGGUUAUGUUUUUAUAUAUAAUAUCGACCAAAUUAAAGUGUCAACGUAUAAGAAAACUUAUAAACAUACCAAAACUUAAAAAUUUCGAAAUUCAAAACUCGAGCGUUGGUAAUAAGUAGCUACUUGGUUGCAAAGUGCGACUGUGUUCUGUUGUCGUCGCAAAAACGUUGCACCUAGGGACUGUUUUGUGACAUUUUUGAAACAUUUUACAAAUAAAAAUGCUCUUUAGUCCCUAUUCGGUCGCACAAUAUUUACUCGAGAAACACUUAAUAAAUUUAACAAAAUUUUAAAACGUUGCACAAUCGUCGCAAUUUAGUCACAAAACAGUUACACAAACGUUGCAACGUGCGACUGUGUUCUGCUGUCGUCGCAAAAAAGUUGCACAAAGCGACUGUUUUGUGACAUUUUGGAAUAGGUCACAAGACAAAGUUUUGAAAUCCACAUAGUUCGAUCCAUUCUAUAGAUAAACAUUACUGAAAAAGAACCAUUUUAGUACAUAAAGAACUUUAGGUAUACAAAUGAUUGGUUUCAAACUUAUUUGAGAACUUGUUUGAAAAGAUCAAUCAUGAAAAUGAAUUCACAUGAACCUUAUCAUGUAGAUUAGGUUUUUUUGAAUGUUUGGUUUGUAAUAUUCAGAUUUGAAGUGUUUGGUUAUGUUUUUAUAUAUAAUAUCGACCAAAUUAAAGUGUCAACGUAUAAGAAAACAUAUAAACAUACCAAAACUUAAAAAUUUCGAAAUUCAAAACUCGAGCGUUGGUAAUAAGUAGCUAAUUGGUUGCAAAGUGCGACUGUGUUCUGUUGUCGUCGCAAAAACGUUGCACCUAGCGACUGUUUUGUGACAUUUUUGAAAUAUUUUACAAAUAAAAAUGCUCGUUAGUCCCUAUUCGGUCGCACAAUAUUUACUCGAGAAACACUUAAUAAAUUUAACAAAAUUUUAAAACGUUGCACAAUCGUCGCAAUUUAGUCACAAAACAGUUACACAAACGUUGCAACGUGCAACUGUAUUCUGAUGUCGUCGCAAAAAAGUUGCACAAAGCGACUGUUUUGUGACAUUUUGGAAUAGGUCACAAGACAAAGUUUUGAAAUCCACAUAGUUCGAUCCAUUCUAUAGAUAAACAUUACUGAAAAACAACCAUUUUAGUACAUAAAGAACUUUAGGUAUAGAAAUGAUUGGUUUCAAACUUAUUUGAGAACUUGUUUGAAAAGAUCAAUCAUGAAAAUGAAUUCACAUGAACCUUAUCAUGUAGAUUAGGUUUUUUUGAAUGUUUGGUUUGUAAUAUUCAGAUUUGAAGUGUUUGGUUAUGUUUUUAUAUAUAAUAUCGACCAAAUUAAAGUGUCAACGUAUAAGAAAACAUAUAAACAUACCAGAACUUAAAAAUUUCGAAAUUUAAAACUCGAGCGUUGGUAAUAAGUAGCUAAUUGGUUGCAAAGUACGACUGUGUUCUGUUGUCGUCGCAAAAACGUUGCACCUAGCGACUGUUUUGUGAUAUUUUUGAAAUAUUUUACAAAUAAAAAUGCUCGUUAGUCCCUAUUCGGUCGCACAAUAUUUACUCGAGAAACACUUAAUAAAUUUAACAAAAUUUUAAAACGUUGCACAAUCGUCGCAAUUUAGUCACAAAACAGUUACACAAACGUUGCAACGUGCGACUGUGUUCUGCUGUCGUCGCAAAAAAGUUGCACAAAGCGACUGUUUUGUGACAUUUUGGAAUAGGUCACAAGACAAAGUUUUGAAAUCCACAUAGUUCGAUCCAUUCUAUAGAUAAACAUUACUGAAAAACAACCAUUUUAGUACAUAAAGAACUUUAGGUAUACAAAUGAUUGGUUUCAAACUUAUUUGAGAACUUGUUUGAAAAGAUCAAUCAUGAAAAUGAAUUCACAUGAACCUUAUCAUGUAGAUUAGGUUUUUUUGAAUGUUUGGUUUGUAAUAUUCAGAUUUGAAGUGUUUGGUUAUGUUUUUAUAUAUAAUAUCGACCAAAUUAAAGUGUCAACGUAUAAGAAAACAUAUAAACAUACCAAAACUUAAAAAUUUCGAAAUUCAAAACUCGAGCGUUAAGAAUAAGUAGCUAAUUGGUUGCAAAGUGCGACUGUGUUCUGUUGUCGUCGCAAAAACGUUGCACCUAGGGGACUGUUUUGUGACAUUUUUGAAACAUUUUACAAAUAAAAAUGCUCUUUAGUCCCUAUUCUGUCGCACAAUAUUUACUCGAGAAACACUUAAUAAAUUUAACAAAAUUUUAAAACGUUGCACAAUCGUCGCAAUUUAGUCACAAAACAGUUACACAAACGUUGCAACGUGCGACUGUGUUCUGCUGUCGUCGCAAAAAAGUUGCACAAAGCAACUGUUUUGUGACAUUUUGGAAUAGGUCACAAGACAAACUUUUGAAAUCCACAUAGUUCGAUCCAUUCUAUAGAUAAACAUUAUUGAAAAACAACCAUUUUAGUACAUAAAGAACUUUAGGUAUACAAAUGAUUGGUUUCAAACUUAUUCGAGAACUUGUUUGAAAAGAUCAAUCAUGAAAAUGAAUUCACAUGAACCUUAUCAUGUAGAUUAGGUUUUUUUGACUGUUUUGUUUGUAAUAUUCAGAUUUGAAGUGUUUGGUUAUGUUUUUAUAUAUAAUAUCGACCAAAUUAAAGUGUAAACGUAUAAGAAAACUUAUAAACAUACCAGAACUUAAAAAUUUCGAAAUUCAAAACUCGAGCGUUGGUAAUAAGUAGCUAAUUGGUUGCAAAGUGCGACUGUGUUCUGUUGUCGUCGCAAAAACGUUGCACCUAGCGACUGUUUUGUGACAUUUUUGAAACAUUUUACAAAUAAAAAUGCUCGUUAGUCCCUAUUCGGUCGCACAAUAUUUACUCGAGAAACACUUAAUAAAUUUAACAAAAUUUUAAAACGUUGCACAAUCGUCGCAAUUUAGUCACAAAACAGUUACACAAACGUUGCAACGUGCGACUGUCUUCUGCUGUCGUCGCAAAAAAAUUGCACAAAGCGACUGUUUUGUGACAUUUUAGAAUAGGUCACAAGACAAACUUUUGAAAUCCACAUAGUUCGAUCCAUUCUAUAGAUAAACAUUACUGAAAAACAACCAUUUUAGUACAUAAAGAACUUUAGGUAUACAAAUGAUUGGUUUCAAACUUAUUUGAGAACUUGUUUGAAAAGAUCAAUCAUGAAAAUGAAUUCACAUGAACCUUAUCAUGUAGAUUAGGUUUUUUUCAAUGUUUGGUUUGUAAUAUUCAGAUUUGAAGUGUUUGGUUAUGUUUUUAUAUAUAAUAUCGACCAAAUUAAAGUGUCAACGUAUAAGAAAACAUAUAAACAUACCAAAACUUAAAAAUUUCGAAAUUCAAAACUCGAGCGUUGGUAAUAAGUAGCUAAUUGGUUGCAAAGUGCGACUGUGUUCUGUUGUCGUCGCAAAAACGUUGCACCUAGCGACUGUUUUGUGACAUUUUUGAAAUAUUUUACAAAUAAAAAUGCUCGUUAGUCCCUAUUCGGUNGCACAAUAUUUACUCGAGAAACACUUAAUAAAUUUAACAAAAUUUUAAAACGUUGCACAAUCGUCGCAAUUUAGUCACAAAAUAGUUACACAAACGUUGCAACGUGCGACUGUGUUCUGCUGUCGUCGCAAAAAAGUUGCACAAAGCGACUGUUUUGUGAUAUUGUGAAUAGGUCACAAGACAAACUUUUGAAAUCCACAUAGUUUGAUCCAUUCUAUAGAUAAACAUUACUGAAAAACAACCAUUUUAGUACAUAAAGAACUUUAGGUAUACAAAUGAUUGGUUUCAAACUUAUUUGAGAACUUGUUUGAAAAGAUCAAUCAUGAAAAUGAAUUCACAUGAACCUUAUCAUGUAGAUUAGGUCUUUUUGAAUGUUUGGUUUGUAAUAUUCAGAUUUGAAGUGUUUGGUUAUGUUUUUAUAUAUAAUAUCGACCAAAUUAAAGUGUCAACGUAUAAGAAAACAUAUAAAUAUACCAGAACUUAAAAAUUUCGAAAUUCAAAACUCGAGCGUUGGUAAUAAGUAGCUAAUUGGUUGAAAAGUGCGACUGUGUUCGGUUGUCGUCGCAAAAACGUUGCACCUAGCGACUGUUUUGUGACAUUUUUGAAACAUUUUACAAAUAAAAAUGCUCGUUAGUCCCUAUUCGGUCGCACAAUAUUUACUCGAGAAACACUUAAUAAAUUUAACAAAAUUUUAAAACGUUGCACAAUCGUCGCAAUUUAGUCACAAAACAGUUACACAAACGUUGCAACGUGCGACUGUGUUCUGCUGUCGUCGCAAAAAAGUUGCACAAAGCGACUGUUUUGUGACAUUUUGGAAUAGGUCACAAGACAAACUUUUGAAAUCCACAUAGUUCGAUCCAUUCUAUAGAUAAACAUUACUGAAAAACAACCAUUUUAGUACAUAAAGAACUUUAGGUAUACAAAUGAUUGGUUUCAAACUUAUUUGAGAACUUGUUUGAAAAGAUCAAUCAUGAAAAUGAAUUCACAUGAACCUUAUCAUGUAGAUUAGGUUUUUUUUGAAUGUUUGGUUUGUAAUAUUCAGAUUUGAAGUGUUUGGUUAUGUUUUUAUAUAUAAUAUCGACCAAAUUAAAGUGUCAACGUAUAAGAAAACGUAUAACAUACCAGAACUUAAGAAUUUCGAAAUUCAAAACUCGAGCGUUGGUAAUAAGUACCUAAUUGGUUGAAAAGUGCGACUGUGUUCUGUUGUCGUCGCAAAAACGUUGCACCUAGCGAUUGUUUUGUGACAUUUUCGAAACAUUUUACAAAUAAAAAUGCUCGUUAGUCCCUAUUCGGUCGCACAAUAUUUACUCGAGAAACACUUAAUAAAUUUAACAAAAUUUUAAAACGUUGCACAAUCGUCGCAAUUUAGUCACAAAACAGUUACACAAACGUUGCAACGUGCGACUGUGUUCUGCUGUCGUCGCAAAAAAAUUGCACAAAGCGAAUGUUUUGUGAAAUUUUGGAAUAGGUCACAAGACAAACUUUUGAAAUCCACAUAGUUCGAUCAAUUCUAUAGAUAAACAUUACUGAAAAACAACCAUUUUAAUACAUAAAGAACUUUAGGUAUAUAAAUGAUUGGUUUAGAACUUAUUUGAGAACUUGUUUGAAAAGAUCAAUCAUGAAAAUGAAUUCACAUGAACCUUAUCAUGUAGAUUAGGUUUUUUUGAAUGUUUUGUUUGUAAUAUUCAGAUUUGAAGUGUUUGGUUAUGUUUUUAUAUAUAAUAUCGACCAAAUUAAAGUGUCAACGUAUAAGAAAACAUAUAAACAUACCGGAACUUAAAAAUUUCGAAAUUCAACACUCGAGCGUUUGUAAUAAGUAGCUAAUUGGUUGCAAAGUGAGACUGUGUUCUGUUGUCGUCGCAAAAACGUUGCACCUAGCGACUGUUUUGUGACAUUUUUGAAACAUUUUACAAAUAAAAAUGCUCGUUAGUCCCUAUUCGGUCGCACAAUAUUUACUCGAGAAACACUUAAUAAAUUUAACAAAAUCUUAAAACGUUGCACAAUCGUCGCAAUUUAGUCACAAAACAGUUACACAAACGUUGCAACGUGCGAAUGUGUUCUGCUGUCGUCGCAAAAAAAUUGCACAAAGCGACUGUUUUGUGACAUUUUGGAAUAGGUCACAAGACAAACUUUUGAAAUCCACAUAGUUCGAUCCAUUCUAUAGAUAAACAUUACUGAAAAACAACAAUUUUAGCACAUAAAGAACUUUACGUAUACAAAUGAUUAGUUUCAAACUUAUUUGAGAACUUGUUUGAAAAGAUCAAUCAUUAAAAUGAAUUCACAUGAACCUUAUCAUGUAGAUUAGUUUUUUUUGAAUGUUUGGUUUGUAAUAUUCAGAUUUGAAGUGUUUGGUUAUGUUUUUAUAUAUAAUAUCGACCAAAUUAAUGCGUCAACGUAUAAGAAAACAUAUAAACAUACCAGAACUUAAAAAUUUCGAAAUUCAAAACUCGAGCGUUGGUAAUAAGUAGCUAAUUGGUUGCAAAGUGCGACUGUGUUCUGUUGUCGUCGCAAAAACGUUGCACCUAGCGACUGUUUUGUGAUAUUUUUGAAACAUUUUACAAAUAAAAAUGCUCGUUAGUCCCUAUUCGGUCGCACAAUAUUUACUAGAGAAACACUUAAUAAAUUUCAUAAAAUUUUAAAACGUUGCACAAUCGUCGCAAUUUAGUCACAAAACAGUUACACAAACGUUGCAACGUGCGACUGUGUUCUGCUGUCGUCGCAAAAAAGUUGCACAAAGCGACUGUUUUGUGACAUUUUGGAAUAGGUCACAAGACAAACUUUUGAAAUCCACAUAGUUCGAUCCAUUCUAUAGAUAAACAUUACUGAAAAACAACCAUUUUAGGACAUAAAGAACUGUAGGUAUACAAAUGAUUGGUUUCAAACUUGUUUGAGAACUUGUUUGAAAAGAUCAAUCAUGAAAAUGAAUUCACAUGAACCUUAUAAUGUAGAUUAGUUUUUUUUGAAUGUUUGGUUUCUAAUAUUCAGAUUUGAAGUGUUUGGUUAUGUUUUUAUAUAUAAUACGACCAAAUUAAUGCGUCAACGUAUAAGAAAACAUAUAAAGAUACCAGAACUUAAAAAUUUCGAAAUUCAAAACUCGAGCGUUGUUAAUAAGUAGCUAAUUGGUUGAAAAGUGCGACUGUGUUCUGUUGUCGUAGCAAAAACGUUGCACCUAGCGACUGUUUUAGUGACAUUUUUGAAACAUUUUACAAAUAAAAAUGCUCGUUAGUCCCUAUUCGGUCGCACAAUAUUUACUCGAGAAACACUUAAUAAAUUUAACAAAAUCUUAAAACGUUGAACAAUCGUCGCAAUUUAGUCACAAAACAUUUACACAAACUUUGCAACGUGCGAAUGUGUUCUGCUGUCGUCGCAAAAAAGUUGCACAAAUCGACUGUUUUGUGACAUUUUGGAAUAGGUCACAAGACAAAAUUUUGAAAUCCACAUAGUUUGAUCCAUUCUAUAGAUAAACAUUACUGAAAAACAACAAUUUUAGCACAUAAAGAACUUUACGUAUACAAAUGAUUAGUUUCAAACUUAUUUGAGAACUUGUUUGAAAAGAUCAAUCAUUAAAAUGAAUUCACAUGAACCUUAUCAUGUAGAUUAGUUUUUUUUGAAUGUUUGGUUUGUAAUAUUCAGAUUUGAAGUGUUUGGUUAUGUUUUUAUAUAUAAUAUCGACCAAAUUAAAGUGUCAACGUAUAAGAAAACAUAUAAACAUACCAGAACUUAAAAAUUUCGAAAUUCAAAACUCGAGCGUUGGUAAUAAGUAGCUAAUUGGUUGCAAAGUGCGACUGUGUUCUGUUGUCGUCGCAAAAACGUUGCACCUAGCGACUGUUUUGUGAUAUUUUUGAAACAUUUUACAAAUAAAAAUGCUCGUUAGUCCCUAUUCGGUCGCACAAUAUUUACUAGAGAAACACUUAAUAAAUUUCAUAAAAUUUUAAAACGUUGCACAAUCGUCGCAAUUUAGUCACAAAACAGUUACACAAACGUUGCAACGUGCGACUGUGUUCUGCUGUCGUCGCAAAAAAGUUGCACAAAGCGACUGUUUUGUGACAUUUUGGAAUAGGUCACAAGACAAACUUUUGAAAUCCACAUAGUUCGAUCCAUUCUAUAGAUAAACAUUACUGAAAAACAACCAUUUUAGGACAUAAAGAACUGUAGGUAUACAAAUGAUUGGUUUCAAACUUGUUUGAGAACUUGUUUGAAAAGAUCAAUCAUGAAAAUGAAUUCACAUGAACCUUAUAAUGUAGAUUAGUUUUUUUUGAAUGUUUGGUUUGUAAUAUUCAGAUUUGAAGUGUUUGGUUAUGUUUUUAUAUAUAAUACGACCAAAUUAAUGCGUCAACGUCUAAGAAAACAUAUAAAGAUACCAGAACUUAAAAAUUUCGAAAUUCAAAACUCGAGCGUUGUUAAUAAGUAGCUAAUUGGUUGAAAAGUGUGACUGUGUUCUGUUGUCGUCGCAAAAACGUUGCACCUAGCGACUGUUUUGUGACAUUUUUGAAACAUUUUACAAAUAAAAAUGCUCGUUAGUCCCUAUUCGGUCGCACAAUAUUUACUCGAGAAACACUUAAUAAAUUUAACAAAAUUUUAAAACGUUGAACAAUCGUCGCAAUUUAGUCACAAAACAGUUACACAAACGUUGCAACGUGCGACUGUGUUCUGCUGUCGUCGCAAAAAAGUUGCACAAAGCGACUGUUUUGUGAUAUUUUGGAAUAGGUCACAAGACAAACUUUUGAAAUCCACAUAGUUUGAUCCAUUCUAUAGAUAAACAUUACUGAAAAACAACCAUUUUAUUACAUAAAGAACUGUAGGUAUACAAAUGAUUGGUUUCAAACUUAUUUGAGAACUUGUUUGAAAAGCUCAAUCAUGAAAAUGAAUUCACAUGAACCUUAUCAUGUAGAUUAGUUUUUUUUGAAUGUUUGGUUUGUAAUAUUCAGAUUUGAAGUGUUUGGUUAUGUUUUUAUAUAUAAUAUCGACCAAAUUAAAGUGUCAACGUAUAAGGAAACAUAUAAACGUACCAGAACUUAAAAAUUUCGAAAUUCAAAACUCGAGCGUUGGUAAUAAGUAGCUAAUUGGUUGCAAAGUGCGACUGUAUUCUGUUGUCGUCGCAAAACGUUGAACCUAGCGACUGUUUUGUGACAUUUUUGAAACAUUUUACAAAUAAAAAUGCUCGUUAGUCCCUAUUCGGUCGCACAAUAUUUACUAGAGAAACACUUAAUAAAUUUCACAAAAUUUUAAAACGUUGCACAAUCGUCGCAAUUUAGUCACAAAACAGUUACACAAACGUUACAACGUGCGACUGUGUUCUGCUGUCGUCGCAAAAAAAUUGCACAAAGCGACUGUUUUGUGACAUUUUGGAAUAGGUCACAAGACAAACUUUUGAAAUCCACAUAGUUUGAUCCAUUCUAUAGAUAAACAUUACUGAAAAACAACCAUUUUAGUAAAUAAAGAACUUUAGGUAUACAAAUGAUUGGUUUAAAACUUAUUUGAGAACUUGUUUGAAAAGAUCAAUCAUGAAAAUGAAUUCACAUGAACCUUAUCAUGUAGAUUAGGUUUUUUGAAUGUUUGGUUUGUAAUAUUCAGAUUUGAAGUGUUUGGUUAUGUUUUUAUAUAUAAUAUCGACCAAAUUAAAGUGUCAACGUAUAAGAAAACAUAUAAACGUACCAGAACUUUAAAAUUUCGAAAUUCAAAACUCGAGCGUUGGUAAUAAGUAGCUAAUUGGUUGCAAAGUACGACUGUGUUCUGUUGUCGUCGCAAAAACAUUGCACCUAACGACUGUUUUGUGACAUUUUUGAAACAUUUUACAAAUAAAAAUGCUCGUUAGUCCCUAUUCGGUCGCACAAUAUUUACUCGAGAAACACUUAAUAAAUUAAACAAAAUAUUAAAACGUUGCAAAAUCGUCGCAAUUUAGUCACAAAACAGUUACACAAACGUUGCAACGUGCGACUGUGUUCUGCUGUCGUCGCAAAAAAAUUGCACAAAGCGACUGUUUUGUGACAUUUUGGAAUAGAUCACAAGACAAACUUUUGAAAUCCACAUAGUUUGAUCCAUUCUAUAGAUAAACAUUACUGAAAAACAACCAUUUUAGUACAUAAAGAACUUUAGGUAUACAAAUGAUUGGUUUCAAACUUAUUUGAGAACUUGUUUGAAAAGAUCAAUCAUGAAAAUGAAUUCACAUGAACCUUAUCAUGUAGAUUAGGUUUUUUUGAAUGUUUGGUUUGUAAUAUUCAGAUUUGAAGUGUUUGGUUAUGUUUUUAUAUAUAAUAUCGACCAAAUUAAAGUGUCAACGUAUAAAAAAACAUAUAAACAUACCAGAACUUAAAAAUUUCGAAAUUCAAAACUCGAGCGUUGGUAAUAAGUAGCUAAUUGGUUGAAAAGUGCGACUGUGUUCUGUUGUCGUCGCAAAACGUUGCACCUAGCGACUGUUUUGUGACAUUUUUGAAACAUUUUACAAAUAAAAAUGCUCGUUAGUCCCUAUUCGGUCGCACAAUAUUUACUAGAGAAACACUUAAUAAAUUUCACAAAAUUUUAAAACGUUGCACAAUCGUCGCAAUUUAGUCACAAAACAGUUACACAAACGUUGCAACGUGCGACUAUGUUCUGCUGUCGUCGCAAAAAAGUUGCACAAAGCGACUGUUUUGUGACAUUUUGGAAUAGGUCACAAGACAAACUUUUGAAAUCCACAUAGUUCGAUCCAUUCUAUAGAUAAACAUUACUGAAAAACAACCAUUUUAGUACAUAAAGAACUUUAGGUAUACAAAUGAUUUGUUUCAAACUUAUUUGAGAACUUGUUUGAAAAGAUCAAUCAUGAAAAUGAAUUCACAUGAACCUUAUAAAUUUAACAAAAUUUUAAAAUGUUGCACUAUCGUCGCAAUUUAGUCACAAAACAGUUACACAAACGUUGCAACGUGCGACUGUGUUCUGCUGUCGUCGCAAAAAAGUUGAACAAAGCGACUGUUUUGUGACAUUUUGGAAUAGGUCACAAGACAAACUUUUAAAAUCCACAUAGUUUGAUCCAUUCUAUAGAUAAACAUUACUGAAAAACAACCAUUUUAUUACAUAAAGAACUGUAGAUAUACAAAUGAUUGGUUUCAAACUUAUUUGAGAACUUGUUUGAAAAGAUCAAUCAUGAAAAUGGAUUCACAUCAACCUUAUCAUGUAGAUUAGGUUUUUUUCAGUGUUUGGUUUGUAAUAUUUAGAUUUGAAGUGUUUGGUUAUGUUUUUAUAUAUAAUAUCGACCAAAUUAAAGUGUCAACGUAUAAGGAAACAUAUAAACGUACCAGAACUUAAAAAUUUUGAAAUUCAAAACUCGAGCGUUGGUAAUAAGUAGCUAAUUGGUUGCAAAGUGCGACUGUAUUCUGUUGUCGUCGCAAAACGUUGCACCUAGCGACUGUUUUGUGACAUUUUUGAAACAUUUUACAAAUAAAAAUGCUCGUUAGUCCCUAUUCGGUCGCACAAUAUUUACUAGAGAAACACUUAAUAAAUUUCACAAAAUUUUAAAACGUUGCACAAUCGUCGCAAUUUAGUCACAAAACAGUUACACAAACGUUACAACGUGCGACUGUGUUCUGCUGUCGUCGCAAAAAAAUUGCACAAAGCGACUGUUUUGUGACAUUUUGGAAUAGAUCACAAGACAAACUUUUGAAAUCCACAUAGUUUGAUCCAUUCUAUAGAUAAACAUUACUGAAAAACAACCAUUUUAGUACAUAAAGAACUUUAGGUAUACAAAUGAUUGGUUUCAAACUUAUUUGAGAACUUGUUUGAAAAGAUCAAUCAUGAAAAUGAAUUCACAUGAACCUUAUCAUGUAGAUUAGGUUUUUUUGAAUGUUUGGUUUGUAAUAUUCAGAUUUGAAGUGUUUGGUUAUGUUUUUAUAUAUAAUAUCGACCAAAUUAAAGUGUCAACGUAUAAAAAAACAUAUAAACAUACCAGAACUUAAAAAUUUCGAAAUUCAAAACUCGAGCGUUGGUAAUAAGUAGCUAAUUGGUUGAAAAGUGCGACUGUGUUCUGUUGUCGUCGCAAAACGUUGCACCUAGCGACUGUUUUGUGACAUUUUUGAAACAUUUUACAAAUAAAAAUGCUCGUUAGUCCCUAUUCGGUCGCACAAUAUUUACUAGAGAAACACUUAAUAAAUUUCACAAAAUUUUAAAACGUUGCACAAUCGUCGCAAUUUAGUCACAAAACAGUUACACAAACGUUGCAACGUGCGACUAUGUUCUGCUGUCGUCGCAAAAAAGUUGCACAAAGCGACUGUUUUGUGACAUUUUGGAAUAGGUCACAAGACAAACUUUUGAAAUCCACAUAGUUCGAUCCAUUCUAUAGAUAAACAUUACUGAAAAACAACCAUUUUAGUACAUAAAGAACUUUAGGUAUACAAAUGAUUUGUUUCAAACUUAUUUGAGAACUUGUUUGAAAAGAUCAAUCAUGAAAAUGAAUUCACAUGAACCUUAUAAAUUUAACAAAAUUUUAAAAUGUUGCACUAUCGUCGCAAUUUAGUCACAAAACAGUUACACAAACGUUGCAACGUGCGACUGUGUUCUGCUGUCGUCGCAAAAAAGUUGCACAAAGCGACUGUUUUGUGACAUUUUGGAAUAGGUCACUAGACAAACUUUUAAAAUCCACAUAGUUUGAUCCAUUCUAUAGAUAAACAUUACUGAAAAACAACCAUUUUAUUACAUAAAGAACUGUAGAUAUACAAAUGAUUGGUUUCAAACUUAUUUGAGAACUUGUUUGAAAAGAUCAAUCAUGAAAAUGGAUUCACAUCAACCUUAUCAUGUAGAUUAGGUUUUUUUCAGUGUUUGGUUUGUAAUAUUUAGAUUUGAAGUGUUUGGUUAUGUUUUUAUAUAUAAUAUCGACCAAAUUAAAGUGUCAACGUAUAAGAAAACAUAUAAACAUACCAGAACUUAACAAUUUCGAAAUUCAAAACUCGAGCGUUGGUAAUAAGUAGCUAAUUGGUUGAAAAGUGCGACUGUGUUCUAUUGUCGUCGCAAAAACGUUGCACCUAGCGACUGUUUUGUGACAUUUUUGAAACAUUUUACAAAUAAAAAUGCUCGUUAGUCCCUAUUCGGUCGCACAAUAUUUACUCGAGAAACACUUAAUAAAUUUAACAAAAUUUUAAAACGUUGCACAAUCGUCGCAAUUUAGUCACAAAACAGUUACAAAAACGUUACAACGUGCGACUGUGUUCUGCUGUCGUCGCAAAAAAAUUGCACAAAGCGACUGCUUUAUGACAUUUUGGAAUAGGUCACAAGACAAACUUUUGAAAUCCACAUAGUUUGAUCCAUUCUAUAGAUAAACAUUACUGAAAAACAACCAUUUUAGUACAUAAAGAACUUUAGGUAUACAAAUGAUUGGUUUCAAACUUAUUUGAGAACUUGUUUGAAAAGAUCAAUCAUGAAAAUGAAUUCACAUGAACCUUAUCAUGUAGAUUAGGUUUUUUCGAAUGUUUGGUUUGUAAUAUUAAUAUUUGAAGUGUUUGGUUAUGUUUUUAUAUAUAAUAUCGACCAAAUUAAAGUGUCAACGUAUAAGAAAACAUAUAAACAUACCAGAACUUAAAAAUUUCGAAAUUCAAAACUCGAGCGUUGGUAAUAAGUAGAUAAUUGGUUGCAAAGUGCGACUGUGUUCUGUUGUCGUCGCAAAAACGUUGCACCUAGCGACUGUUUUGUGACGUUUAUGAAACAUUUUACAAAUAAAAAUGCUCGUUAGUACCUAUUCGGUCGCACAAUAUUUACUCGAGAAACACUUAAUAAAUUUAACAAAAUUUUAAAACGUUGUACAAUCGUCGCAAUUUAGUUACAAAACAGUUACACAAACGUUGCAACGUGCGACUGUGUUCUGCUGUCGUCGCAAAAAAGUUGCACAAAGCGACUGUUUUAUGACAUUUUGGAAUAGGUCACAAGACAAACUUUUGAAAUUCACAUAGUUCGAUCCAUUCUAUAGAUAAACAUUACUGAAAAACAACCAUUUUAGUACAUCAAGAACUUUAGGUAUACAAAUGAUUGGUUUCAAACUUAUUUGAGAACUUGUUUGAAAAGAUCAAUCAUGAAAAUGAAUUCACAUGAACCUUAUCAUGUAGAUUAAGUUUUUUGGAAUGUUUGGUUUGUAAUAUUCAGAUUUGAAGUGUUUGGUUAUGUUUUUAUAUAUAAUAUCGACCAAAUUAAAGUGUCAACGUAUAAGAAAACAUAUAAACGUACGAAAACUUAAAAAUUUCGAAACUCAAAACUCGAGCGUUGGUAAUAAGUAGCUAAUUGGUUGCAAUGUGCGACUGUGUUCUGUUGUCGUCGCAAAAACGUUGCACCUAGCGACUGUUUUGUGACAUUUUUGAAACAUUUUACAAAUAAAAAUGCUCGUUAGUCCCUAUUCGGUCGCACAAUAUAUACUUGAGAAACACUUAAUAAAUUUAACAAAAUUUUAAAACGUUGCACAAUCGUCGCAAUUUAGUCACAAAACAGUUACACAUACGUUGCAACGUGCGACUGUGUUCUGCUGUCGUCGCAAAAAAGUUGAACAAAGCGACUGUUUUGUGACAUUUUGGAAUAGGUCACAAGACAAACUUUUGAAAGCCACAUAGUUUGAUCCAUUCUAUAGAUAAACAUUACUGAAAAACAACCAUUUUAGUACAUAAAGAACUUUAGGUUUACAAAUGAUUGGUUUAAAACUUAUUUAAGAACUUGUUUGAAAUGAUCAAUCAUGAAAAUAAAUUCACAUGAACCAUAUCAUGUAGAUUAGGUUUUUUUGAAUGUUUGGUUUGUAAUAUUCAGAUUUGAAGUGUUUGGUUAUGUUUUUAUAUAUAAUAUCGACCAAAUUAAAGUGUCCACGUAUAAGAAAACAUAUAAACGUACCAGAACUUAAAAAUUUCGAAAUUCAAAACUCGAGCGUUGGUAAUAGGUAGCUAAUUGGUUGCAAAGUGCGACUGUGUUCUGUUGUCGUCGCAAAAACGUUGCACCUAACGACUGUUUUGUGACAUUUUUGAAACAUUUUACAAAUAAAAAUGCUCGUUAGUCCCUAUUCGGUCGCACAAUAUUUACUCGAGAAACACUUAAUAAAUUAAACAAAAUUUUAAAACGUUGCAAAAUCGUCGCAAUUUAGUCACAAAACAGUUACAAAAACGUUGCAACGUGCGACUGUGUUCUGCUGUCGUCGCAAAUAAAUUGCACAAAGCGACUGUUUUGUGACAUUUUAGAAUAGGUCACAAAACAAACUUUUGAAAUCCACAUAGUUUGAUCCAUUCUAUAGAUAAACAUUACUGAAAAACAACCAUUUUAGUACAUAAAGAACUUUAGGUAUACAAAUGAUUGGUUUCAAACUUAUUUGAGAACUUGUUUGAAAAGAUCAAUCAUGAAAAUGAAUUCACAUUAACCUUAUCAUGUAGAUUAGGUUUUUUUGAAUGUUUGGUUUGUAAUAUUCAGAUUUGAAGUGUUUGGUUAUGUUUUUAUAUAAAAUAUCGACCAAAUUAAAGUGUCCACGUAUAAGAAAACAUAUAAACAUACCAGAACUUAAAAAUUUCGAAAUUCAAAACUCGAGCGUUGGUAAUAAGUAGCUAAUUGGUUGCAAAGUGCGACUGUAUUCUGUUGUCGUCGCAAAAACGUUGCACCUAGCGACUGUUUUGUGACAUUUUUGAAACAUUUUACAAAUAAAAAUGCUCGUUAGUCCCUAUUCGGUCGCACAAUAUUUACUCGAGAAACACUAAAUAAAUUUAACAAAAUUUUAAAACGUUGCACAAUCGUCGCAAUUUAGUCUCAAAACAGUUACAAAAACGUUACAACGUGCGACUGUGUUCUGCUGUCGUCGCAAAAAAAUUGCACAAAGCGACUGCUUUGUGACAUUUUGGAAUAGGUCACAAGACAAACUUUUGAAAUCCACAUAGUUUGAUCCAUUCUAUAGAUAAACAUUACUGAAAAACAACCAUUUUAGUACAUAAAGAACUUUAGGUAUACAAAUGAUUGGUUUCAAACUUAUUUGAGAACUUGUUUGAAAAGAUCUAUCAUGAAAAUGAAUUCACAUGAACCUUAUCAUGUAGAUUAGGUUUUUUUGAAUGUUUGGUUUGUAAUAUUCAGAUUUGAAGUGUUUGGUUAUGUUUUUAUAUAUAAUACCGACCAAAUUAAAGUGUCAACGUAUAAGAAAACAUAUAAACAUACCAGAACUUAAAUAUUUCGAAAUUCAAAACUCGAGCGUUGGUAAUAAGUAGAUAAUUGGUUGCAAAGUGCGACUGUGUUCUGUUGUCGUCGCAAAAACGUUGCACCUAGCGACUGUUUUGUGACGUUUAUGAAACAUUUUACAAAUAAAAAUGCUCGUUAGUCCCUAUUCGGUCGCACAAUAUUUACUCGAGAAACACUUAAUAAAUUUAACAAAAUUUUAAAACGUUGCACAAUCGUCGCAAUUUAGUUACAAAACAGUUACACAAACGUUGCAACGUGCGACUGUGUUCUGCUGUCGUCGCAAAAAAGUUGCACAAAGCGACUGUUUUAUGACAUUUUGGAAUAGGUCACAAGACAAACUUUUGAAAUCCACAUAGUUCGAUCCAUUCUAUAGAUAAACAUUACUGAAAAACAACCAUUUUAGUACAUAAAGAACUUUAGGUAUACAAAUGAUUGGUUUAAAACUUAUUUAAGAACUUGUUUGAAAAGAUCAAUCAUGAAAAUGAAUUCACAUGAACCUUAUCAUGUAGAUUAGGUUUUUUUGAAUGUUUGGUUUGUAAUAUUCAGAUUUGAAGUGUUUGGUUAUGUUUUUAUAUAUAAUAUCGACCAAAUUAAAGUGUCCACGUAUAAGAAAACAUAUAAACGUACCAGAACUUAAAAAUUUCGAAAUUCAAAACUCGAGCGUUGGUAAUAAGUAGCUAAUUGGUUGCAAAGUGCGACUGUGUUCUGUUGUCGUCGCAAAAACGUUGCACCUAGCGACUGUUUUGUGACAUUUUUGAAACAUUUUACAAAUAAAAAUGCUCGUUAGUCCCUAUUCGGUCGCACAAUAUUUACUCGAGAAACACUUAAUAAAUUUAACAAAAUUUUAAAACGUUGCACAAUCGUCGCAAUUUAGUUACAAAACAGUUACACAAACGUUGCAACGUGCGACUGUGUUCUGCUGUCAUCGCAAAAAAGUUGCACAAAGCGACUGUUUUGUGACAUUUUGGAAUAGGUCACAAGACAAACUUUUGAAAUCCACAUAGUUCGAUCCAUUCUAUAGAUAAACAUUACUGAAAAACAACCAUUUUAGUACAUCAAGAACUUUAGGUAUACAAAUGAUUGGUUUCAAACUUAUUUGAGAACUUGUUUGAAAAGAUCAAUCAUGAAAAUGAAUUCACAUGAACCUUAUCAUGUAGAUUAAGUUUUUUGGAAUGUUUGGUUUGUAAUAUUCAGAUUUGAAGUGUUUGGUUAUGUUUUUAUAUAUAAUAUCGACCAAAUUAAAGUGUCAACGUAUAAGAAAACAUAUAAACGUACCAAAACUUAAAAAUUUCGAAAUUCAAAACUCGAGCGUUGGUAAUAAGUAGCUAAUUGGUUGCAAAGUGCGACUGUGUUCUGUUGUCGUCGCAAAAACGUUGCACCUAGCGACUGUUUUGUGACAUUUUUGAAACAUUUUACAAAUAAAAAUGCUCGUUAGUCCCUAUUGGGUCGCACAAUAUUUACUCGAGAAACACUUAAUAAAUUUAACAAAAUUUUAAAACGUUGCACAAUCGUCGCAAUUUAGUCACAAAAUAGUUACACAUACGUUGCAACGUGCGACUGUGUUCUGCUGUCGUCGCAAAAAAGUUGCACAAAGCGACUGUUUUGUGACAUUUUGGAAUAGGUCACAAGACAAACUUUUGAAAGCCACAUAGUUUGAUCCAUUCUAUAGAUAAACAUUACUGAAAAACAACCAUUUUAGUACAUAAAGAACUUUAGGUAUACAAAUGAUUGGUUUAAAACUUAUUUAAGAACUUGUUUGAAAAGAUCAAUCAUGAAAAUGAAUUCACAUGAACCUUAUCAUGUAGAUUAGGUUUUUUUGAAUGUUUGGUUUGUAAUAUUCAGAUUUGAAGUGUUUGGUUAUGUUUUUAUAUAUAAUAUCGACCAAAUUAAAGUGUCCACGUAUAAGAAAACAUAUAAACGUACCAGAACUUAAAAAUUUCGAAAUUCAAAACUCGAGCGUUGGUAAUAAGUAGCUAAUUGGUUGCAAAGUACGACUGUGUUCUGUUGUCGUCGCAAAAACGUUGCACCUAGCGACUGUUUUGUGACAUUUUUGAAACAUUUUACAAAUAAAAAUGCUCGUUAGUCCCUAUUCGGUCGCACAAUAUUUACUCGAGAAACACUUAAUAAAUUUAACAAAAUUUUAAAACGUUGCACAAUCGUCGCAAUUUAGUCACAAAACAGUUACAAAAACGUUACAACGUGCGACUGUGUUCUGCUGUCGUCGCAAAAAAAUUGCACAAAGCGACUGUUUUGUGACAUUUUGGAAUAGGUCACAAGACAAACUUUUGAAAUCCACAUAGUUUGAUCCAUUCUAUAGAUAAACAUUACUGAAAAACAACCAUUUAGUACAUAAAAAACUUUAGGUAUACAAAUGAUUGGUUUCAAACUUAUUUGAGAACUUGUUUGAAAAGAUCAAUCAUGAAAAUGAAUUCACAUGAACCUUAUCAUGUAGAUUAGGUUUUUUUGAAUGUUUGGUUUGUAAUAUUCAGAUUUGAAGUGUUUGGUUAUGUUUUUAUAUAUAAUAUCGACCAAAUUAAAGUGUCAACGUAUAAGAAAAUAUAUAAACGUACCAAAACUUAAAAAUUUUGAAAUUCAAAACUCGAGCGUUGGUAAUAAGUAGCUAAUUGGUUGCAAAGUGCGACUGUGUUCUGUUGUCGUCGCAAAAACGUUGCACCUAGCGAGUGUUUUGUGACAUUUUUGAAAUAUUUUACAAAUAAAAAUGCUCGUUAGUCCCUAUUCGGUCGCACAAUAUUUACUCGAGAAACACUUAAUAAAUUUAACAAAAUUUUAAAUCGUUGCACAAUCGUCGCAAUUUAGUCACAAAACAGUUACACAUACGUUGCAACGUGCGACUGUGUUCUGCUGUCGUCGCAAAAAAGUUGCACAAAGCGACUGUUUUGUGACAUUUUGGAAUAGGUCACAAGACAAACUUUUGAAAUCCACAUAGUUUGAUCCAUUCUAUAGAUAAACAUUACUGAAAAACAACCAUUUUAGUACAUAAAGAACUUUAGGUAUACAAAUGAUUGGUUUAAAACUUAUUUAAAAACUUGUUUGAAAAGAUCAAUCAUGAAAAUGAAUUCACAUGAACCUUAUCAUGUAGAUUAGGUUUUUUUGAAUGUUUGGUUUGUAAUAUUCAGAUUUGAAGUGUUUGGUUAUGUUUUUAUAUAUAAUAUCGACCAAAUUAAAGUGUCCACGUAUAAGAAAACAUAUAAACGUACCAGAACUUAAAAAUUUCGAAAUUCAAAACUCGAGCGUUGGUAAUAAGUAGCUAAUUGGUUGCAAAGUGCGAUUGUGUUCUGUUGUCGUCGCAAAAACGUUGCACCUAGCGACUGUUUUGUGACAUUUUUGAAACAUUUUACAAAUAAAAAUGCUCGUUAGUCCCUAUUCGGUCGCACAAUAUUUACUCGAGAAACACUUAAUAAAUUUAACAAAAUUUUAAAACGUUGCACAAUCGUCGCAAUUUAGUCACAAAACAGUUACAAAAACGUUGCAACGUGCGACUCUGUUCUGCUGUCGUCGCAAAAAAAUUGCACAAAGCGACUGUUUUGUGACAUUUUGGAAUAGGUCACAAGACAAACUUUUGAAAUCCACAUAGUUUGAUCCAUUCUAUAGAUAAACAUUACUGAAAAACAACCAUUUUAGUACAUAGAGAACUUUAGGUAUACAAAUGAUUGGUUUCAAACUUAUUUGAGAACUUGUUUGAAAAGAUCAAUCAUGAAAAUGAAUUCACAUGAACCUUAUCAUGUAGAUUAGGUUUUUUUGAAUGUUUGGUUUGUAAUAUUCAGAUUUGAAGUGUUUGGUUAUGUUUUUAUAUAUAAUAUCGACCAAAUUAAAGUGUCCACGUAUAAGAAAACAUAUAAACGUACCAGAACUUAAAAAUUUCGAAAUUCAAAACUCGAGCGUUGGUAAUAAGUAGCUUAUUGGUUGCAAAGUGCGACUGUGUUCUGUUGUCGUCGCAAAAACGUUGCACCUAGCGACUGUUUUGUGACAUUUUUGAAACAUUUUACAAAUAAAAAUGCUCGUUAGUCCCUAUUCGGUCGCACAAUAUUUACUCGAGAAACACUUAAUAAAUUUAACAAAAUUUUAAAACGUUGCACAAUCGUCGCAAUUUAGUCACAAAACAGUUACAAAAACGUUACAACGUGCGACUGUGUUCUGCUGUUGUCGCAAAAAAAUUGCACAAAGCGACUGUUUUGUGACAUUUUGGAAUAGGUCACAAGACAAACUUUUGAAAUCCACAUAGUUUAAUCCAUUCUAUAGAUAAACAUUACUGAAAAACAACCAGUUUAGUACAUAGAGAACUUUAGGUAUACAAAUGAUUGGUUUCAAACUUAUUUGAGAACUUGUUUGAAAAGAUCAAUCAUGAAAAUGAAUUCACAUGAACCUUAUCAUGUAGAUUAGGUUUUUUUGAAUGUUUGGUUUGUAAUAUUCAGAUUUGAAGUGUUUGGUUAUGUUUUUAUAUAUAAUAUCGACCAAAUUAAAGUGUCCACGUAUAAGAAAACAUAUAAACGUACCAGAACUUAAAAAUUUCGAAAUUCAAAACUCGAGCGUUGGUAAUAAGUAGCUUAUUGGUUGCAAAGUGCGACUGUGUUCUGUUGUCGUCGCAAAAACGUUGCACCUAGCGACUGUUUUGUGACAUUUUUGAAACAUUUUACAAAUAAAAAUGCUCGUUAGUCCCUAUUCGGUCGCACAAUAUUUACUCGAGAAACACUUAAUAAAUUUAAUAAAAUUUUAAAACGUUGCACAAUCGUCGCAAUUUAGUCACAAAACAGUUACAAAAACGUUACAACGUGCGACUGUGUUCUGCUGUCGUCGCAAAAAAAUUGCACAAAGCGACUGUUUUGUGACAUUUUGGAAUAGGUCACAACACAAACUUUUGAAAUCCACAUAGUUUAAUCCAUUCUAUAGAUAAACAUUACUGAAAAACAACCAUUUUAGUACAUAGAGAACUUUAGGUAUACAAAUGAUUGGUUUCAAACUUAUUUGAGAACUUGUUUGAAAAGAUCAAUCAUGAAAAUGAAUUCACAUGAACCUUAUCAUGUAGAUUAGGUUUUUUUGAAUGUUUGGUUUGUAAUAUUCAGAUUUGAAGUGUUUGGUUAUGUUUUUAUAUAUAAUAUCGACCAAAUUAAAGUGUCCACGUAUAAGAAAACAUAUAAACGUACCAGAACUUAAAAAUUUCGAAAUUCAAAACUCGAGCGUUGGUAAUAAGUAGCUUAUUGGUUGCAAAGUGCGACUGUGUUCUGUUGUCGUCGCAAAAACGUUGCACCUAGCGACUGUUUUGUGACAUUUUUGAAACAUUUUACAAAUAAAAAUGCUCGUUAGUCCCUAUUCGGUCGCACAAUAUUUACUCGAGAAACACUUAAUAAAUUUAACAAAAUUUUAAAACGUUGCACAAUCGUCGCAAUUUAGUCACAAAACAGUUACAAAAACGUUACAACGUGCGACUGUGUUCUGCUGUCGUCGCAAAAAAAUUGCACAAAGCGACUGUUUUGUGACAUUUUGGAAUAGGUCACAAGACAAACUUUUGAAAUCCACAUAGUUUGAUCCAUUCUAUAGAUAAACAUUACUGAAAAACAACCAUUUUAGUACAUAAAGAACUUUAGGUAUACAAAUGAUUGGUUUCAAACUUAUUUGAGAACUUGUUUGAAAAGAUCAAUCAUGAAAAUGGAUUCACAUGAACCUUAUCAUGUAGAUUAGGUUUUUUUGAAUGUUUGGUUUGUAAUAUUCUGAUUUGAAGUGUUUGGUUAUGUUUUUAUAUAUAAUAUCGACCAAAUUAAAGUGUCAACGUAUAAGAAAACAUAUAAACAUACCAGAACUUAACAAUUUCGAAAUUCAAAACUCGAGCGUUGGUAAUAAGUAGCUAAUUGGUUAAAAAGUGCGACUGUGUUCUGUUGUCGUCGCAAAAACGUUGCACCUAGCGACUGUUUUGUGACAUUUUUGAAACAUUUUACAAAUAAAAAUGCUCGUUAGUCCCUAUUCGGUCGCACAAUAUUUACUCGAGAAACACUUAAUAAAUUUAAUAAAAUUUUAAAACGUUGCACAAUCGUCGCAAUUUAGUCACAAGACAGUUACACAAACGUUGCAACGUGCGACGGUGUUCUGCUGUCGUCGCAAAAAAGUUGCACAAAGCGACUGUUUUGUGACAUUUUCGAAUAGGUCACAAGACAAACUUUUGAAAUCCACAUAGUUUGAUCCAUUCUAUAGAUAAACAUUACUGAAAAACAACCAUUUUAGUACAUAAAGAACUUUAGGUAUACAAAUGAUUGGUUUCAAACUUAUUUGAGAACUUGUUUGAAAAGAUCAAUCAUGAAAAUGAAUUCACAUGAACCUUAUCAUGUAGAUUAGGUUUUUUUGAAUGUUUGGUUUGUAAUAUUCAGAUUUGAAGUGUUUGGUUAUGUUUUUAUAUAUAAUAUCGACCAAAUUAAAGUGUCCACGUAUAAGAAAACAUAUAAACGUAUCAGAACUUAAAAAUUUCGAAAUUCAAAACUCGAGCGUUGGUAAUAAGUAGCUAAUUGGUUGCAAAGUGCGACUGUGUUCUGUUGUCGUCGCAAAAACGUUGCACCUAGCGACUGUUUUGUGACAUUUUUGAAACAUUUUACAAAUAAAAAUGCUCGUUAGUCCCUAUUCGGUCACACAAUAUUUACUCGAGAAACACUUAAUAAAUUUAACAAAAUUUUAAAACGUUGCACAAUCGUCGCAAUUUAGUCACAAAACAGUUACAAAAAUGUUACAACGUGCGACUGUGUUCUGCUGUCGUCGCAAAAAAAUUGCACAAAGCGACUGUUUUGUGACAUUUUGGAAUAGGUCACAAGACAAACUUUUGAAAUCCACAUAGUUUGAUCCAUUCUAUAGAUAAACAUUACUGAAAAACAACCAUUUUAGUACAUAAAGAACUUUAGGUAUACAAAUGAUUGGUUUCAAACUUAUUUGAGAACUUGUUUGAAAAGAUCAAUCAUGAAAAUGGAUUCACAUGAACCUUAUCAUGUAGAUUAGGUUUCUUUGAAUGUUUGGUUUGUAAUAUUCAGAUUUGAAGUGUUUGGUUAUGUUUUUAUAUAUAAUAUCGACCAAAUUAAAGUGUCAACGUAUAAGAAAACAUAUAAACAUACCAGAACUUAACAAUUUCGAAAUUCAAAACUCGAGCGUUGGUAAUAAGUAGCUAAUUGGUUAAAAAGUGCGAUUGUGUUCUGUUGUCGUCGCAAAAACGUUGCACCUAGCGACUGUUUUGUGACAUUUAUGAAACAUUUUACAAAUAAAAAUGCUAGUUAGUCCCUAUUCGGUCGCACAAUAUUUACUCGAGAAACACUUAAUAAAUUUAACAAAAUUUUAAAACGUUGCACAAUCGUCGCAAUUUAGUCACAAAACAGUUACACAAACGUUGCAACGUGCGACUGUGUUCUGCUGUCGUCGCAAAAAAGUUGCACAAAGCGACUGUUUUAUGACAUUUUGGAAUAGGUCACAAGACAAACUUUUGAAAUCCACAUAGUUCGAUCCAUUCUAUAGAUAAACAUUACUGAAAAACAACCAUUUUAGUACAUCAAGAACUUUAGGUACACAAAUAAUUGGUUUCAAACUUAUUUGAGAACUUGUUUGAAAAGAUCAAUCAUGAAAAUGAAUUCACAUGAACCUUAUCAUGUAGAUUAGGUUUUUUUAAAUGUUUGGUUUGUAAUAUUCAGAUUUGAAGUGUUUGGUUAUGUUUUUAUAUAUAAUAUCGACCAAAUUAAAGUGUCCACGUAUAAGAAAACAUAUAAACGUACCAGAACUUAAAAAUUUCGAAAUUCAAAACUCGAGCGUUGGUAAUAAGUAACUAAUUGGUUGCAAAGUGCGACUGUGUUCUGUUGUCGUCGCAAAAAUGUUGCACCUAGCGACUGUUUUGUGACAUUUUUGAAACAUUUUACAAAUAAAAAUGCUAGUUAGUCCCUAUUCGGUCGCACAAUAUUUACUCGAGAAACACUUAAUAAAUUUAACAAAAUUUUAAAACGUUGCACAAUCGUCGCAAUUUAGUCACAAAACAGUUACACAAACGUUGCAACGUGCGACUGUGUUCUGCUGUCGUCGCAAAAAAAUUGCACAAAGCGACUGUUUUGUGACAUUUUGGAAUAGGUCACAAGACAAACUUUUAAAAUCCACAUAGUUUGAUCCAUUCUAUAGAUAAACAUUAAUGAAAAACAACCAUUUUAGUACAUAAAGAACUUUAGGUAUACAAAUGAUUGGUUUCAAACUUAUUUGAGAACUUGUUUGAAAAGAUCAAUCAUGAAAAUGAAUUCACAUGAACCUUAUCAUGUAGAUUAAGUUUUUUGGAAUGUUUGGUUUGUAAUAUUCAGAUUUGAAGUGUUUGGUUAUGUUUUUAUAUAUAAUAUCGACCAAAUUAAAGUGUCAACGUAUAAGAACACAUAUAAACGUACCAGAACUUAAAAAUUUCGAAAUUCAAAACUCGAGCGUUGGUAAAAAGUAGCUAAUUGGUUGCAAAGUGCGACUGUGUUCUGUUGUCGUCGCAAAAACGUUGCACCUAGCGACUGUUUUGUGACAUUUUUGAAACAUUUUAUAAAUAAAAAUGCUCGUUAGUCCCUAUUCGAUCGCACAAUAUUUACUCGAGAAACACUUAAUAAAUUUAACAAAAUUUUAAAACGUUGCACGAUCGUCGCAAUUUAGUCACAAAACAGUUACACAAACGUUGCAACGUGCGACUGUGUUCUGCUGUCGUCGCAAAAAAGUUGCACAAAGCGAAUGUUUUGUGACAUUUUGGAAUAGGUCACAAGACAAACUUUUGAAAUCCACAUAGUUUGAUCCAUUCUAUAGAUAAACAUUACUGAAAAACAACCAUUUUAGUACAUAAAGAACUUUAGGUAUACAAAUGAUUGGUUUCAAACUUAUUUGAGAACUUGUUUGAAAAGAUCAAUCAUGAAAAUGAAUUCACAUGAACCUUAUCAUGUAGAUUAGGUUUUUUUGAAUGUUUGGUUUGUAAUAUUCAGAUUUGCUGUGUUUGGUUAUGUUUUUAUAUAUAAUAUCGACCAAAUUAAAGUGUCAACGUAUAAGAAAACAUAUAAACAUACCAGAACUUAACAAUUUCGAAAUUCAAAACUCGAGCGUUGGUAAUAAGUAGCUAAUUGGUUGAAAAGUGCGACUGGGUUCUGUUGUCGUCGCAAAAACGUUGCACCUAGCGACUGUUUUGUGACAUUUUUGAAACAUUUUACAAAUAAAAAUGCUCGUUAGUCCCUAUUCGGUCGCAUAAUAUUUACUCGAGAAACACUUAAUAAAUUUAUCAACAUUUUAAAACAUUGCACAAUCGUCGCAAUUUAGUCACAAAACAGUUACACAAACGUUGCAACGUGCGACUGUGUUCUGCUGUUGUCGCAAAAAAGUUACACAAAGCGACUGUUUUGUGACAUUUUGGAAUAGGUCACAAGACAAACUUUUGAAAUCCACAUAGUUUGAUCCAUUCUAUAGAUAAACAUUACUGAAAAACAACCAUUUUAUUACAUAAAGAACUGUAGGUAUACAAAUGAUUGGUUUCAAACUUAUUUGAGAACUUGUUUGAAAAGAUCAAUCAUGAAAAUGAAUUCACAUGAACCUUAUCAUGUAGAUUAGGUUUUUUUGAAUGUUUGGUUUGUAAUAUUCAGAUUUGAAGUGUUUGGUUAUGUUUUUAUAUAUAAUAUCGACCAAAUUAAAGUGUCAACGUAUAAGAAAACAUAUAAACGUACCAGAACUUAAAAAUUUCGAAAUUCAAAACUCGAGCGUUGGUAAUAAGUAGCUAAUUGGUUGCAAAGUGCGACUUUGUUUUGUUGUCGUCGCAAAAACGUUGCACCUAGCGACUGUUUUGUGACAUUUUUGAAACAUUUUACAAAUAAAAAUGCUCGUUAGUCCCUAUUCGGUCGCACAAUAUUUACUCGAGAAACACUUAAUAAAUUUAACAAAAUUUUAAAACGUUGCACAAUCGUCGCAAUUUAGUCACAAAACAGUUACACAAACGUUGCAACGUGCGACGGUGUUCUGCUGUCGUCGCAAAAAAGUUGCACAAAGCGACUGCUUUGUGACAUUUUCGAAUAGGUCACAAGACAAACUUUUGAAAUCCACAUAGUUUGAUCCAUUCUAUAGAUAAACAUUACUGAAAAACAAACAUUUUAGUACAUAAAGAACUUUAGGUAUACAAAUGAUUGGUUUCAAACUUAUUUGAGAACUUGUUUGAAAAGAUCAAUCAUGAAAAUGAAUUCACAUGAACCUUAUCAUGUAGAUUAGGUUUUUUUGAAUGUUUGGUUUGUAAUAUUCAGAUUUGAAGUGUUUGGUUAUGUUUUUAUAUAUAAUAUCGACCAAAUUAAAGUGUCAACGUAUAAGAAAACAUAUAAACGUACCAGAACUUAAAAAUUUCGAAAUUCAAAACUCGAGCGUUGGUAAUAAGUAGCUAAUUGGUUGCAAAGUGCGACUGUGUUCUGUUGUCGUCGCAAAAACGUUGCACCUAGCGACUGUUUUGUGACAUUUUUGAAACAUUUUACAAAUAAAAAUGCUCGUUAGUCCCUAUUCGGUCGCACAAUAUUUACUCGAGAAACACUUAAUAAAUUUAACAAAAUUUUAAAACGUUGCACAAUCGUCGCAAUUUAGUCACAAAACAGUUACAAAAACGUUGCAACGUGCGACUGUGUUCUGCUGUCGUCGCAAAAAAAUUGCACAAAGCGACUGUUUUGUGACAUUUUGGAAUAGGUCACAAGACAAACUUUUGAAAUCCACAUAGUUUGAUCCAUUCUAUAGAUAAACAUUACUGAAAAACAACCAUUUUAGUACAUAAAAAACUUUAGGUAUACAAAUGAUUGGUUUCAAACUUAUUUGAGAACUUGUUUGAAAAGAUCAAUCAUGAAAAUGGAUUCACAUGAACCUUAUCAUGUAGAUUAGGUUUCUUUGAAUGUUUGGUUUGUAAUAUUCAGAUUUGAAGUGUUUGGUUAUGUUUUUAUAUAUAAUAUCGACCAAAUUAAAGUGUCAACGUAUAAGAAAACAUAUAAACAUACCAGAACUUAACAAUUUCGAAAUUCAAAACUCGAGCGUUGGUAAUAAGUAGCUAAUUGGUUAAAAAGUGCGAUUGUGUUCUGUUGUCGUCGCAAAAACGUUGCACCUAGCGACUGUUUUGUGACAUUUAUGAAACAUUUUACAAAUAAAAAUGCUAGUUAGUCCCUAUUCGGUCGCACAAUAUUUACUCGAGAAACACUUAAUAAAUUUAACAAAAUUUUAAAACGUUGCACAAUCGUCGCAAUUUAGUCACAAAACAGUUACACAAACGUUGCAACGUGCGACUGUGUUCUGCUGUCGUCGCAAAAAAGUUGCACAAAGCGACUGUUUUAUGACAUUUUGGAAUAGGUCACAAGACAAACUUUUGAAAUCCACAUAGUUCAAUCCAUUCUAUAGAUAAACAUUACUGAAAAACAACCAUUUUAGUACAUCAAGAACUUUAGGUACACAAAUAAUUGGUUUCAAACUUAAUUGAGAACUUGUUUGAAAAGAUCAAUCAUGAAAAUGAAUUCACAUGAACCUUAUCAUGUAGAUUAGGUUUUUUUGAAUGUUUGGUUUGUAAUAUUCAGAUUUGAAGUGUUUGGUUAUGUUUUUAUAUAUAAUAUCGACCAAAUUAAAGUGUCCACGUAUAAGAAAACAUAUAAACGUACCAGAACUUAAAAAUUUCGAAAUUCAAAACUCGAGCGUUGGUAAUAAGUAGCUAAUUGGUUAAAAAGUGCGAUUGUGUUCUGUUGUCGUCGCAAAAAUGUUGCACCUAGCGACUGUUUUGUGACAUUUAUGAAACAUUUUACAAAUAAAAAUGCUAGUUAGUCCCUAUUCGGUCGCACAAUAUUUACUCGAGAAACACUUAAUAAAUUUAACAAAAUUUUAAAACGUUGCACAAUCGUCGCAAUUUAGUCACAAAACAGUUACACAAACGUUGCAACGUGCGACUGUGUUCUGCUGUCGUCGCAAAAAAGUUGCACAAAGCGACUGUUUUAUGACAUUUUGGAAUAGGUCACAAGACAAACUUUUGAAAUCCACAUAGUUCGAUCCAUUCUAUAGAUAAACAUUACUGAAAAACAACCAUUUUAGUACAUCAAGAACUUUAGGUACACAAAUGAUUGGUUUCAAACUUAUUUGAGAACUUGUUUGAAAAGAUCAAUCAUGAAAAGGAAUUCACAUGAACCUUAUCAUGUAGAUUAAGUUUUUUGGAAUGUUUGGUUUGUAAUAUUCAGAUUUGAAGUGUUUGGUUAUGUUUUUAUAUAUAAUAUCGACCAAAUUAAAGUGUCCACGUAUAAGAAAACAUAUAAACGUACCAGAACUUAAAAAUUUCGAAAUUCAAAACUCGAGCGUUGGUAAUAAGUAGCUAAUUGGUUGCAAAGUGCGACUGUGUUCUGUUGUCGUCGCAAAAACGUUGCACCUAGCGACUGUUUUGUGACAUUUUUGAAACAUUUUACAAAUAAAAAUGCUCGUUAGUCUCUAUUCGGUCGCACAAUAUUUACUCGAGAAACACUUAAUAAAUUUAACAAAAUUUUAAAACGUUGCACAAUCGACGCAAUUUAGUCACAAAAGAGUUACACAAACGUUGCAACGUGCGACUAUGUUCUUCUGUCGUCGCAAAAAAGUUGCAUAAAGAGACUGUUUUGUGACAUUUUGGAAUAGGUCACUAGACAAACUUUUGAAAUCCACAUAGUUUGAUCCAUUCUAUAGAUAAACAUUACUGAAAAACAACCAUUUUAGUACAUAAAGAACUUUAGGUAUACAAAUGAUUGGUUUCAAACUUAUUUGAGAACUUGUUUGAAAAGAUCAAUCAUGAAAAUGAAUUCACAUGAACCUUAUCAUGUAGAUUAGGUUUUUUUGAAUGUUUGGUUUGUAAUAUUCAGAUUUGCUGUGUUUGGUUAUGUUUUUAUAUAUAAUAUCGACCAAAUUAAAGUGUCAACGUAUAAGAAAACAUAUAAACAUACCAGAACUUAACAAUUUCGAAAUUCAAAACUCGAGCGUUGGUAAUAAGUAGCUAAUUGGUUGAAAAGUGCGACUGGGUUCUGUUGUCGUCGCAAAAACGUUGCACCUAGCGACUGUUUUGUGACAUUUUUGAAACAUUUUACAAAUAAAAAUGCUCGUUAGUCCCUAUUCGGUCGCAUAAUAUUUACUCGAGAAACACUUAAUAAAUUUAUCAACAUUUUAAAACAUUGCACAAUCGUCGCAAUUUAGUCACAAAACAGUUACACAAACGUUGCAACGUGCGACUGUGUUCUGCUGUUGUCGCAAAAAAGUUGCACAAAGCGACUGUUUUGUGACAUUUUGGAAUAGGUCACAAGACAAACUUUUGAAAUCCACAUAGUUUGAUCCAUUCUAUAGAUAAACAUUACUGAAAAACAACCAUUUUAUUACAUAAAGAACUGUAGGUAUACAAAUGAUUGGUUUCAAACUUAUUUGAGAACUUGUUUGAAAAGAUCAAUCAUGAAAAUGAAUUCACAUGAACCUUAUCAUGUAGAUUAGGUUUUUUUGAAUGUUUGGUUUGUAAUAUUCAGAUUUGAAGUGUUUGGUUAUGUUUUUAUAUAUAAUAUCGACCAAAUUAAAGUGUCAACGUAUAAGAAAACAUAUAAACGUACCAGAACUUAAAAAUUUCGAAAUUCAAAACUCGAGCGUUGGUAAUAAGUAGCUAAUUGGUUGCAAAGUGCGACUUUGUUUUGUUGUCGUCGCAAAAACGUUGCACCUAGCGACUGUUUUGUGACAUUUUUGAAACAUUUUACAAAUAAAAAUGCUCGUUAGUCCCUAUUCGGUCGCACAAUAUUUACUCGAGAAACACUUAAUAAAUUUAACAAAAUUUUAAAACGUUGCACAAUCGUCGCAAUUUAGUCACAAAACAGUUACACAAACGUUGCAACGUGCGACGGUGUUCUGCUGUCGUCGCAAAAAAGUUGCACAAAGCGACUGCUUUGUGACAUUUUCGAAUAGGUCACAAGACAAACUUUUGAAAUCCACAUAGUUUGAUCCAUUCUAUAGAUAAACAUUACUGAAAAACAAACAUUUUAGUACAUAAAGAACUUUAGGUAUACAAAUGAUUGGUUUCAAACUUAUUUGAGAACUUGUUUGAAAAGAUCAAUCAUGAAAAUGAAUUCACAUGAACCUUAUCAUGUAGAUUAGGUUUUUUUGAAUGUUUGGUUUGUAAUAUUCAGAUUUGAAGUGUUUGGUUAUGUUUUUAUAUAUAAUAUCGACCAAAUUAAAGUGUCAACGUAUAAGAAAACAUAUAAACGUACCAGAACUUAAAAAUUUCGAAAUUCAAAACUCGAGCGUUGGUAAUAAGUAGCUAAUUGGUUGCAAAGUGCGACUGUGUUCUGUUGUCGUCGCAAAAACGUUGCACCUAGCGACUGUUUUGUGACAUUUUUGAAACAUUUUACAAAUAAAAAUGCUCGUUAGUCCCUAUUCGGUCGCACAAUAUUUACUCGAGAAACACUUAAUAAAUUUAACAAAAUUUUAAAACGUUGCACAAUCGUCGCAAUUUAGUCACAAAACAGUUACAAAAACGUUGCAACGUGCGACUGUGUUCUGCUGUCGUCGCAAAAAAAUUGCACAAAGCGACUGUUUUGUGACAUUUUGGAAUAGGUCACAAGACAAACUUUUGAAAUCCACAUAGUUUGAUCCAUUCUAUAGAUAAACAUUACUGAAAAACAACCAUUUUAGUACAUAAAAAACUUUAGGUAUACAAAUGAUUGGUUUCAAACUUAUUUGAGAACUUGUUUGAAAAGAUCAAUCAUGAAAAUGGAUUCACAUGAACCUUAUCAUGUAGAUUAGGUUUCUUUGAAUGUUUGGUUUGUAAUAUUCAGAUUUGAAGUGUUUGGUUAUGUUUUUAUAUAUAAUAUCGACCAAAUUAAAGUGUCAACGUAUAAGAAAACAUAUAAACAUACCAGAACUUAACAAUUUCGAAAUUCAAAACUCGAGCGUUGGUAAUAAGUAGCUAAUUGGUUAAAAAGUGCGAUUGUGUUCUGUUGUCGUCGCAAAAACGUUGCACCUAGCGACUGUUUUGUGACAUUUAUGAAACAUUUUACAAAUAAAAAUGCUAGUUAGUCCCUAUUCGGUCGCACAAUAUUUACUCGAGAAACACUUAAUAAAUUUAACAAAAUUUUAAAACGUUGCACAAUCGUCGCAAUUUAGUCACAAAACAGUUACACAAACGUUGCAACGUGCGACUGUGUUCUGCUGUCGUCGCAAAAAAGUUGCACAAAGCGACUGUUUUAUGACAUUUUGGAAUAGGUCACAAGACAAACUUUUGAAAUCCACAUAGUUCAAUCCAUUCUAUAGAUAAACAUUACUGAAAAACAACCAUUUUAGUACAUCAAGAACUUUAGGUACACAAAUAAUUGGUUUCAAACUUAUUUGAGAACUUGUUUGAAAAGAUCAAUCAUGAAAAUGAAUUCACAUGAACCUUAUCAUGUAGAUUAGGUUUUUUUGAAUGUUUGGUUUGUAAUAUUCAGAUUUGAAGUGUUUGGUUAUGUUUUUAUAUAUAAUAUCGACCAAAUUAAAGUGUCCACGUAUAAGAAAACAUAUAAACGUACCAGAACUUAAAAAUUUCGAAAUUCAAAACUCGAGCGUUGGUAAUAAGUAGCUAAUUGGUUAAAAAGUGCGAUUGUGUUCUGUUGUCGUCGCAAAAAUGUUGCACCUAGCGACUGUUUUGUGACAUUUAUGAAACAUUUUACAAAUAAAAAUGCUAGUUAGUCCCUAUUCGGUCGCACAAUAUUUACUCGAGAAACACUUAAUAAAUUUAACAAAAUUUUAAAACGUUGCACAAUCGUCGCAAUUUAGUCACAAAACAGUUACACAAACGUUGCAACGUGCGACUGUGUUCUGCUGUCGUCGCAAAAAAGUUGCACAAAGCGACUGUUUUAUGACAUUUUGGAAUAGGUCACAAGACAAACUUUUGAAAUCCACAUAGUUCGAUCCAUUCUAUAGAUAAACAUUACUGAAAAACAACCAUUUUAGUACAUCAAGAACUUUAGGUACACAAAUGAUUGGUUUCAAACUUAUUUGAGAACUUGUUUGAAAAGAUCAAUCAUGAAAAGGAAUUCACAUGAACCUUAUCAUGUAGAUUAAGUUUUUUGGAAUGUUUGGUUUGUAAUAUUCAGAUUUGAAGUGUUUGGUUAUGUUUUUAUAUAUAAUAUCGACCAAAUUAAAGUGUCCACGUAUAAGAAAACAUAUAAACGUACCAGAACUUAAAAAUUUCGAAAUUCAAAACUCGAGCGUUGGUAAUAAGUAGCUAAUUGGUUGCAAAGUGCGACUGUGUUCUGUUGUCGUCGCAAAAACGUUGCACCUAGCGACUGUUUUGUGACAUUUUUGAAACAUUUUACAAAUAAAAAUGCUCGUUAGUCUCUAUUCGGUCGCACAAUAUUUACUCGAGAAACACUUAAUAAAUUUAACAAAAUUUUAAAACGUUGCACAAUCGACGCAAUUUAGUCACAAAACAGUUACACAAACGUUGCAACGUGCGACUAUGUUCUUCUGUCGUCGCAAAAAAGUUGCAUAAAGAGACUGUUUUGUGACAUUUUGGAAUAGGUCACUAGACAAACUUUUGAAAUCCACAUAGUUUGAUCCAUUCUAUAGAUAAACAUUACUGAAAAACAACCAUUUUAGUAUAUAAAGAACUUUAGGUAUACAAAUGAUUGGUUUCAAACUUAUUUGAGAACUUGUUUGAAAAGAUCAAUCAUGAAAAUGAAUUCACAUGAACCUUAUCAUGUAGAUUAGUUUUUUUUGAAUGUUUUGUUUGUAAUAUUCAGAUUUGAAGUGUUUGGUUAUGUUUUAAUAUAUAAUAUCGACCAAAUUAAAGUGUCAACGUAUAAGAAUACAUAUAAACGUACCAGAACUUAAAAAUUUCGAAAUUCAAAACUCGAGCGUUGGUAAUAAGUAGCUAAUUGGUUGCAAAGUGCGACUGUGUUCUGUUGUCGUCGCAAAAACGUUGCACCUAGCGACAGUUUUGUGACAUUUUUGAAACAUUUUAUAAAUAAAAAUGCUCGUUAGUCCCUAUUCGGUCGCACAAUAUUUACUCGAGAAACACUUAAUAAAUUUAACAAAAUUUUAAAACGUUGCACAAUCGUCGCAAUUUAGUCACAAAACAGUUACAAAAACGUUGCAACGUGCGACUGUAAUCUGCUGUCGUCGCAAAAAAAUUGCACAAAGCGACUGUUUUGUGACAUUUUGGAAUAGGUCACAAAACAAACUUUUGAAAUCCACAUAGUUUGAUCCAUUCUAUAGAUAAACAUUACUGAAAAACAACCAUUUUAGUACAUAAAGAACUUUAGGUAUACAAAUGAUUGGUUUCAAACUUAUUUGAGAACUUGUUUGAAAAGAUCAAUCAUGAAAAUGAAUUCACAUGAACCUUAUCAUGUAGAUUAGGUUUUUUUGAAUGUUUGGUUUGUAAUAUUCAGAUUUGAAGUGUUUGGUUAUGUUUUUAUAUAUAAUAUCGACCAAAUUAAAGUGUCAACGUAUAAGAAAACAUAUAAACGUACCAGAACUUAAAAAUUUCGAAAUUGAAAACUCGAGCGUUGGUAAUAAGUAGCUAAUUGGUUGCAAAGUGCGACUGUGUUUUGUUGUCGUCGCAAAAACGUUGCACCUAGCGACUGUUUUGUGACAUUUUUGAAACAUUUUACAAAUAAAAAUGCUCGUUAGUCCCUAUUCGGUCGCACAAUAUUUACUCGAGAAACACUUAAUAAAUUUAACAAAAUUUUAAAACGUUGCACAAUCGACGCAAUUUAGUCACAAAACAGUUACACAAACGUUGCAACGUGCGACUAUGUUCUUCUGUCGUCGCAAAAAAGUUGCAUAAAGAGACUGUUUUGUGACAUUUUGGAAUAGGUCACAAGACAAACUUUUGAAAUCCACAUAGUUUGAUCCAUUCUAUAGAUAAACAUUACUGAAAAACAACCAUUUUAGUAUAUAAAGAACUUUAGGUAUACAAAUGAUUGGUUUCAAACUUAUUUGAGAACUUGUUUGAAAAGAUCAAUCAUGAAAAUGAAUUCACAUGAACCUUAUCAUGUAGAUUAGUUUUUUUUGAAUGUUUUGUUUGUAAUAUUCAGAUUUGAAGUGUUUGGUUAUGUUUUUAUAUAUAAUAUCGACCAAAUUAAAGUGUCAACGUAUAAGAAUACAUAUAAACGUACCAGAACUUAAAAAUUUCGAAAUUCAAAACUCGAGCGUUGGUAAUAAGUAGCUAAUUGGUUGCAAAGUGCGACUGUGUUCUGUUGUCGUCGCAAAAACGUUGCACCUAGCGACAGUUUUGUGACAUUUUUGAAACAUUUUAUAAAUAAAAAUGCUCGUUAGUCCCUAUUCGGUCGCACAAUAUUUACUCGAGAAACACUUAUUAAAUUUAACAAAAUUUUACAACGUUUCUCAAUCGUCGCAAUUUAGUCACAAAACAGUUACACAAACGUUGCAACGUGCGACUAUGUUCUGCUGUCGUCGCAAAAAAGUUGCACAAAGAGACUGUUUUGUGACAUUUUGGAAUAGGUCACAAGACAAACUUUUGAAAUCCACAUAGUUUGAUCCAUUCUAUAGAUAAACAUUACUGAAAAACAACUAUUUUAGUACAUAAAGAACUGUAGGUAUACAAAUGAUUGGUUUCAAACUUAUUUGAGAACUUGUUUGAAAAGAUCAAUCAUGAAAAUGAAUUCACAUGAACCUUAUCAUGUAGAUUAGUUUUUCUUGAAUGUUUGGUUUGUAAUAUUCAGAUUUGAAGUGUUUGGUUAUGUUUUUAUAUAUAAUAUCGACCAAAUUAAAGUGUCAACGUAUAAGAAUACAUAUAAACGUACCAGAACUUAAAAAUUUUGAAAUUCAAAACUCGAGCGUUGGUAAUAAGUAGCUAAUUGGUUGCAAAUUGCGACUGUGUUCUGUUGUCGUCGCAAAAACGUUGCACCUAGAGACUGUUUUGUGACAUUUUUGAAACAUUUUACAAAUAAAAAUGCUCGUUAAUCCCUAUUCGGUCGCACAAUAUUUACCCGAGAAACACUUAAUAAAUUUAACAAAAUUUUAAAACGUUGCACAAUCGUCGCAAUUUAGUCACAAAACAGUUACAAAAACGUUGCAACGUGCGACUGUGUUCUGCUGUCAUCGCAAAAAAGUUGCACAAAGCGACUGUUUCGUGACAUUUUGGAAUAGGUCACAAGACAAACUUUUGAAAUCCACAUAGUUUGAUCCAUUCUAUAGAUAAACAUUACUAAAAAACAACCAUUUUAGUACAUAAAAAACUGUAGAUAUACAAAUGAUUGGUUUCAAACUUAUUUGAGAACUUGUUUGAAAAGAUCAAUCAUGAAAAUGAAUUCACAUGAACCUUAUCAUGUAGAUUAGGUUUUUUUGAAUGUUUGGUUUGUAAUAUUCAGAUUUGAAGUGUUUGGUUAUGUUUUUAUAUAUAAUAUCGACCAAAUUAAAGUGUCAACGUAUAAGAACACAUAUAAACAUACCAGAACUUAAAAAUUUCGAAAUUCAAAACUCGAGUGUUGGUAAUAAGUAGCUAAUUGGUUGCAAAGUGCUACUGUGUUCUGUUCUCGUCCCAAAAACGUUGCACCUACCGAAUGUUUUGUGACAUUUUUGAAAUAUUUUACAAAUAAUAAUGCUCGUUAAUCCCUAUUCGGUCGCACAAUAUUUACUCGAGAAACACUUAAUAAAUUUAACAAAAUUUUAAAACGUUGCACAAUCGUCGCAAUUUAGUCACAAAACAGUUACACAAAUGUUGCAACGUGCGACUGUGUUAUGCUGUCGUCGCAAAAAAGUUGCACAAAGCGACUGUUUUGUGACAUUUUAGAAUAGGUCACAAGACAAACUUUCGAAAUCCACAUAGUUUGAUUCAUUCUAUAGAUAAACAUUACUGAAAAACAACCAUUUUAGUACAUAAAGAACUUUAGGUAAACAAAUGAUUGGUUUCAAACUUAUUUGAGAACUUGUUUGAAAAGAUCAAUCAUGAAAAUGAAUUCACAUGAACCUUAUUAUGUAGAUUAGGUUUUUUUGAAUGUUUGGUUUGUAAUAUUCAGAUUUGAAGUCUUUGGUUAUGUUUUUAUAUAUAAUAUCGACCAAAUUAAAGUGUCAACGUAUAAGAAAACAUAUAAACAUACCAGAACUUAAAAAUUUCGAAAUUCAAAACUCGAGCGUUGGUAAUAAGUAGCUAAUUGGUUGCAAAGUGCGACUGUGUUUUGUUGUUGUCGCAAAAAUGUUGCACCUAGCGACUGUUUUGUGACAUUUUUGAAACAUUUUACAAAUGAAAAUGCUCGUUAGUCCCUAUUCGGUCGCACAAUAUUUACUCGAGAAACACUUAAUAAAUUUAACAAAAUUUUAAACGUUGCACAAUCGUCGCAAUUUAGUCACAAAACAGUUACACAAACGUUGCAACGGUGCGUCUGUGCUCUGUUGUCGUCGCAAAAACAUUUUGGAAACAUUUUACAAACAUUUUACCGAGUUGGUACAAAUUUGGUUAGUAAUUGCGAAGAAAGGUAUUUUAAAAGACAUUGAAAAUAACAUUCAAACAAAAGUUUUAUUUAUAUAUGUUACAAAUACACAUAAAAAUUAUAUCUACUAUAAUUAUUCAGAUUUUUCAUCAUCUUCCUCUUCUUCAUCUGCAUCCUCAGAUGUGGAUUCAUUACAGUGAAAUUCAUCUCCUUCUUCAGCAUCUUCAAUAUCAAAAUCAAUAGGUUCAUCAUGACGGUUUGUGUCAACUAAGCUCUCAAUGAUAACUUCUUCAAUCAUGCUCGGGUUUCUUUCAUCCAAAGAUUGUUGCAAUACAGCUACAUCAUUUAAGGUAAACUUCCCUUGGACAACAUUCCUUGGAUUGACUUUGCAAACUAAAAGCCACGAUUUUCGAGGUCGUGUGAUGUUCGAGUAAGAAAGAUAACAAACCUGAUCAGCUUGACACCCUGUAAAAUGCCAAAAUUUUAAAUGAAAUAUGAAUUCUCUUACAAAUACUUACUAAAGAAAUUAAAGUUACCUAAUAUAAAUUGUUCGUAAUUUGGGUAUCUCCCUGAUUCUAGCACGUCUACAACCCCUCUAUUUCUCAUACGAAUUCCUUUUCCAAGUUUUGAGUCAAACCAUUGACAGUAGAAAAGUGUGAUCUUUAAGUUAACAAAUCCUGGAUACUCGAGCUCCAUUAUAGUUUCAACGGUCCCAUAAAAAUCUUCUUCAUGAGAUGCUUCAGAAUAAUUUUGGCCUCGAACACAUACGCUCAUGAUCCCGCGUGUGAAACAUAUACCCUCUUGUAAAAUACAUGUGCCAUGACUUGACUUUGUUUUCAGGACCUUCCACUAUUUCAUAAACCCAUGGAGGAAAACUUUGAUGACUUCUCGUUCCUUCCACCUACAUUAAAACAUAUGAUAUAUCAAGAAAUAAAGAAGUAAACACUAUUAAUUUGGUGAAUGUCAGAGAAAUGAUUACAUAUUGGCGAACCCAUAUAUGAAAAUUUUCAUCUCUUUUCGACGCGACCUCAUCAUCAGAGAGUUCUGGAUAUUCAUUCCGAAUUUGCGCAUCCAACAUACUCUUUUAUCAAACAUGUCAAAGAUCUUCCAUUAUUAAUUGUAAAAGAGAGAUUUUCAAAAUUAAUUAUUACUUGGUUAAAAUAGUAUACCUUUCAAGCGGGCGAAAAUAUUCACAAUUACGCAAAACAUAUGCAUGUGUGCAUUGGUAAUCUCUCUUAUUUAACCAAAAUUCAAUACUUUUGCCACUAGGACGACCAACUUGAGUAAAUAUAAGCGGUACUGGGACAGGGUAUACAUGAGCUUCACCAACAUCAUACCGGCUUGACCUGCAAAUUAAAUAUAUUUAUAAAAUUUAUGUUUAGUUGUUUGAAUUUAACAAAAUUUGACUUAAGAUAAUGUUGUAGUCUAAAUAUGAAGUACCUUCUUCUAAUAGCUGUAGAUAUGUGUGAAGCAAAGUAAUGUUCAGAAAAGUAAGAUAUCUCAUCAUUCAUAUAUGAUUGAACAAUUGAAGCCGCUGGAUAUCUUUUGUUCUUCGCCUUGCCUUUCAAACAUUUAAAAAACCUUACAAAAGGAUACAUCCAUCUAUAUCGAAUUGGACCGCCAAGCUCGGCUUCAUCUGGUAAGUGUAUAGGUAGGUGCUCCAUCACAUCAAAGAAUGAAGGUGGGAAUAGUUUUUCCAAAUUGCACAAAAUCAUGGCAAUAUUCUCCUUCAGAAGUUGGACGCGACUUUGCUCCAAUGAUCGGGUACUUAAGUCACGAAAAAAUGCUCCAAUUUCUACAAUAGAAACAUUUAUGAGAUGAUUAGUCCUAUAUUACAUAAAUAACUUAUUUUAACAUAGGUAUAUAUGACAUAUAUAGUUACCUGAUACUGCAAGAUGCACAUUACGCGGUAGGAGUUCUCUGAACACAAAUGGAAGCAAUCGUUCCAUAAAGACAUGACAGUCGUGGCUUUUCAUUCCCGAAAACUUACCGGCAUUGAUAUCUGCAAAACUAGCUAAAUCCGCUACAUAGCCGUCUGGAAAUUUGACCUCUGAUUUGACCCAUUAUAGGAGUUUCUUCUUCUCUUUCAGAGGUAAUCUCCAAAUAGGAAAUGGAACUCGCCCUUGAUCAUCAACAUGCAAUUCUGGUCGACCAUAAAAUCUUGAAACAUCUAUUCUUGACCUCACGUUAUCUUUUGAUUUAUCUUUCACAUUCAUCACAGUGUACAUGAUGUUAUCAAGAACAUUCUUCUCAAUAUGCAUAACAUCAAGAUUGUGUCGUAGCGUUAGAUCGGUCCAGUACGAUAACUCCCAACUUAUACUUUCUUUGUGCCAAUUAUGCCAAUUUCCAUAGCCAUCCAUUUUCUUUUCAUGUCCAUUUCCUCCCACAUCAGAUGUCUUAGGUGGCUUAACAGUCCUAAUACGCUCAUAUAAUACUUGUUCACCAGUCAAAGAUUGCGGCGGAAUGUCUUUUGUUAUUUUACCCUUCAAAAAGUGUUUUUAUCCUUCCGUAACGAAUGGUUUACAGGAAGAAAUCUUCUAUGACAAUCAAACCAACAUGACUUCCUACCAUCUGGUAACCAAAAUGCUUUUGUAUCCUCCAUACCAAUUGGACACGAUAUUCUUCCAUGUGUAGUCCAUCCUGACAACAUGCCAUAUGCUGGAAAAUCGCUAAUAGUCCACAUAAGAACUGCUUUAAGGUUGAAGUUUUGCUCUAAGGACACAUCAUAUGCCUCAACUCCAUUCAUCCAUAAAUCUUGUAACUCCUCGAUAAGUGGUUGGAGGAAAACAUCUAGACUAGCUCGUGGAUGAUUUGGUCCCGAAUUCAAAAUCGUUAGAAACAAAUACUCACUAUUCAUGCACAUAUCAGGAGGCAAGUUGUAUGAAGUCAAAAUUACUGGCCACAACGAAUUAUUUUUGGACAUACCAAAAGGAUUGAAACUGUCAGUACAUAACCCAAGAUACACAUUUCGCGGUUCUGAUGCAAAUGCGGGCUGCAAUUGCUGGAAAUUCUUCCACUCAGCCGCAUCUGAUGGAUGACACAUUAAUCCCUCCUCUAAUUCAUGCUCAGCAUGCCAUCUCAUCGAAGCUGCAGUCUUCUCAAAUUGAUACAUUCUCUUCAAUCUAUCCCCAAUUGGUAAAUACCACAUCUUACUAAAUGGUAUUCUUGUUCUUCCAUCACUUUCCUUAUACCUUGGUUUUCCGCAGAACUUGCAAUGCUCCAACUUCUCAUCAUCUUUCCAAAAGAGCAUACAAUUGUCUAUACAUACAUCAAAUGUAUGGUACGACAAUCCUAGCUUUCGCAUCAAAGUCUCUGUCUCGUAGUAGGAACCGGUCGUCUUAUUACCCUCAGGUAAAUACUCCGUAAACGUUUCCGCCCAUCCGUCCACACAAUUUUCUGAUAAAUUGUGGUCGACUUUAUGGUUCAUAAACCGAGCUGCCAACGAUAAUUGCGAAUGACCUUCUCAACAACCAUCGUAAAGAGGCGUGUUUGCAACAGCUAACAUAUCAUAAAACCGUUUCGCUUCUUGGGUAGGUUCUUCAUGAACAUGAUCAUUUCCACUUUCAUGUUCAUGAUACUCGUUAUAUGGUACAGAACCAUGAAAUGCAUCAUUAACCAUCCCAACCGAAAACUCAUAUAGACUUCGGCUAAACCAUCAAGUCUUUUAAAAGCAAGAAAAAGCUUUGUUAGCGGUUUUGGAGUCAAAUAUAACGAGAUGUCAUGUGUAUGAUUGAGUAUAAGAACUAGAACCGUAACCAGAUCCCGGAAGCUAUAUUGGGAAAAAUGUCAGAAAAAGCACCAACUUUCAAAUUUGGGAUGAAAAAACCCUCAACUUUCAAUGCGUCAUUUUAAUCACAAAGUUUCUGUUGACUUUUACAGAAAACACCAAAGUUUUGUUGACCGGGACGAAUUAAGCACAUCGUUAAGUCUCCGUUUAACUGACGCAGACGGGGUUAAUUUCGCUGUUAACAGGCAUCGUUAGAUAAAACGACAGCGUCUUCGUAACCAUUAAACGUUGUCGUUUUGUAAUAGAAAGAAACUAAAAAUCCCAAAUCGAUUUCACAUUCCCAAAUCGAAAACCCUAAUUCUCUCUCAACCCCAAACUCUACAAUUGAUUGAAUCUGAUGGCUAGGACGCGUGGAGGACGACAGAGGACUCGUCAGUCGGCGAGACUGGCUGCGGGAAACGCAUUUGCUGGAAGAAACGAUCCCGAACCAUCGACAGUUCAAAUCCUAGAGAUUGUUGAGAGCUCACCAUCGACGACUAAUUCAAUGGAAAUAACAGAGGAAAGGGUUAAAAUCCCGGAGAUUGUUGAGGAACCACCAUCAGAGAAUGUAGAGAGGCCACUGACGGCGACUGAUGCGGUGGAGAGGCCACCAGUAAUAGCGGAUGCAACAGAACCCAUAAAGAAGCGAGCUUAUAAAAAGAGAAAGGGGAGAGCUUCUGAAGAUAUGGAAGAAUAGCAGGUGGUUUUUAGCGAUGAUGAUUGUGCGGUUGUAGAAGAUGAAGACUGUGAAGAGGUUGAGUGUGCAGCGACUGGUUUAGAGGAAAAUAAUGAGGAACAAGGGUCGAUUGAAGCUUUUCCAGAACGGUAUUGUGAUCCACCUGUAGGGUUAGAAGAAUGUAAUGAGGAAGAAAAUGGAAAUGGAGGUGUAGGUUUAGAGGCAGAACAAUGUGAUCCAGCUGUAGGGUUAGAGGAAGGUAAUGAGGAAGAAAAUGGAAAUAGAGGUGUAGGCGAUGGAGGAGUAGAUGAAGACUAUGGUGAUGUAGGCUUAGAGGAAGAACAAUGUGACGACUUUGCAGCCGAAUUUGGAGAGGCUGCGAGAGAAGAUGACAAUAGAAGUGAUAGUGAUGCAGAUAGUGGAGAUGAAAUAUGGGAUGAUGAGAAGAUUCCAGAUCCUGUAUCACAUAGUGAUGAUGAAGGAAGUCCUGAAGACAAUGCUGCGAGAGAAGCCGAAUCUGAUUUGCCUGAAGAGCCGCUGCGGCUGGGGAAAACUUUCAAUGGCCCUGAAGAAUUCAAGAUAGCUGUGCUAAGGUACUCUCUCAAAACCAGAUAUGACAUCAAACUAUACAGGUCACAAUGCUUGAGAAUUGGUGCAAAGUGCUCUUCUACUGAUGUCAAAUGUCCAUGGAGAUGCUACUGCUCGUAUGAUAGGAAGAAACAUAAGAUGCAAGUGAAGAUAUAUGAUAAUGAACAUGUUUGUGUGAGGUCCGCUUACUCCAAGAUGUUGAAGCAAGGCACAAUUGCUUGGUUAUAUAGAGACAGGUUGAGGAAGAAUCCAAAAAUUACAAAGCAAGAGAUGGUUGCUGAGAUCCAGAGAGAGUAUAACCUUAUAGUGACUGAAGAUCAAUGUUCGAAGGCGAAGACUGGAGAUUCACAGAGAGGAAGGGGAGAUUCACAGGGAAGAUGCUUAUCAUGGUUUCAGUGUUCGAACUAAAAACUUGUCUUGAUUCUGUCUUUUGUCUUUUGUCUUUUGUCUUUGAGAUGGUUUGAGUGUUUCAACUAAAAACAUAUUUGUUUGUUUUGUUUGGAAUUUGGUCGGAUAUUGAGUUCAUGUAUGGAUUGAUUUGGUUAUUAAGACAUGCUUCUUUUCUUUUGGAAUGUCUUAAAACAUGAUUAAAUGUUGCACUUCCAUUCAUUUGAUUUCAAAAGAUGAUACAAUCGAUACAUUCUUGCUUCAUAUCAUAGUUCAAAAGAUGCAUACAAUUCAUACACUUAAUAACCAAUAGCGAGUUUCUUUUGGUUCCCUUGACCAAACAUUCCAUAAACAACUACAAUUGUGAUAACAAAAAGCCACACAAAACAAACUUUCAAGCACCAAAUACACUUGUGGAGUUCCUUUUUCCUGAGAAGUGCUUCUUCCUUCAAUUCUUGUAUCUGUUCUUUUACCACAUUUGUCUCUGAUUUUCCCUUGCUAACCUCAUUUGCAAUGAUGUCAAUUCUUGGUAGAGCAUCUUCAUUUCUUCAAACACAGCAUCCUCUACCCAUUUGAACAAGUGACCCUAAUGCAUCCUCUACCCAUUGACACUUUGUUAGCUUGUAGAACAAAUGCUUGGCUAAGAAAUUGGUAUAACAUACUCACCUCUUUUUUGCUAGUCCACACGCUCGGAUCUCGUUUGCUAACGCAGCGGAAGAAUGGUCGUCCUGGGUUUCUUGCAUCUUGGAUGUAAAGAUCGUGACUCCUAAUCCACACACACACUUUGACGGCACACCACGCUCUCUAACGACACCAGAUGUGAGAGAGCUAGAACUCAUCGUUACAAAGAGAGAUACUUGAGAAAUUUGUUGAGAAACUUGAGAAAUUUGGGGAUUGAAAGUUUGAUUUGGGAAUUUAGGGAUUUGAAGAACUCGUCGUUUACGUUUAUAUUGUUACAGGAACGAAGACGCUGUCGUUUUAUCUAACGAUGCCUGUUAACAGCGAAAUUAACCCCAUUUGCGUCAAUUAAACGGAGACUUAACGAUGUGCUUAAUUCGUCCCGGUAAACAAAACUUUGGUGUUUUCUGUAUAAGUCAACAGAAACUUCGUGAUUAAAAUGACGCAUUGAAAGUUGAGGGUUUAUUCAUCCCAAAUUUGAAAGUUGGUGCUUUUUCUGACAUUUUUCCCGAAGCUAUAUUAGUGUUUCCUAGUUAGAAGAUCCAAAACCAAAAACUCAUACAAACUUUGGCUACACCAUCAAAGCAUUGAGAAGGAAGAAAAACCUUGUUAGUAUUUUGGAGUCAAAUAUGAUUAGAUGUCGUGUAUAUGAUUGAGUAUAAGUAUUAGAACCGCAAUCGAAUCCUAGAAUCUAAAGUAGUGUUUCGUUGUUAGAAGAUACAAAGCCUAAGACUCAUAUCGACUUUAACUACACCAUCAAAGCUUUGGGAAACAAAAAAAAACUUGGUUAGUGUUUUGGAGUAAAAUAUAACUAGAUUUCAUUUGUAUGGUUUAGUAUAAGAACACGAACCGGAGAAAUAUCACAAAAGAUAGAGUAGUGUUUUCCGGUUAGAAGAUCCAAAAUCAAAAACUUUUACGGAUUUGAGCUACACGAUCUUUGAGAAGCAAGAGGAGCUUUAAUUACCUUAUUUAAAAUAAUUAGUUUUGCAAUCCUCUAUAUUGAAUAUAUCAACUGUCUUGCCUAUAAAAGUCACCAUAGUCAAUUAAUUGUUGUUAAUGCCGGACAUCACGAGUAUUAUUAUUUCAACAAGAUGAACACCCGCUACGCAUGGGUUUUUGUUUUUAAAAUUAUCGUAAAAAUAUGGUUAUAGUUUUUUUGUUGAUUUUGAUGUUCAUUUUGAUAAAUUCAUCUAUUUAAUAUAAUUAUUAUUUUUUAUGAUUAUAUUCAUCUAUAACUCGAAAUAUCAAUUCUACUACAAUAUGAAUAUUUAUAUAUUUAUUAUUCUUAUAUUUCACUAUCAUGAUCACAUACUAUAACAAUAUAUGAUAUACUGAUACAAUAUAUGUAGUUAUAUUACUUAUGUGUUUUGAAACUUGCCUAACUUAAUUAUAACAAACAAUUCUUUAUUUCAUAUAUUCUCUCGUCAUCUAGUACACAAUCACAUAAUGAUAUGCUAGUAACUUAAGUCAACACUUUAAUUCUCAUCCCUAUCAUAUAGUCAUAUAGAGUCUCAUGUUGUUGUUGUUUUGGUAUGUCUAAUGUCUUGGAUGACUAUUACGUGAAGAAAUUGUAUAUCAAUGUUACAAAGUUAUCAGAACGCACAAAAAUGUACAGAAAGAAAAUCAUAUGAUAAAUCAAAUUCACAAAACGUAAUAAUAAAAAGAUAUUCAACUAAAAUUACUAAGUUAAUAUGAUGUUAGGUAACAAACAUCUAAACUACAACACAAGUUAAAUUUUAGCCAUUAUGGAUUAAUGACUACUGAUAAAAAAAAAAAGUAGAAUAGAAUGAAAAUAGUGUUUGGUAUAUUAUUAUGAUUUUUUAUUUAUUGAAUGUAUUUAGAAAAUUCAUUAAAGAGUGAGAUUACUGGAAAAUUUAACACAACAAAAGACUUUUGAUUUUUUUUCAAUUAGUUUUGCUAGUUUUUUAAUUUAAUUAAUGUAGAAUGACAUAUGUCAUUUUCUUCUGUGAUGAUAUGUCACUCAUAUGGAGAGUGUUGACCAACUUUCAUAUAUAUGAUUUGGUAUAUUAUUAUUUAUUUACAAAUUCUGAACAAGACGACUUUUGUAAUCUGAAGUUGUAUGUAGGAUGGGAGAAAAUGUUUCAUAACUCUCUUCUGUAAGCAUUAAACUUUUUAGGGUAUUAUCACUCUAUAUAUAUAGAAGAUUACAAAAUUAAAUUUAAGGAAAAGCUAUUGUUGAGCCUUCUCUCUCCAGUAUGAAAAUACCCUUAUAUUCUUAUAUCAUAUUUGUUUUUGACGGUAAAUAUUUUGUUAUCUUUUAAUAAUAAUGUUAUCAUCUUCUCAUAAAUAAUACAAUAUUUGAAAUCAAAUCGUUGGUUCAGUAGCUGAUAAUUUAUUUAUAUCGUCAACUCUAUUAUUAACAUGUUAAGUAGGUUUGUACCCUAAGUCUUUUCAUCUAUACAUCAAAAUCCCAUCCAUAUUUCGCUAACAAUAUUAUCUUGAUAUUACCUUAUUUGCUAAUUAUUUACCUUUUUUGCUCUUCAUGCUAAAUAUUUUGUUACCCUUUAAUAAUAAUAUUAUCGUCAUCGCAUAUAUAUCAGUCUUCAAAAUCUAAACAUUGGUUCAAUAACUGAGAAUUUGUUUAUAUCGUCAAAUAUAUUAUUAACAUAUUAAGUUGGUUUGUACUCCAUGUCAUUUCAUCCAUGCAUAAAAUCCCAUCCACAUUUCGCUAACGAUAUUAUCUCGAUAAUGCAUUAUCUGCUAACUAUCAUGAUUUUUAUCAUAUCUCCUUGUAGGGAUAUAUUUGUCAUAUAGAUUUUAAUUGAAAAAAAUUACCUAAAUAAAUGGUCUUCAUAUAUAGAUUCUUAAUUAUUUGCUAGUGCAUAUAUAGAUUUUUGACUCACCCUACUUUUUAAAUCUUUUUUUUGUUUACAUAUUUCCUUCUCAAUUAAUGAAAUAUGUCAUGAUGAUUUUACCUUCUCUUUUUUUUUUUUAUUAUUCAUUUUAAUUAAUUAGUUUCUGAAAAAAAAAUCAAAAACAGAAAAAAAACAAAAAACGCUUCAUAUUCUCUUUUUUUUUCUACAUAUCUCUUUCUCAAUUAAUGAAAUAUCUCAUGACGAUUUUGCCAUCUCUCCCAAACGGUACUAGUAUUACUUAAGAUAAUAUUAGUGUAGUUAGGCAUACUACAUACAUCUAAGUAAUACUAGUGUUACUAGUACUGUUUGGGAGAGAUGAAUGGAUCGAGUGUCGGUUCGAAUGAAUCCAAAUUUUUUUAAUUAAACUUGGAUUUCAGUUGGGUUAUAUUGGUAAAACUCUCACAUUUCGAAUUAAAAUUAAAUUAAUAUUAAUUUCUAUUUAUAACAGAGAUAUAUGAGGUUACAAUUUGCCAAAAGGGGAUUUUUUAGACAUUUUUGCGCACGAUGGCUUCGUAAUAUAAUCGAAGGUCAUAUAUUAUUUUUAGUCGUUAUGAUCAUUAUUUUCCAGCAGUUUUAUUUUUAAUAGUUUGUCUUCAUAUUCAACUUCAAACCCGCCCGGUUGUUCAUUUUCUUUUAUGAUAUGAGUAGCUAACUGAUAGAUAGAUCAUUGGGUUAAUAAUUUAUGUCGAAAGGCCAAUAGGCUAAUGGGAGUAGCCAAGAAACACAUAUGUUUAUUUAAAAUAUUAUUUGUCUAGUUUCUUUUGAUAUGGGUGAAUAGUUUUUUUAUUGGUUAUGAUAUUUUAACUAGGAGAUAUGAUGAUUCAAUUUCAAUGCUUAACUCUUAUUAAAAAUUCUCCAUUCUCAGGUUUUUCAAUUCCAUAAUAUAUAUAUAUAUAUUGAAUACCAAUUAUUCUGGGCUGAAGCCCGUGAUCUCUCAGGCCCAAAAUCACAACAUGUAACAUUUGGAAAUCCACACAGAAUCUAUUGUUUUAAAAAUCAAACAACGUGGAUUUGAAAGUCAAAUAAUAUGGAAUUUGAAAGUCAAAUAAUAUGGAAUUUUAAAAGUCAAACAAUGUGGAUUUAAAAGUCAAAUAAAGUAGAAUUGAAAUUCAUACAAAAGGAUUAUAAAAUUAAAAACAUUACAAUAUUUAGAAAUAAUCUCUCACGUUCUGAUCUAUGAAUUCUCAAUUAAUCAUUGCACAUAUUUGAUGCUAUUGUUUCUCUCCACUGAUUGGCAUAUUCUCUCUAUUGAUCUUGGGUUGUAAGAACUUCAUCAUUAUUGUCAUUAAUUUCUUCGACAACUUCUUCUACACUUUCGUCUUCUUCAGAAAAUUAUCCGUUCGACAAAACUUUUGAAGAAAAUUAUGUAAACCAACACAUGCAAGUACAAUCUCUGUCUGCGUCUUAUAAGGAAAAGGAGGUGCAGAUUUGAAGAUUAGAAAUCGAGAUUUAAAAAUACGAAAUAUUAUUUCAACCAUGUUUCUUAAGGAUGCAUGACGAUGGUUAAACAACUCUUUUGCAUUCGUUGGUUGUGAAUUUUGACCAGAAUAUUCUUGUAGAUGAUAUCUGACACCACGAUAUGGAGCUAAAAAGUUUCGACGAUUUGGAAAUCCACAACCUACCACAUAAAACUUUCCUGAAAUACAGUAAUAAUUUCUUAUAAAAGAUACAAUAAUAUAUAGCAUUUAUCUUGUUGAAAAAAACAUUUUACAAUAUAAAGACAUGUACUUACCUUCUGGAACUAGUAGUCGAUUACUGUUCCUUGUCAACGCAUCAUUUAAUACUUCUGAGUUAUGAGCUGAACCUUCCCAUCAACUAAGCACAUAUAUGAAUUCGAGAUCAAAAUUACAAGCAGCCAACACAUUUUGCGAUAUAUCACCUUUUCUGUUACGAAAAGAAGACGCUUUUUUUUUUGUGAUACCACUGCAAGGAUAUGUGUACCAUCAAUAGCUCCAACACAAUCCUAAAUACAAUAAAGUUAUAUUCCAUGAAAGAUAAUGAAAAAGCAAAGACAUAACUUUAUGAAAGAUAAACCUUAAAAUACGGAUAAAAUCUCGUACUUUUUCUAAUUUUUCUAGGCACUGCAAUCUCAGGCUUAGCCAUUAAACUUGGAGCAAUUUGGUUAAGAGCCCGUAAGACUUUGUGAAAGUUCACGCUUGUUGCAAACGUUGACCUAUUAAAAGUGUCUUUUGUAUAACAAUACCUUGAAUUUUGGCCGACUACUAGAAGAAAAGUUGCAACCAUUUCUUCAACACUAAUCUAUUUCAUAUUGCAUAAACUUGUCUGCUCCCGGAGUUGUUCAUAUAACUUCAAAAAAAAUUGUGGAUACAUUCGAUACAACUGUCGAAAACGCAUAGGGUUUUGCUUUUGCACAUUUUCUAUAUAGAUUUCUCCGUCUCUUGUGAUCGCACGACGAAUAGAAUAUUGAGGUCCAUGUCGUAGGCAUUUCCUCAAAUACAACAUCCGAAAGGAAAUCAAGAGCACCAACAAAAUAGUGUCAGCAUCGAACUCGUCAUCAUGUAAUGCAUUUCUUUCUCUUUCUUCAAGAAUUUCUUGAUCUCCAUGAUGGGCUCGAUCCAUGUUUGACGAUAUACACCUGUGGCACAAAAAAUAUAAUUCGUAAAACUUUUCUUACAAGCAAAUGACAUGAUAAUUAAAAAAACAAACAACAAAAAGGUGGAGACGUGUGUUGAAAGCUCACAACGAGAAAGUUGAAAAAUAACUAGUCUCAAAUAUUAGCUUUAACAAAUAUAAGGUUACACGUGUGUUGAACUCAUCAUAUUUUUAACUUUAUCAUUAACAUAUAAAGUUAAGAAAAUACACUUACAAAUUUAUCAACGAUGCGCCAUCUCUUUCCCUGUCUCUUGUGUUCUUAUAGUUUUGUACUUUUAUUAUAUGUAUAUUUUACAUUUUUAUUUCAUGUAAAUUUUACGUUUUACGAACACACAUAUUACUUUUUCUUUUAUGUACAUUUUAUAUUUUCAAAAUGAAAACUGUGAGAUAAAAGAACACAUGAAUGUUCGUAAAGAAAGUGUAUAUACAUAUUUAUAUUUUGUGAGUCAAUAAAUUGUAAGAUUUCUAAAUUUUUUAAUCGAAGAUUUGUCAAAUCACCAUUUAUCAUAAGAACCUUUAGGUAAACGAAAAGCUUAUAUUAACUAACUUUUCAUACUAGUUUUUAUGUAGCACAAAUAAAAAAAAAUGAGCAAAUCACAACAAGAUCAAGAAAAAAAAUCAUACCUUCCAUGGAGUCCACAAGAAACCAGAACUUUGAUUGAUUUACUUUUAAACGGUCUUGCUUCGGGUUGGCGAAAUUCAAGUGGUGUGUUCAGCAAGUUUACAGUGGAAAGAAAAAUACUGCCUAUUGUUAAUCAAAAACAUGGGAGUGACAAAACUCAUAAACACUACCUAAACAGAAUGAAGACCUUGAAGGGAAAAUACGUAAGUGGUGUGAACUUCUUAGUUGCAGCUCCGGGUUUGGAUGGGAUCCAAACACAAAACGGUUUACAGCAUCAUAUGAGGUGUGGAAUAAUUAUAUAAAUGUAAGCUUCACAUACGUACGUUAGCUUUUUCUUUUGGCUUUUUAAUACAAUUUUAAAUAGUACGUGGAACGUUGCAUCAAUAAGAUAAUAAAAAAGUAAAUUGUGCAAUUUGUAAUUAUGCUAAAAUAUAUAUGUUUUUGGAUUUUAGGCGCAUCCAAGUUACAAAAAAUUCAAAGAUGAAACCUUUGAAGAAUUUGAUGAUCUCAAGAUGGUAUUUGAGGACAACAUAGCAACCGGUGGGAAUGCUAUUGGAUUAGGUGAUGGUACGGAUGCUCGAACAUGUGAAAUUGCAGGAAAAAAGCAAACAAGUUCUAUUGAAGAUUUUCUAUGGAUGUCGAGGAAGAUCAUGAAACACCUUCGCAUUUUGUGGACAUCAAUUAAAGGGGCCCUUCAGAAAAACUUCCUGUGAGAAUGAAGCGUAGAAGCAAUACUAACGAUGUAGGUGAACCAAAAACUCAUAGUGAAGAUUCAGAAGAAGUCCAUACCGAGAUAAAUUCAUUGACAACAGUAACUCAUAAAAUCUUCAAUCUAAUACAAGAAAGAGAAACAAUACAGUAAAGAGAAUCUGAACAAAGAGAGGCUGAGAAGAAGAAAAAUAACGUAUGGGAAGCUAUCAAAGAAGUUCCUAAUUUGGAAAACACAGUUCGUUACAAUGCCGUUAAACUAAUUCACUAAUUAGGAAUGGAAGAAGUCUUUGUUAGUAUGUCCAUUGAUGAUCGUUAUGCUUGGAUUGUGCGUAACGUGAUGGAGUGCUAGAAUAAUUAUCUUUUGUUUACAAGUAUUGUUGGUUUUCUAGAAUUUUUCUUCUAGUCUCGUUUGGUUUUCGAAAGCUUCUCUUUAUUUUCUAGUAUUGUUGGUUUUAAUUAUAUGAUGUUGUUUCAUGAUCUUUGUAUUAGCAGUUUUUUUCAUGAUUAAACUCGAUAACCCAAUUCAGCUUGAGCAUCGAGAGACAAAAAAAUCGAACCAUUAAGACUCCAAUCCUUGGGUGUCACCGAGUUUCCAAUUUCUAGAACCUGCCAUCCACGAAUCUUCACCAAACUCUUGAUUUGUAGAGAGAAGCAAUGUCGGUGGUGUUGUAGAGGAAGAAGAAAGCUACUAUGGUGACGAUUAGGAGAGAGAAGACAUCAAUUCUUGUUGUAUUCUCUGUAGGAUCCACGCAAAGCCACCACAUGAAGCAAAAUGCUUCAAGGUAUUAUUUUUUUUGUUGUUCAAAACAUUGCUAUACAAUAAGCAACGGCACGAGAAAGUGUUAUAAAACAAGCGACUAUACGUUUUUUAACCGGAUGAGAUUAAAAUAUGAAAAAUAUUGUUUUCUUCCAAAUCCACCCAAAUAACUAGGUGGAACACAAGUAUUUCAAUCACUCUAUUUAUAAGUAAAACAUAUAUUCAAUUAUAUUCAAAUCUAAUAUGAAGUGAAAUCCAUACUUAAAUCUUCAAUAAGGGGUGAUUUUAAAAAGUAUUUGUAAAUCAUAGAACCAAUAACACAUGAUUUUUAUAAAAAAUUUUAAAAUCAAUGAUUGAAUAACACAUGAGUUUACUUGGAUUUCCAAAUCCAUUGAAAUCAUUGAUCUAAUAACCCCCCCCCCCCCCCUUAGUUUUUUUUCAAGCGUCAUUUCAACCGGCGACCUCUAUGUUUAGAGUAUGAUAUUUACCAAUUGAGCUAAAGAGACUUGGUUCAAUUCACAUAUUCUUGCUAAAAUUAGAUUGAUCUCUUCUCUUCGAAAUUUCAGUUUUUUUUGGCAUCAAAAAUACUUGAUAAAAUGUUUGAACGAAUGUUAAUUGUCUCAUAUAUUUCUAAUCACAUUUGUAUUUUAUAUUCGGUAAAAAUAUUUUAUUGAUCCGCUUCUGAUCGGCUGUCAUAAAUAUUUAAAAUAUUAUUGUUUUUUUUGGAAUAAACCUCGCAUAUACUAUUGCAAUCUAAGUGUAACAGACUAAUACUAUAUAUAUCACGGAGUAUGAUGGUUUACAUGUUACGACGUUGGCUUAAUGGUAGCAAGCGACUAGAAGGUAAUAUAUUAUCAGUAUUAGCCAGUGUAAUAUUAUUACACAACUGUGUACAUCUAUCAUGGUUUCAGCAAUUUGUAUGCAUAUUCACACCCAACCGUUUUGAAUUAAGAGAUUUAAAUAUGUAUGAAACUUGGUUAAUUGCAAGUAUGCAAAAGAUAAUCAUUGAGUUCCAAACACAUAGAAAUGAUUAUUAAUAUCUAAAAUAACCAAAUUUUGAUAUUUGGAAUGAAAUAUUGCCAUCCUAUACUAUUAUUUGGGAAGUACAUUAAAAAAUAACUUUACUUUUUGUAAAAUAUUACAUAAGAAUAUCGUCAUUAGAAAUAAAAUUUAAAAGAGUAGAUUAAUUUUUCUAAUUAAGAUAAAUAGAUGAAAUAGUCAUUUAUGCAAUUUAACUAAUUUACAUAAAGUAAGGUACAAGAGUUUUUAAAAGAUUUCUAGAUGGUUUAUAAGGGUUUUAAAGGAUUUACAAGAAUUUUUAAAAGAUUUUUUAAAUAAUUCACAAGGGUUUUUAAAAGAUUUACAAGGGUUUUGAAACCCUUUAAAGAUUCUUCUAAAUUUUUCUAAAACCUUUUGUAAGUGUUCAUAAGAGUUUUAAGAAGAUUCAAAUAGAGUUACAAAUGUUUUUUAAAAGUUAAAAAAUGAUUUAAAGACUUUAUAAGAGUUUUAAAAAGAUUUUAAAAGAAUUUACAAAGGUUUUAAAAUCUUUGUAAAUCCUUUAAAAACUCUUGUAAAUCUUUUAAAACAAUUGUAAAAGGUUUUAAAAUGAUUUACAAAGGUUUUUAAACGGGGUUUAAAGUAUUUACAUAUGUAUUUAAAGACUUUAUAAAUAAUUUAGAGGUUUAAAUUAAUUUACAAGGGAUUUUUAUUAACUUAACAAAGAUUUGAAAACAAGGUUGUUUUAAGUGUUUUUAAAUGAUUCUUAAAAAAAUUACAAGAAUUUUUAAAUACAUUUUUUUUGCUGGGAACAAAUUUGGCGGGGAAAUUUGUUUUUGGGUGGGGCGAGAAAUAUUUUGGCGGGGAAAAGGUUUUGGCGUAAAUUUUGUUUUGCCGGAUAAUUUCAGUUUCUAAUUACAUGUUCUCAUUAGAUGAGAGUAAUUUGGUUAUUUUGUUCAAGAGAAUGAGUAUUUUUAAAAAUGAACAACACAAAAGGGUAUUAUUGCAAAAGAUACUCGAAAGAGGGUACUUUUGCAAAUCCCCAUUUUAAAAAACUUGUAAAUCUUUUAAAAAACUUAAAUCUUAUUAAAUCUCUUAAAAAGUCUUUAGAAACAUUUGUAAAUCCUUUUAAAACUUUUGUAAGUAUUUUAAAACAUUUCUAAAUCUUUUUAGACCCUUUAAAAACUCCGAUAAAAUUAUUUAAAAACCUUGUAAACCCUAAUAUAAUCUUUUUUAAACUCUUAUAAAACUUUUAAAGUCUUGAAACCCUAGUCAAUCCAUUUUCCGAAAAACAAAGUAAGGGAUGUUAUAGUCAAUGAAAAAUUUUGGAGGAAAUUGUUUUGUACGAAAACUUUUUGGCGGAAAAAUUUAUGUCAGAAUUCUUUUUGACUGAAAAUUUGUUUUGAAAAACAAUUUGGUAGAAAUUUUUGGGGCAGAAUUUUUUUUGGUGAGAAACUCAUCCUCUUAUUUUGUUGACUUAAGUAUUUUCAAAUAAAGAAGUAUUAAUAAAAAUGGACUAUAAAAAAUGAUAGUAUUGAAAAAGGUAAUAGAUGGAAAGACAUUCCUCACAAAUUCUCAUUAUUAAAGAUAUUAUUUUAUUGAUUAUCUAUUCAUAAUUCAUAUAUUAAAUGUAUAAAUCUUAAUAAAAUAAGUUAUAAAUAUACAACUAAAUCCGUGCAGAACUUCAUAAUUGAUCAAUAUAUAUAUAGGCCAUGUAUAUAUUUUUUAUUGGAGUAAUUAUACUACAUAGAAAUAUGAUCAAUUAAAUAAACUUAUUUUAUAUUUAUUUAUACAAUUUAUUAAAAAAAAUAUUUUCCAACAAUACUAUAGUUAUUUAUAAAUUCUUAAGGAUACAUGUAAACGUUUUUUUUUGGAUGAGUUUAAACUUAAAUACAUCAAACUGAUAAAUUUAUUUGAUGAUUUUUACUAAAACAAAAAAAAACACAAGAGAAUUGCAUCAAAAUUUCUAAUUGAAUCUACUCAAUUGUUUUUUUUUUUUGGGAAAAUUAAGGCAAAGUGGAAGAUUGGGAGUUAGGUGACAACAUAUAAAAUUAAUAAACUAUAAGUUGAUUUGUUUUUUCUUUCUUUAAUCCAAUUAGCUGGCGGCCGAUCAAUUAGAAGCUAUAUGAAGAGGAGCUCGCAGGACAAAAAUUGAAACUCAAACUUCUUCUUUCUUUUUCUUCUUUGAUUAUUAAAAAAUUUCUUCUAGUGAUGAAUUCGAAGUACACAACUUUUCUCAUCCUUAUCCUUUUCUAAUCGAUGCAGAUUCCAGCUCUAUGUCUUCUACUGAUGAUUUCGUUGCAGAUACCACGCCUGAACUCAUGUUUCCGUUUUAUCAUCAUCCUUUAUCAGCCUACGAUUAUUCAUCAAGCUAUAUUCUUCAAGAGAAGGCAUAUUGCUGCUUUAUGUGUGUUUAUUCCCUCUUUGACAAAGAACCCAUGCUUUUGCCUGAUAUCGACUAUCACUGUACGGAGUGUGGCUUGAAUAUGCACAAGAAAUGCAUCAAGCGCCUUUUCCUCAACUGGCCAUUUCUAUGCAAUCACGUUCUCAAUAUCUUCCAAAAUACUUUCACAUCAUCUGACAAUAUAGAUGACUUCUCUUGUCAUUUUUGUCAAAGUAGGAUUAAGUCGUCGUUUGCUCGUUUCACGUUAUGCAACAUAAACGUGGAUGAAAAGUGUAUGGUGGAACUGCAACCACCACUCAAAAUUUCCGAACCAAAGCACCACAAGUAUAGCCUCACCAUCUUGUUAUGGCUAGUCACCUUCAUAUGUAGUCCUUGUGGUGUGGAAGGCGAUCACAAUCCUUAUGUAUGUCUUGAAUGCAGUCUGAUGGUUCAUAGAGAUUGUAUUGAGGAUCUACCGCGAGUCAUAAGCAUAAAUCGUCAUGACCAUCGCAUUUCUCAUACUUUUCAUCUUGGUGAAAGAGAAGGAGGUUGGGAGUGUGGAGUUUGUCAAACGAUGAUUAAUUGGGUCUACGGAGCAUAUAAAUGCUCUCGUUGUCCUAGUUAUGUCGUUCAUUCAGGAUGUGCUACAAAAAAAGAAGUGUGGGAUGGGUUAGACCUCGAAGAUGUGCCUGACGAAGAAGAAGAAAUCAAAGAUCCAUUCAAGGUAAUAAAUGAAAACGGAGAUAUCGUUCAUAUUAGUCACGAAGAGCAUGUUCUCAGAUUGGAUGAGAAUUAUGUUACGGAUGAUGCUAACAUGCGUUGUCAGUGUUGCAUUCUUGCUAUCAACGGUGAUCCAUGCUACCGAUGCGUGGAAUGUGACUUCAUCCUUCAUGAUGCAUGUGCAAAUCUUCCACGGAAGAAGCAACAUUUAUUGCACAAGCAUAAACUCACUCUUUCCUCGACAUGUAUUGAUGGAGAAACAUAUUGUCAGUGUAAAGUUUAUGAUGUCUAUACGGAUGGUUUCAUAUACAAGUGUCAUCAUGAAGAUUGCGAAAGUAAAUAUAUUAACUAUGAUGCUCGGUGUAGUUCUGUAUUGGAACCGUUUCACCACGAUCUGCAUCAACAUCCCUUAUACUUUACCUUGCAAAGUUCGAGACGGUGUCAGGCGUGUGACAGAGAAAUACACGAUGAUCCCUUAAAUUGCACGGUCUGUGAUGACUACUCUUUAUUCAUGAGGUGCGCUACUUUACCAAGAAAGGUAAAACACAGGUGUGAUGAUCAUUUUCUAUCACUAUGUCAAGGUGUGGGAAACGCAAUCGGUGACUUAUGGUGUGAUAUUUGUGAGACGAAGACAAACUGAUAAGUAGGUUUUUAGGCCUACUUAUAUGCUGAAGUGAGGUUCAGUUCAAUUCCCCUUAAACACUAACAUGUCGAUGCAGCUAUAGGGGCUGUUAAUCGAGUCCACUGUUAUUGCUAGCAAUAAAGAUGUGUAUAGAAGCAACUAAGUCAAGCCAGAUUAUAAUGAUGGUGGGUUUCUAGUAACAAUCCUAGGUCAGGAUUUAAACAGGUAAAAAUGAGAACUUAAGAGCCCUACUCGAUCAUUGGGUUGAGUAGAAUCAACAGUGAACAAUAUUAAAAACUAAAAUGCAAUCAAAAGGGGAUACAAAUAACAGGUAACUAAGCCCUAAUUCUCUUCUCUGUUUCUUAUCACUAACCCGUGAAGACGAAGAGAACUACACACUCACCUUCAAGCUUUUACAAUGCUUUAAAGUUUACACAAUGUAUUGAAAAUAUCCUAGAGUGCUCAAAGAGGCUCACCCUUUGCUCUAGAAUCUUUAUACCUAUUCUCCAGAACCCUAAACUUAGGAUCUCCGAGAAUCUCUCGAUAUGGAAUCUUCGUUGUUUCCAAGCCUAUUCCUUUCCUUAUUCUUCGAGACAAUAUCUUCUAUAUCUUCUCGAUGAAUCUUGUCUUUGACACCACACCAAGUUAACUUCCAUUAUUGGCUCUCCACAUCAUCCGCUACAGCUUGCCACGUUUGCUCUUGCAUCCAUGUCAACAACUCAAGCGUCUGAUGAGAUUCGAUGCAGUUUCCUGAAAUCCAUCAGCGUUCUGAUCGCCAUCAGGUGAUUGAUUGAACUCUGCAUCUUCAUCCAAUCUCACAUAUAGCUCAUAUGAAUAAAAGAAAAACUUAUGCAAUCAUAAAACUGUGAUAAAAAAACCUUUAAACUUCGUUCAUAAAACGGAUGAUUAUCUAGUAUAAGAAAAUUCCAAAUGCUUGAUCACGAGAGUUCGACCCCACUUCCCCCCUUCCCCCCCCCCCCCAACAAAUUGAGAAAGUGUCAAAUAUAACCGUUGACAAAAAAAGAAGAAGGAUAUUACAUAAUUUAAUCAAUUAUUUGCAGUUGUGCUUGCCAUUAUCUUUGCUAUUUCCUAUAAGUUGGGGAAUAGCUUAUGUAUAAUGUUACCAUAGAUUAGGGAGUAAUUUUCGGGACUUAAUUAACAAAAAUACGCACUGAUUAUAAAAAACUUAAACAAAUAUUAAUCAAAAUUAAAGAAUUUAUAUAUUCGUAACAAACUUGAAUCAUUCAAUUUAUACCCAUAGUCUCCUAAACUUCAGGUCAUCUGAAACUGUAUUCUCAUAAACAGAAACAUAAAAACUCUGAGAACAAGAUCAGAACAAAAACAAAUGAACAUAAGAACAAAUAUGGGGUCAAACUUUCAUGCUUUUAUGGUUCAAUGGUUCGAUUUUGGUCACAUGACUGCAUUUUUGCAUUUGGCUGAGAAAGGGCACAAAAUAACUUUCUUGCUCGCCAAGAAGGCUUUGAAGCAACUUGAACCUCUCAAUCUCUUCCCAGACUGCAUUCUCCUUUCACAUUCUUACCAUCGCUUUUCUGGAUACCCUCCCUGAAGGUGCUGAGACAACCUCGAAUAUCCCGAUAUCGUUAGGGAGUUUUCUAGCCUCGGCUAUGGAUCGGACAUGUAAUCAGGUUGAAGAAGCGGUUUCUAUACUUAAACCCGGAUAUGAUUUUCUUCGAUUGUGCUCACUGGAUUCCAGAAAUAGCUACAGAGUAUGGUGCCAAGAGUGUGAAUAUCAUAACGAUUUCUUCAGCAUGUGUAGCUAUCUCAUUUGUGCCUAGUAAUCAUCCAAAUGACUUGGUUAGUACUCCACCGGGAUAUCCUUCUUCGAAGGUGUUAGUAGCUGAGCCUUGGCGUCAGUAGCUUAGCUAGUUCCAACCAGGAUCAGUAAUAUAUUGUGCAUUAGGCAGCCAAAUUAUUCUUGAAAAUAAUCAAUUCCAAGAACUUUGUUUGAAUGGAGCUGAAAGGUUUACCAUUUCUUGUCGCAAUCACUACAAGAAUUUCGGCCAUUGGUAGCAGAUGAUUGUAGCACUAAUUCACUAACUGCUAGUAAAAGUGAUAAAAUCGGAUGGCAACUAUAUUGUAGCAUUAAUUUAGUGCUGAGAAAGAAUUUCAUUAAGCGGCAACCCAAAAAUCAUUACGAUAGAAGAAAAAUCAUUGUGGAGGCAAAAAACUUAGCCAAAAAUUUGGUUUUUUUGCCACUCUCUUCACACUUAGACAAAAGCAUUCCUCACUUAGACAAAAUAGACAAAACACUUCGUCGACGAUACCAUAAAUUUCGUUUCGGGUCACUGAUAUAGGUCAAAUUGCAUUAAGACCACUCUAUCAAAUAAGAGAUCGAUUGUAACACUUAAGGGUCGAAUUUUACAAAGUUCUUGGAUCAAACAAUAGAUCAAGAUUUUGAAUUAAGCUAAGUAAAAUAGUAAUGAAAAAGAAAAAAUAGACGAAAAUAAUAGCAAAUUGUGAGGUUGUAAGACAAGAAAGUAAAAACGUCAUGCUUAGGGUACUCUCAGGAAACUAUUGGUUAGUAGAUCUAAUAAUAGCUAGGUUGUUAUCGAACCAUUCUUAAACUCAAACUCUAAUUAUAGAAUAAUCGGUGGUGUUCCGCAAAACUCCAUAUGCCUAUAGCUAAGAAUAACUGGAGAAGCCGAAAGAUCUUUAACCUGAACAUGCAUUCUAAACGAGUUCAAUUGUUCACCUUAGUAGAUAGGCCGAUUCAUAUUACACACCUAUAAACCCGGCUCAUCAAAUAAUAGAUCCAACUACAGAUACCUAUGGUGGGCAUAUCUAUUGUCUGGAUUCAAGUUCUAGGUGAUCGAUCUAGAUCUAGCAUUAAGAACAAUUAAAGAUGAAGAAUUCUACCGAUAACCUAGUAGGGGCGAUCUACUAAACCAUAUGAAUCCCUAAUGAGAAACCCUAAACCUAACAAGUGGAUUACUCAGACAUGAUCAAAGAAACACAACUCAUAGUCUGAAUAAGAAAUCAAUAAUAGCAAGAGAAAGAGUAAAGAAGAUCUUCUCCAAAGGGAGUCUCCAUAGGGUUUUGCUCCCAAAGUACAAAAGAGAUAAGGAGAUUAGCCUCUCUAAGCUUAGGUCUAAACAAUGACCUUAAAAACUAUAUAUAUGACCUAAAAACGUGAUGGGCCUUCUUUAGAAAUAAGGGAAAGUUCUCGGCCGAAUUUGGAAAUCUUCAAAACAUCAAUAAGUUGCGUCUUCGAAUCGCCAUCAGGUAUUGGUGUCUCUUGACACCAGGGGUGGUGUCGUUCGACACCUACGCGGAUUUUGGUCUGCGAAUUGCUUCUGCAACUUAAGUUGUCUGUUUUGCUCCAGAAUGCUCCAUAAUCUCCAAAUGCCUGCCAAGCAUGUAAAGACCUGAAAAAGACUAUAAAAGACUCUAUAGAAAAGACUCUAUAAAUAACAAAAGGACUCUAAAACCUAUACCUUAAUCAUAGCUAAAAGCAGUAAAAAUAGAGUUAUAUCAGUCACCACAAAACCUAAUUCCCUUCAUUCCUCAACCUCUUUCGCAUUGAUUCCCUCGAUUUCCGGUCAUUCCUCAACCUUCUUCGCCUCGAGUUCCCUCUCCUUUCAAAAAGGAAAUCAUCACUUUAUCGCUGAGCUAAGUUUUUCUCUUCUCCGACGCUUUAUUCCACUUGCAAUUAUGAAGAAAAAACCUAGAUCUUAAGGUAAUCAAUUUACGAUUUUUGGAAUUAUGAACUCUAGAUCUAAUCGUCAUUCUCAGUCUUAAUUCGAUUUCUCUAAUUACUUUCCAUUUUAACUCUCAUUGUAGCAAGAAUCAAAGUCGUAGAUAUAUCUUUGAGGACCUUACACGAUUAUAAGCAAGAGAAUCAAUCUCCUUUACAAUCUUUAGGUUAUGGUUCUUAUAUUCGUUUGACAACUAGUAGUUUACAAUCUUAAGACAUAUAUAAAGAGUUUGCAGGUUGCUAUUAGAAUUUCUUAGCUUCUGAUAUUAGUUUAAAGGUUGGAUCUUUUUGCAACAUAAGGAGUUUUCAAGGUUUCUAGCUCGGGCGAAAACGACUUUAACUUCAGAAGCUUAUAGUUUGUAGGUUAGUUGUUUUGACUUUUAGAUUCGAGAUGGGUUUCAUACGACUUCAACUUCAAAAGCUUAUGGUAUUAGUUUAUUUGUUUAAUCUUGUCAAUUUUUUUUUUUUUUUUUUUUUUUUUGGAAUAUUUAGAAGUUCAAAAAGAUCCUUUCCAAGGUAUCUCAAACCUAGCACCUCCACCUCGGAGAUUUACCACUAAGCCAACAACACGUUGGUGUUUAAUCUUGUCAAUGUGAAUGUCAAUGUGUUUGUUUGGUGUUUGAAUUCUUUUGGGUUUGUUAUAUUUUGCUUAUGGGUAAGAACAUACAAUGGUCGAAAAGUCAUAAGUUCAUCUGAACAAGUAUGUGAAAAAAUAUACUUAUGGGUUUAAUGUGGGAUUAAAAGAAUUAAGGUUUUCUUAUUGUUUUUUGGUCUCAUCUUACUUUGCAUAAGAGUUGAUCCUGGUUAUAAGAGAGGUGCUAGGGAUUUUGUGAGGUCUGUGGUUGCAGCUUUAGGAGAAAUGGAGAUGAUUUAUUUGCAUGUGUAUUCACUGUCGCAACGUAGACCGUCACUCAAUUGGUAUUGUUGUCGAUCAUCUUGUAACAAGAGGAAUGGAUUUGAGUUACAAGAUGCAAGAGGACUGGUAUCAUAAUGGGGAAGUUAAAUCUGAGACUGAGAGUAGAAGCAAUGCAAGUCAGUCGAACCAAGAGAUUUUAGGGUUAUACCAAGCUGCUGAGUUUGGAGAUGAAGAGUUAGUUAGGUAGGUAGAUAUAAGUGAGGGUGCUGAGGCUUAGAAUAAGCUAGAAGAUGAGUUUCAUGCAAAGCUAGCCGAUGCAGAAACACCCCUAUACCCUAGUUUUGCAAACCACAACAAGCUAUCAUCAAUAGUUUUACCCUUCAGGAUAAAGACACAAAGUGGUUGGUCUGACAAAAGCUUCGGUCUGCUGCUUCAAACUUUUUCAUAGAUGCGAUAAUGUAUUGCACACAUCGUUAUACGAGGUGAAGAGGUUUUUGAGAUAUUUUGAGAUGGGUUAUGAGAAGAUACACGCUUGUGUGGAUGACUGUUGUUUAUCCAGAAAGCAGUUUGAGAAGCUCAACAAUUGUCCGAAAUGCAAUGCUUCACGGUGGAAGAUUAACACCCGCAUUAGUGAAGUUAAGAAAGGUAUUCCACAGAAAGUACGUAGGUAUUUUCCGAUAAUUCCACGUCUCAAGAGGAUGUUCAGGUCAUUAGACAUGGAGAAGAACUUAAGGUGGCACUUUAGUAAUAAGAGCACUGAAGAAAACUUCUGUGACGUGGGAUCAAAUGAAUGAUAAAUACCCGUCUUUUGCCUCUGAAGAGAGGAACAUUAGGUUGGGACUCUCGUCAGAUGAGUUUAAUCCGUUUAACAUGAAGAAUGUUCAUUAUAGUGCUUGGCCUGUUUUGCUAGUCAACUACAACAUGUCACCUGACAAGUGUAUGAAGGAAGAGAACAUCAUGUUGUCAUUACAGAUUCCUGGUCCAACCCAAUGUGGAAACAAUAUAGAUGUGUACUUAGAACCCCUUAUUGAAGAUCUAAUCGAUCUGUAGGAGAAGGGAAAGUCAACGUAUAACGCAUUCAGUCAAACCACUUUCACAUUAAAGGAAAUGCUUAUCUAGACCAUAAUUUUCCUGCAUACGGAAAUGUUGUUGGCUAUAAGGUGAUGGGCAAAAUGGCAUGUCCUGUUUGCGGAAAACAUACAGAAAAUAUGUGGUUAACUAAUUGUAGAAAACACGUAUACAUGUGCCAUCAAAAGGGUUUGCUACCCACACAUGUUUAUCGAGGAAAGAAAGCAUGGUUUGAUGGUAAAGCUGAGCAUGGGAUAAGAGGUCGGAUUCUGAGUGGUCCUAACAUAUACCAAAUACUCAAAAAUUACAAGAAUGAUUUUGGGAAUGUGAAAGUAACAAGAAGGAAGAGAAAUAUGAAAUAGUGUGUUGGUUCAGGCUCAAACACUAAUGAUGAUACCAGUGAAUCAGAGGAAGAUGAAGAACAAGUAGAUGACGAUGAGUUAUCUAGUUGGAAGAAGUUGUUUAUCCUUUUUACGUUGCCUUAUUGGAAAGUAUGUUCCUAAGGUGGUUUUUAAUUUAUCAUUUCAGAAUUGAUCGAUUUUCAAUGUCUUUAGGGGGGGUUAUUGGAUCAUUGAUUUGAAUGGAUUUGAAAAUCCAAGUAACAUUUGGAAAUCCACACAGAAUCUAUUGUUUUAAAAAUCAGACAACGUGGAUUUGAAAGUCAAAUAAUAUGGAAUUGAAAGUCAAAUAAAGCAGAUUUGAAAUUCAUACAAAAGGAUUACAAAAUUAAAAACAUUACAAUCUUUAAAAAUAAUCUCUCACGUUCUGAUCUAUGAAUUCUCAAUUGAAUCAUUCCACAUGUUUGAUGUUAUCGUUUCUCUCCACUGAUUGGCAUAUUCUCUAUAUUUAUCUUGGGUUGUAAGAACUUCAUCAUUAUUGUCAUUAAUUUCUUCGACAACUUCUUCUACACUUUCGUCUUCUUCCAGAAAAUUAUCCGUUCGACAAAACUUUCGAAGAAAAUUAUGUAAACCAACACAUGCAAGUACAAUCUCUGUUUGCGUCUUAUAAGGAAAAGGAGGUUGAUAUACCUCGAUUUUCACAACUUUUAACUAUGAUUUAGGUAUAGUUUUUAGAGUCCUUUUGUUAUUUGUAGAGUCUUUUCUACUCUUUUUCAGGUCUUUACAUGUUUGGGAUGCAUUUGGAGAUUAUGGAGCAUUCUGGAGCAACACAGACAACUUAAGCUGCAUAAGCAAUUCGGAGACGGAAAUUGACGUAGGUGUCGAUCGACACAACCCCUGGUGUCGAGCGACACCAAUACCUGACGGCAAUUCAAUUGCGCAACUUAUUCGUGUUUUGAAGAUUUCCAAAUUCGGCUCAGAACUCUCUCUUAUAUCCAAAAAAGGCCCAAACGUUUUUAGGACUUAUAUAUUGAUUUUUAUGGUCAUUGUUUAGAGGCAUAACUCUUAUUAUCUCUUUUAUUCUUGAGAGCAAAACCCUGUGGAGACUCCCUUUAGAGAAGAUUCUUCUAAACUCUUUUCUCUUAUUAAUUUCAUCAUUGAUUUCUUAUUCAAUAAUGUUUUGUUCUUCUAUGAUCAUGCUUGAGUAGUCCUCUUGUUGGGUUUAGGGAUUCUCAUUAGUGAUUUGGAUAAAUUAGUAGAUCGAAAACCCUUUUAGGGUAAUAUAUUUAGAAUUCUUCAUCUUGGAUUAUUCUUAAUGCUAGUUUUAGAGUAACUAACUAGAACUUGAUUUUAGGAUAAUAGGUAUACCCACCAUAGGUAUCUAUUACUGAAACUAUCUUAAAUGAGCCUAAUAUUUAGAUGUGUGCUAGCGUCCAUUACUUAGGUGAACUUAUCAAACCUGAUUAUAAUGCUUGCUUAGUUCUAGGGAUUUACAAGAGAAUUAGGAUCAAUACUAUUAAGCAUAGUGAAUUUCGCGGAACACCACCGGUUACUUUGUAUUAGUGAUUUGUGUUCUAGAAUGGUUCGAUAAUAAUCCUAAUUUACUGCUAGAUCUACUAUUAUGAUAUUUCCUGAGAAUUUUCCUAAACCCGACGUCUUAAUCAUCUGAAUCUACAAUCUCUUUUAUUUCUUGUCUUGUCUUUUACUUUUAUUACAUUCUCUGUUUAGCUUUAUUCGAAACUAUUAAUCUACUGUGUGAUCCAAUAACUUUGUGGAAUUCGAUCCCUAAGUGCUAUAACAACCUCUUUAUUUGAGAGAGUAGUCAUUAGGGUAAUUUGACUCAUAUCAAAUUUGGCGCCCUUGCCGAAGUUCUCUUCGAUUCACCAUUAGAUUAGGUGUAGAAUUUAGUCUAAGCUUUUCUUUUCUUUUGUUACUCACGCGUUUUUAUUUCUUCUUCUUCUUGUGUUUCAGGAGUUUAAGGAAUUCAAACGCAACUACAAGAUGCUGAUAGUAAUACCUGAUACUGCUGGAGUGUUACGCGAUAGUGCUGGUCAGGCAUACAACGAAGAGGGUCAGAAAAUAGAUGAACAGGGAAACCUGAUACCAGAAAUCGCUGAUGGUGUCGAUCUACACCAGCUGGGUGUCGCUCGACACCAAGAAGAAAUCAAAGCAGAUGGUCGUCGGAUGACUCUUGGUGACUACAACAGACCGGAUCUCUUCUAUUCCAAUCGAUCUGCAAUCCGACCACCUACCUUUGAAAGAAGCGAUUUUGAGAUAAACCCUGCAUUAUAUACUCUUGUGAGUAUGCAUCCUUUCCAUGGUCUUUCACAAGAACAUCCUAUGGAUCAUAUUGAGCGGUUUGAAGACUUGGUUUUGAGCAUUAAGGCAGAGGGUGUUUCUUAUGACUAUCUUCCCCACAAGCUCUUCCCAUAUUCUCUUGCUGGGGAAGCAUCUUCUUGGCUUAAGCAGUUGAAGCCUGGAUCUUUGACAACUUGGAAAGAAAUAAAUGUUACUUUUCUCAACAACUUUUUUAAUGAUGCAAGAUCCGAGGAGCUGAGAAUGGAGAUCUCUACCUUCUCCCAAGAAGCAACUGAAGCAUUUAAAGCCGUUUGGAUCAGAUUCAGAGGAUAUCAGAGAGAUUGCCUGCAUCAUGGUUUUAAUGAGGUUCAGUUGUUAGGACUCUUCUUCAAAGGAGUUGAUUGGCGAUAUCAGAUGGCUUUAAAUGCAGUUAGUACCAAAAGCGUUGACAUUGCAAGGAAAACGCAAGUUCAGUAUGUUGCACAAGUUGACAGUUUAGCCACUUCAGAAAAGAUGGAUCAACAGAGAUACAUGAGCUUCAAUCAACAAUCAACACAUCAGAAAUCGGUUCAGCAAAGUACAAGCUUCAUUUAGAAUCAUGCUUCUUCAACCCAAGCCCACCCUCCACCCGACACCACUAAGACGAUCAAAUCUAUGCUCGAACAGAUUCUCAAAGGUCAAGAGAAGCAAACAACAGAUUUUGAUCACAAACUGGUUGCAUUAUCCGACAAUAUGAAUAGGAAGAUUCAAAUAUUGAACAAUCGGAUCGAGCAAUUAACUACAAACAAAGAAGAUGUUCGUGCUAUUAAGUUAAAGAGUGGAAAACAGCUAAAUCCAGUGCUUCAACGAGAGCUUCCUACAACCAAAAUCGUUAAUUUGGAAGAAAAUGAUGUUGCAGUUUUUGCAGACCAGACACAAGUGUCGACCGACACAGCUGGGUGUCGAUCGACACCAGCCACGACAGACACUACAGAACGCGACAGUGUCGACCGACACCAACAGGGUGUCGAUCGACACCAACCCUGCCCAAACCUGCGAAUUCUCCAAAACCCGAUUUCAGCUGCGGCAAAGGUAACCAAACCCAAGGUUCCUUUUCCCAAGAGUCCUAGGAAUUCCAUACAGGAGCUUGAUGAUGCUAGAUGCAAAGCUAUGAUGGAUAAGUUGAUUGUAGAGAUGCCACUCAUAGAUGCUGUGAAGUCUUCUCCUAUGGUCAGACAGUUUGUGAGGAGGAUGGUUACUAAGGAUUUGCUUAUUGAGAAAGCUGUGAUGACGAUGUCUACACAGGUUAGCGACAUUAUUCAGAACAAGACUCCACAUAAACUUCCAGAUUCAGGUAGCUUUGUUCUCAAUUGUGGUAUCCUUAACGAGAGUUUUGAGCGAUGCUUGUGCGAUCUUGGUUCUAGUGUCAACUUGAUGCCACGUUCAGUUGCGCUUCAGCUUGGUUUGACAGAUUUAGAGCCUACACAAAUCACUCUUGUUCUUGCUGAUCGAUCUGUUCGUAGACCUGAUGGUAUCCUAUGCGAUGUCCUUGUACAAGUCGGUACUAGCUACAUUCCUACAGAUUUUGUGGUUUUAUCUUAUGAGAAAGAACCUAAAGAUCCUCUAAUCUUGGGAAGACCUUUCUUAGCCACAACUGGUGCCAUUAUUGAUGUAAGGAAGGGCAGAAUAGGAUUAAAUGUAGGUGAUCUUACAAUGCAGUUUGACAUGAAUAAGGUGGUUAAGAAGCCUACCAUCGAUGGACAGACUUUCUAUGUGGAUACUAUCUCUUCUCUGGCUAACGAAUUUCUCAUGAAGAUGACACCUACUGAUCCUUUGAAGCAUGCUCUGAUUCCCUCAAUUGACAAAGUUCCCAACGGGUAUAGUAAGCUGCUGGAUAGGACUGAGCAUGUGAUGCAAUUGGUUGCUCAAGAGGAGUUAAUUUGCACAUCUACAAAAGCAGCAAUAGUUGGUGACGUGAGCCCAGAAAAAGCUCCUAAAGUAGUUGAUCUAAAACCAUUUCCUGCAGGGCUAAGGUACGCAUUUCUUGGUGCAAAUUCUACUUACCCAGUCAUUGUUAAUGCUUCUUUAAACACCGCAAAGCUCACUUUAUUGCUAACCAAGCUGCACAAGUAUCGCAAAGCUCUUGGCUAUUCUCUUGAUGAUAUUAUAGGUAUCUCUCCAGACUUGUAUAUGCAUAUGAUUCACCUCAAGGAUGAGUCUAAGCCCUCAGUUAAGCAAUAGAGAAGACUAAACCCAAAUCUGAAAGAUGUUGUUAAGAAGGAGAUAAUGAAACUGUUGGAAGCUGGGAUCAUCUAACCAAUUUCAGAUAGUGAUUGGGUUAGUCCAGUGCAUGUGGUUCCUAAGAAAGGAGGUGUUACAGUGGUUAAGAAUGACAAGAAUGAGUUGAUUCCUACACGGAUAGUUACGAGCCACAAGAUGUGUAUUGACUACAUGAAGCUGAACAGUGCAACAAAGAAGGAUCAUUUUCCUCUACCAUUCAUUGAUCAAAUGUUGGAAAGGUUAGCUAAUCACAAGUACUAUUGCUUUCUUGAUGGAUACUCAGAAUUCUUUUAUAUACCAACCCAUCCAGAUGAUGAGGAGAAGACUGCAUUCACGUGUCCGUAUGGUACUUUCGCAUAUCGCAAAAUGCCAUUUGGUCUAUGCAAUGCUCCUGCGACAUUUGCGAGAUGUAUGAUGUCAAUCUUGACAAACAUGAUUGAGGAUUUCAUGGAAGUCUUUAUGGAUAACUUUUAUGUUUAUGGGUCUUCAUUGGGUUGCCUGAAUUUUCAGCCCUAUACUAGUUGCAAUCUCAACUUUCCACCCUAAACUUUUAGCCACUUCAAAAACCACCAUAAAAAACUUUGUUCUCGAUAAAACUACACGUACUUUCAGAUUUGUUCUAAAAACUACGCCUCCAAUUGAACCGAUCUGUUAAACGAUAAUUAUACAUCUGGUUUGUUUUACCCAGAAUUUAACCAAAAGUAAUUCGAUUUUGACUCUAUUUUAACCCAAUUUUGACCUAAAAAUAUAAAUAAAUUGUGUUUUUAAGAAGAAAAAGUAUUUUUAUUAAUUUUUGUUAAUUUUUAUUUGUGAUAAACAUUUAAAAAUAUUAAAUUAUAACUAAUUUUUAGCAAAACUUAAUAUGACAAAAUAUAGCCCAAAUUCUAUUUUGAGCUAUAUUUUGUUAUAAAUUUUUGAUAAUAUACAAACAUGUAAAUUUUCAUUUUGGCACCAUAAUAUAUAUAUAUAUAUAUAUAUGUAUUUAUAUAUCCGUAAUAAAAACAUAUACCGAAUAUAUAUACACCAUAAUAUAUAUAUAUAUGUAUUUAUAUAUCCGUAAACACCACAAUCAAAGUAUAUAUUAUGGUAUUUAUAAAUUUAUUUUUCUUUACAGAUUCUGUUUUCUUUUUUUAUAUUCAAGAGAAGUUAGAUAUGUAUAUAUAUAUAUAUUAUGGUGUAUAUAUAUUCGGUAUAUGUUUUUAUUACCAAAAUAUAUACUAAAAUUAUAUUAUAUAAAACAUUUAAUUAUAUAAUUUUGUGUGGUAUAUUUUGUUAUAUUAUUAUUUGUUAAAAUUUAUUUCUUUAUUAUUUUUAAGUUUUUAUCAAAAAAAAAAAAAGUUUUGUUUUAGAGAAAAUAUUUUUUGGGUCAAAAUUGGGUUAAAAUAGAGUCAAAAUCGAAUUUCUGGAAAAGUAAAACCGGAGGAAUUUCAAUCGGUUGAUUGAUCGGUUCAAUUGGAACCGUAGGUUUAAGAACAAAUCCGAAAGUAUAUGUAGGUUUAUCGAGUGUAAAGUAUUUUUUGGUUGUCUUUCAAGUGCCAAAAAGUUUGGGGUGGAAAGCUGAGAUUAUAACUACUAUAGGGCUGAAAUUUCAGGCAACCUGUCUUCAUUUGAAGCAUGCUUGGAGAACCUUUGCAAGGUUCUGGCUAGAUGUGAAGAGAAGAAUUUGGUUCUUAAUUGGGAGAAGUGUCAUUUCAUGGUAGGUAUAGUUCUUGGUCACAAAGUUUCAGCUGCUGGUAUUGAGGUUGAUAAAGCCAAGAUAGAGGUUAUGACAAGUUUACAUGCACAAAAUAGCGUGAAAUCUGUGAAGAGAUUUCUUGGACAUGUUGGAUUUUACAGGAGGUUUGUCAAGGAUUUCAGUAAGAUUGUCGAGCCACUAACAGCUUUGCUUCGUAAGGAUGUGAAGUUUGACUUCAACUCUGAGUUUCAUGCUGCUUUUAAUAAGAUUAAGGAGGCCUUGGUGAGUGCUCCAAUAGUUCAAGCUCCGGACUAGAAUUUACCUUUUGUGAUGAUUCAAGCGAUUCUGCAGUUGGAGCUGUUUUGGGACAGAGGAAAGGCAAUAAACUUCACGUUAUCCACUAUGCUAGUAGAACACUUGAUGAUGCACAACGGAAUUAUGCGACAACAAAGAAAGAAUUGUUAGCUGUGGUUUUUGCUUUUGAGAAGUGAUAUAACCCUAUUUUUACUACUUUUAGCUAUGAUAUAGGUAUAAGGAAAGUAAAGGUGUAUUUUCUCCCAGGCACAAUUCUUGAGAGACCACCUUCGCAAUUGGUUUCUGGCACCGGUAGAGCCCUUGCUCAUCGGCGCUGGGAUCUCUCUCUCUUUAAUCGAUCUUCUCUCACCCUUCUUCCCUUAUGGUUCUAUCUCUUGCUUUGGUUUUCUUUUCACUCCUUUCAGAAACUCUACCUAAUAUCCAAACUCUUCUCCAGCGAUAAAUCUGAACUCUUAUCUCCAUUGACCGUCAGAUCCCUUAGCUCUCACCCUUUCGCGAUUCUCGCAGGUCAAGUCACUCACCGUUCCUCCUCACAAGCUGCUUCUCCAUCAUCCUCGUCAUGGAAUUCAGAUCCCUUCAUCAAGUGUUCUACUCGGUUGUGGCGGGACCAGAGGCUCGAGUUGUCACUUGAACCGCUGAAUCUUAGUUCGGCGGAAGAAUCAACCAAAGUAGACGUUUUAUCUUGUUCAGCAGCAGCUACAACUCGGUUAGCUUUUGUCACUAUUCUUUUGGUUUGGCUUCUUAGCAUCAUCUCCGAUCUGCCGCCGUUGCCAUUGAACAACACAAAGAAGGAGCUAAACCUAAUGUUGCUUUGUCUCUCUCUUAAUGGGCCUAGCCGAAGAAGUUUCUGCUUUCCCUACAGCCCAAGACUAAUCCUAUCUCAGUCCAAGCUUAACUAAUGGGCUUAAGCCCUUAUUCUUUUUGGUCUUGGUUUGAUCUCUCAUUUCUCUUGCUUAGUCUAAUGCUAGAACUAUUCUAUUCGUUCACAGAAGGCAAUGGAGACCUUUUUGUUUCAAUAGCAAUGGUUUUAGCUUGGUCUUGUCAUUAUCAUUCUCGAAACCUACUAGAUAGAUUUGUUCGAUUGAUUUUUGUUGGAAGACUUUUGUCCUCCCAUUGCAAUAUGCCUGUUAGAGUAAAUAAGUCCGACAUUAUGAUCCCGCCUCUAUGGAGUAGGGAUUACCGACGCUUUUUCAACUCUCUUUCCCCAUUACCUCUGAUUACCGAGCUCUAUCACGCGACCAUCAUUUGUUUGGAUAAUUUGCAAACUUUUGUUAGUUUGGGAAGUCACGGCAUUAUGACCCCAUCUCCAAGAGGUGGUUACCGUAUCUCCUUCAAAUUGUUCUACCUUUUAGCAUCUCCCGUGGAGCACCUUCUCAAAGGCUCAUAUGCAUUGUUUGCAAUAACCGUCUAUGACCACAAGUUGGUCGAAGAUCUCGCGAAGCCCGUCUUCAUGGUCGAAUCCGCCAAGGGCUCAAUAGAUUUUUCAAACCUUGUAAACUUUUUUAAAAGUGAACACCUCUUUGCAAAACUCAUGAAGCCUAUAUCUUUAUUUCCUUGUUCUAUCCUAUUUGUAAUUUGUAUGAACUUCCCUCUUUUGAGGCUUAAGUGAAUGGAAAUUAUUGUUUGACAAAAAAAAAAAGCUAUGAUUUAGGCAUUAGCUUUAGAGUCUAUUUGUUAUUUCGAGAGUCUUUUCUAGUCUUUUUCAGGUUAUUACAUGUUUGGGAUUCAUUUGGAGAUAAUGGAGCAUUCUGGAGGAAAACGGAAAAUAUAUGCUGCUAAAAAAAUCCUGAGACUAAAAACCGCGUAGGUGUCAAACAACACCACCCCUGGUGUCGAGCGACACCAAUACCUGACGGCACUUCAAAGACGAAACUUAUUGAUAUUUUGAAGAUUUCCAAAUCCGGCUCAGAAUCUUUGUACUAUUUUUAAUCAAUUCCCAUCACGUUUUUAAGACAUAUAUAGUUUUUAGGUCAAUGUUUAGACCCUAAGCUUGGAGAGGCUAUUCUCCUUUUCUCUUUUGUUCUUGGGAGCCAAAACCUUGUGGAGACUCCAUUUUGAGAAGAUCUUUCUAAAUUGUAUUCUCUUAUCGUUUCUUACUUUGAUUUCUACUUUAUACAUGUUUUGUUCUUUCAUAAUCAUGUCUAAGUAGGUGUCUUGGUUGGUUUAGGGAUUCUCAAUUAGAGAUUUGGAUGAAUUAGUAGAUCGAAAACCCAGUUAAGAUAAUAUAUUUAGAAUUCUUCAUCUUAGAUUGUUCUUAAUGCUAGUUUUAGAGUAACUAACUAGAACUUGAUUUUAGGAUAAUAGGUAUACCCACCAUAGGUAUCUAUUACUGAAACUAUCUUAGAUGAGCCUAGUAUUUAAAUGCGUGCUAGCGUCGAUUACUUAGGUGAACUUAUCAAACCUGAUUAUAAUGCUUGCUUAGUUCUAGGGAUUUACAAGAGAGCUGGGAUCAAUACUAUUAAGCAUAGUGAGUAGCACGGCACACCACUGGUUACAUUAUAUUAGUGAUUUGUGUUCUAGAAUGGUUCGAUAAUAUUCGUAAUUUACUUCUAGAUCUACUAUUCUGAUAUUUUCAGAGAAUUUUCCUAAACCCGAUAUCUGCAUCAUUUGAAUAUACACCCAAACUCGUUUAUUGCUUUCUUGUCUUUUAUUUUAUAAUCUAUUUGUUUAGCUUAAUUCAAAACCUUAGUCUAUUAUGUGAACUGAGAGUUUUGUGGAAUUCGACCCUAAAGUAAUACAAUCGAUCUCUUAUUUCAGAGAGUGGUCUUAGGACUAAUUUGACCCAUAUCAAAUUUGGCGCCGUUGGCGAAGUUCUCUACGAUUCACUAUUAGAUUAGGAUUAGAAUUUGGUUUAAGCUUUUAUUUUUCUUUUUCUUUUUAUUUACUUAGUCUUUCUCUUUUCUUUUCUUGUGUUUUUCAGGUGUUUGUCUAAUCACAGAACCAGGAGCAAGCGAGAAACAUGAGAGAGAGUAAGAUUGGUGGGAUCAUGGCUAAGCUUAAUGUGGUCACAAUAAACUUGUGGAGGAUGUCGAUUAUGUUCGUAGCAGAGGUUUUCCGAAUCAGAGAUUUGAUCACCAACAAGGCUAUAGAGGUUCCUAUGGGAAUGGUCCAACUAGCUACACUCAGAAUUCUCAGUUCCAACAACCGCUUCAGAAUAGCAAUAGUUUCAGCUUCACAAAGAACUAUGAUCUUGCUUCUUACCAACCCCCACCCUCCACCCGCACCUAGAAGCAAGAUAUAAUCAUUGCUGGAACAGAUUCUGGAUGGUCAACAGUGGAUCUUAGAGAGACCUACCCCUAGAUGGAAUGAGAGCAGCCUCAGCACUUCUUGGGAUGCUGUUUCAAUGGAAAGUGAGUAUGAGUUAGUGAAGAUUGAGGGGAGUGACGAUUUUGAAGUUGCAGAGGCAGUGUCGAACGAUACCAACCCUUGGUGUCGAUCGACACCAUCACAUAUAUACGAGACAUCGGGUUGUGACAAAGCAAAAUGGAACAGGCUCGACAUUGAUCUCCAGAAUCGCUCAACACACAUUGAUAGUGUCGAUCGACACCACCAGUACCAAGCUGAGGAAGUGUUGACGUUUCACGGAGCAGAAUCGACCGAGAUUGACAGAGUAGGAUCGAUACCAGAUAGUAGUGUCGACGACACUCACCUGGUGUCGAUCGACACUUGAUGCAAACUGCACCAAUCAGCCUUGACUUUCCACCUGUUGUUAAACUAGUCUACACACCUGAAAUUCCUUCUUCAUUGCCUCAACAGUAUAUGCAAGGGAUUCAAAAGGACCACUACAAGCUUCCAUAGCAUAAGGAGAACAACACGAAGACAAAUAUUGUCUUAGAACAGAUUACAGCGCUGAAUUAUUAACAUGCUAAGGAAACUCGAGUUGUAGCACGAGUGUCGAUUACCACUCGCGUCGAUCGACACACAUCACUAGUUGAAGCAGAGUUAUCUCUGAUAGCUACUUUUCAAGCUGGGAUCACUUCUAUCAGUCCAGGCACUACUGUCACGUCACACAUUGCACCUCUCAUACUUCAUCCAACUCCUAAACGGCUAAGGUAUUCAUCUCCUCCUCCAAAACCUCCAUAUAUCAUCAAUAAGACUUUAAAAUUUCCAAAAAUUGUUUUACGGUUAAGCAAGCCACGAGUUUCUCUUCGAGCGCUUGUUCUUUCUUUUGAUGAUUGUGCUGGUAAAAGGAGUAUUCCACCCAUACCUGAGUCCCACCAUGCUGAUGCUCCUCUCUUCCUAGAUAGAGCUCAUACACUACUUGCUUAUACACCAGCAUGGAUAAUGAGAGGUCUUUCUCCGCGAUAUUUACUGCCACCAACUGAUCCACUUGAUCCUCAUAUUCCAUCAAAGUCAAGCUAUUGACUAUAAACAAGCGCUUAGUGGGAGGCAACCCACAUGUAUGAUUUUAUUUUAUUUCAUUUUUCUUUUAUUUUACGUUUUCCUUUUAUUUUUCUUGCUUACUCCGGAUUUGAAUGCCACUGGGGACAGUGACGUUUAAGUCUGAGGGAGGCAGUUAGUAAGUACAUUUUUCUUUUUGAGUCUUAUGCUUACUCUUAUUUUUCUUAUUUUUGAGUCGUUUUAUUGAGUCAAAAUUUUGUUGGGAAUAAUGAUCUCUAUUCUUUAGUUUAUUGCCUGGUUGAUUAAUGCUGCAGGUUCGACUCAGUCCGACUAUUGGAAAAUCCAGAUGGCAAACCGACAAACUUGAGGAUAUCCUGGUUUCCAACACAAUCCACUAAGGCUGGAGCUAAUCUCAUUGCUCUUCCUUUUACCUCGUCAAAACGGUUACUCUUCAUAGAACUUUACUCCUUGUUCAUACUUGAUACUGAGACCAAUGUGAAAAAGAAAAGUAUUCCUCUCCCCUUAUAAAAAAAGAAGCAAGAGAUUGAUAUGAUUUUCGGUAGUAUAUAGGGGUAGAAAUGUUUACAAUGACCCCAUUAUUAUACAUUAUUAUGAAUGAUUAAUUACAAAGGUUGGAAAUAUGCCUAGGGUGUCGAUCCAGUAUGCGAGUUCCCCUUUGUUUACUCUUAAAAAAGAAUAAGUCUAGGAGAGAAAGAAUACGAAAGAAAAAAAUAAUAUACAAAGAAUGGUCGAUUUAUCAAGGUAUAGUAAAGGAAUGAGUUUAGAAGGUUCUUGAAUAUUAGUUUGCUUGAUGAGACCCAGCGAUAAAGCCUGGUGGAUAUAGUUGUGGAAUUUAGGUAUGGUAUCUAGAAUGUUGGGUAAGCUUGCGGAGAAGUACGUGUUAGUUAGGAUUUGAUUAGAACUGCUAAGCAUAUGGAUUUGAUUAGAAUGAUCUAGGCAAUAGACUAGAGAAUGUUGUGAGUUCCUUUGUUUUUCAAACCUCUUCCACGGGUUCGGCUUUUGUGUUUUACUUGAGAGCAAGCAAAAGCUAAGUUUGGGUGAGUUGAUAUAAACCUAUCUUUUACUGCUUUUAGCUAAGAUUUAGGUAUUAGUUUUAGAGUUUAUUUGUUAUUUCUAAAGUCUUUUCUACUCCUUUUCAGGUUAUUACAUGUUUGGGAUUCAUUUGGAGAUAAUGGAGCAUUCUAGAGGAAAGAAGAGAAUAUAUGUUGUUGAAGAAAUCCGGAGACUAAAAACCGCGUAGGUGUCGAACGACAUCACCCCUGGUGUCGAGCGACACCAAUACCUGACGGCAAUUUGAAGACGUAACUUAUUGAUGUUUUGAAGAUUUCCAAAUUCUGCCUAAAACUUUCUCCUAUUUAUAAUCAAGGCCCAAUACGUUUUUAAGACAUAUAUAUAUAUAGCUUUUAGCCACUUCAAAAACCAAUAUAAAAAACUUUGAUCUCGAUAAAACUACACGUACUUUCAGAUUUGUUCUAAAACCUACGCCUCCAAUUGAAUCGUUCAGUUAACCGAUAAUUAUACAUCCGGUUUGAUUUACCCCGAAUUUAACCAAAAUUAAUCCGAUUUUGACUCUAUUUUAACCCAAUUUUGACUCUAUUUUAACCCAAUUUUGACCUAAAAAUGUAAAUAAAUUGUGUUUUUUAGAAGAAAAAGUAUUUUUAUUGAUUUUUAUUUGUAAUAAACAAUUAAAAAUAAUAAACUAUAACUUAUUUUUAGCGAAACUUAAUAUGACAAAAUAUAGCCCAAAUUCUAUUUUGAGCUAUAUUUUGUUAUAAAUUUUUGAUAAUUUACAAACAUAUAAAUUUUCCUUUUGGCAAUCAAAUUUUUUUAAUAAAUUUAAAGCUAUGUCUUUUUAUGAAACAAAAUAUUCAUUUUUCUGGCAAUCAUUUGACCUUUGAAAUUUAUAUAUAAUGAAAUUCAAUAUAAGCCAAAUUCAUAUAUAUAUAUAUAUAUAUAUAUGUAUUUAUAUAUCCAUAAAUACCACAAUAAAAGUAUAUAUUAUGGUAUUUAUAAAUUUAUUUUUCUUUACAGAUUCUAUUUUCUUUUUAUAUAUUCAACAGAAGUUAUAUAUGUAUAUAUAUAUAUAUUAUGGUGUAUAUAUAUUCGGUAUAUGUUUUUAUUACCAAAAUAUAUACUAAAAUUAUAUUAUAGAAAACAUUUAAUUAUAUAAUUUUGUGUGGUAUAUUUUGUUAUAUUAUUAUUUGGUAAAAUUUAUUUAUUUAUUAUUUUUAAGUUUUAAUAAAAAAAUAAUAAAAAAAAAGUUUUGUUUUAGAGAAAAUAUUUUUUGGGUCAAAAUUGGGUUAAAAUAGAGUCAAAAUCGAAUUUCUGGAAAAGUCAAACCGGAGGAAUUUCAAUCGGUUGUUUGAUCGGUUCAAUUGGAACCGUAGUUUUAAGAACAAAUCCGAAAGUACAUGUAGGUUUAUCAAGUUUAAAGUUUUUUUUGGUGGUUUUUCAAGUGCCAAAAAGUUUGGGGUGGAAAGCUGAGAUUAUAACUAGUAUAGGGCUGAAACUUCAGGCAACCUGUCUUCAUUUGAAGCAUGCUUGGAGAACCUUUGCAAGGUUCUGGCUAGAUGUGAAGAGAAGAAUUUGGUUCUUAAUUGGGAGAAGUGUCAUUUCAUGGUAGGUAUAGUUCUUGGUCACAAAGUUUCAGCUGCUGGUAUUGAGGUUGAUAAAGCCAAGAUAGAGGUUAUGACAAAUUUACAUGCACAAAAUAUCGUGAAAUCUGUGAAGAGAUUUCUUGGACAUGUUGGAUUUUACAGGAGGUUUGUCAAGGAUUUCAGUAAGAUUGUCGGGCCACUAACAGCUUUGCUUCGUAAGGAUGUGAAGUUUGACUUCAAUUCUGAGUUUCAUGCUGCUUUUAAUCAGAUUAAGUAAGCCUUAGUGAGUGCUCCAAUAGUUCAAGCUACGGACUGGAAUUUAUCUUUUGUGAUGAUGCAAGCGAUUCUGCAGUUGGAGCUGUUUUGAGACAGAGGAAAGGCAAUAAACUUCACGUCAUCCACUAUGCUAGUAGAACACUUGAUGAUGCACAACGAAUUAUGCGACAACAGAGAAAGAAUUGUUAGCUGUGGUUUUUGCUUUUGAGAAGUGAUAUAACCCUAUUUUUACUACUUUUAGCUAUGAUAUAGGUAUAAAGAAAGUAAAGAUGUAUUUUCUCCCAAGCACAUUUCUCGAGAGACCACCUUCGCAAUUGGUUUCCGGCACCGGUAGACCCCUUGCUCAUCGGCGCUGGGAUCUCUCUCUCUUUAAUCGAUCUUCUCUCACGCUUCUUCCCUUAUGGUUCUAUCUCUUGCUUUGGUUUUCUUUUCACUCCUUUCAGAAACUCUCCCUAAUAUCCAAACUCUUGUCCGGCGACGAACCUGAACUCUUAUCUCCAUUGGCCGUCAGAUCCCUUAGCUCUCACCCUUUCGCGAUUCUCGCAGAUCGAGUCACUCACCGUUCCGCCUCGCAAGCUGCUUCUCCAUCCUCCUCGCAAGCUGCUUCUCCAUCCUCCUCGUCAUGGAAUUCUUUAUCAAGUGUUCUACUCGGUUGUGGCGGAACCAGAGGCUCGAGUUGUCGCUGGAACCGAUGAAUCUUAGUUCGGCGGAACAAUCAACCAAAGUAGACGUUUUAUCUUGUUCAGCAGCAGCUACAACUCGGUUAGCUUUUGUCACUAUUCUUCUGGUUUGGCUUCUUAGCAUCAUCUCCAAUCUGCCGCUGUUGCCAUUGAACUACACGAAGAAGGAGCUAAACCUAAUGUUGCUUUGUCUCUCUCUUAAUGGGCCUAGCCCAAGAAGUUUCUUCUUUCCCUGAAGCCCAAGACGAAUCCUAUCUCAGCCCAAGUUUAAACUAAUGGGCUUAAGCCCUUAUUCUUUUUGGUCCUGGUUUGAUCUCUCAUUUCUCUUGCUUAGUCUAAUGCUAGAACUAUUCUACUCGUUCACGGAAGGCAAUGGACACCUUUUUGUUUCAAUAGCAAUGGUUUUAGCUUGGUCUUGUCAUUAUCAUUCUCGAAACCUACUAGAUAGAUUUUUUCGAUUGAUUUUUGUUGGAAGACUUUUUUCCUCCCAAUGCAAUACGCCUGUUAGAGUAAAUAAGUCCGACAUUAUGAUCCCGCCUCUAUGGAGUAGGGAUUACUGACGCUUUUUCAACUCUCUUUCCCCAUUACCUCUGAUUACCAAGCUCUAUCACGCGACCAUCAUUUGUUUGGAUAAUUUGCAAACUUUUGUUAGUUUGGGAAGUCACGGCAUUAUGACCCCAUCUCCAAGAGGUGGUUACCGUAUCUCCUUCAAAUUGUUCUACCUUUUAGCAUCUCCCGUGGAGCACCUUCUCAAAGGCUCAUAUGCAUUAUUUGCAAUAGCCGUUUAUGACCACAAGUUGGUCGAAGAUAUCGCGAAGCCCGUCUUCAUGGUCGAGCGACACCAAUACCUGACGGCAUUUCAAAGACGAAAUUUAUUGAUAUUUUGAAGAUUUCCAAAUUCGGCUCAGAACUAUCUCCUAUUUUUAAUCAAGGCCCAUCACGUUUUUAAGACAUAUAUAUAGUUUUUAGGUCAAUGUUUAGACCCUAAGCUUGGAGAGGCUAUUCUCCUUUUCUCUUUUGUUUUUGGGAGCCAAAACCUUGUGGAGACUCCCUUUUGAGAAGAUCUUUCUAAACUCUAUUCUCUUAUCGUUUCUUACUUUGAUUUCUACUUUAUACAUGUUUUGUUCUUUCAUAAUCAUGUCUAAGUAGUUCUCUUGGUUGGUUUAGGGAUUCUUAGUUAGAGAUUUGGAUGAAUUAGUAGAUCGAAAACCCAGUUAAGAUAAUAUAUUUAGAAUUCUUCAUCUUAGAUUGUUCUUAAUGCUAGUUUUAGAGUAACUAACUAGAACUUGAUUUUAGGAUAAUAGGUUUACCCACCAUAGGUAUCUAUUACUGAAACUAUCUUAGAUGAGCUUUAAAUGCGUGCUAGCGUCGAUUACUUAGGUGAACUUAUCAAACUUGAUUAUAAUGCUUGCUUAGUUCUAGGGAUUUACAAGAGAGUUGAGAUCAAUACUAUUAAGCAUAGUGAGUAGCACGGCACACCCCCAGUUACAUUAUAUUAGUGAUUUGUGUUUUAGAAUAGUUCGAUAAUAUUCAUAAUUUACUGCUAGAUCUACUAUUCUGAUAUUUUUUGAGAAUUUUCCUAAACCCGACGCCUUAAUAAUCUUAAUCUACAACCAAUCUGUUUAUUGCUUUCUUGUCUUUUACUUUUAUAAUAUUUUCUGUUUAGCUUUAUUCGAAACUAUUAGUUUAUUGUAUGAUCCGAGAACUUUAUAGAAUUCGAUCCCUAAAUGCUAUAACAACCUCUGUAUUUGAGAGAGUAGUCAUUAGGGUAAUUUGACUCAUAUCACUGAACUCCCAGAACAUCCUCAUGUUGUAUCCCUCUUUUUUUUUGGUUAAAAUUGUAUAACUCAAUAACUUUUAGACCAUGAGGUCAAACUUGGCAUGUAAUACCUUUUUGGAAAGCCCAAAGAGAUCCGUCCGACGAAAGAAGCAGGAAAAUGGGUCGAGGUACCAUUUUUUUUUACUCCAAAUUUUGACGUUUAGGUAAUUUUUCUGAUUUUCCCGUGAUCUGUGCUAUAUUCAGGGCCCAAAAUAUUUUGUUCCAACAUUGUUUUUAAAUAUUUUUGAUGUAUCAAACCUCGUUAAAACUAGGUGGGGUAUCUCUAUGUAGUGGCUGGGAGCCACGACAAAUUGUUCAUAGUCUUCAAAAAAGGAUAAAUACAAUUGCACAGCAUGAACUAACCGAUGCGAUUAUACCAGCACUAAGGCACCAGAUUCCAUGAGAACGUCGCACCUAAGCGUGCUUGAACGAUAGUAGUAUUAGGAUGGGUGACCUCCCAGGAAGUCUUUGUGUUGUAUCCCUUUUUUUUUGGUUAAGAUUAUAUGAUUCUAUUACUUGUAGACCAUGAAGCAAAACAUGACAUUUGAUACCUUUUUGGAAAGCCCAAAGAGAACCCUCCGACGAAAGAAGCAGGAAAAUGGGUCGAGGUAUCAUUGUUUUUUUUUUACUCCAAAUUUUGACUUUUAGGUACUUUUUCUAGUAUUUUAAUGAUCUGUGCUAUAUUACCAGCCCAAAAUUAUUUGUGAAGACGUUGUUUUUGAAUGUUUUUCAUCUAUAAAAAUUCGUUAAAAUUAGAUGAGGUAUCCCUACGUAGCGGGAGAGACCCACGACGAAUUGUUCCUAAAGUCUUCAAAAAAGGAUAAAUACGAUUGCAUUGCAUGAACUAACGGAUGCGAUCAUACCAGCAUUAAUGCACCAUGUCCCAGGAGAACUCUGUAGCUAAGCGUGCUUGGGCGAGAGUAGUACUUAGGUGGGUGACCUCCUGGGAAGUCCUCGUGUUGCAUCCCUCUUUGUUUUUUUUUUGUUAAAGCUGUAUGACUUUAUAACUUUAUGACCAUGAGGCCAAACUUGCCGUGUGAUACCCCUCCAACGAAAGAAUCAAGACAAUGGGUCGAGGUAUCAUUGUUUUUUUUAACUCCAAAUUUUGACCUUUCGGUAUUUUUCGGGUCUUUGCAUUAUCUGUGUUAUAUUACAGGCCCAAAAUAUUUUAUUUAGACAUUGUGUUUGAAUUUUUUUCAUGUGUUCAAGCUCGUUAAGACUAGAUGGGGUAUACCAACGUAGCGGAUGGGACCUACGGCGAAUGGUUCCUAGAAUUUUCCAAAAAAGAUAAAUACGAUUGCAUUGCAUGAAUUAACGGAUGCGAUCAUACCAGCAUUAAUGCACCGGAUCCCAUUAGAACUCCGCAGCUAAGCGUGCUUGGCUGAGAGUAGUACUAGGAUGGGUGACUCCUAUGAAGUCCUCGUGCAGCUUCCCUCUUUUUUUUUUUUUGGUUAAAACUAUAUGAAUCUAUAACUUUUAGACCAUGAGGCCAAACAUGACAUGUGAUAACUUUUUGGAAAGCCCAAUGAGAGCCAUCCAAUAUAAGAAGCAAGACAAUGGGUAAGAGUACCAUUCUCUUUUUUUUACCCCGAAUUUUGACCUUUAGGUACUCUUUUUAGGUCUUUCCAUGACCUUUACUAUAUUAGGGGCCCAAAAUUAUUUGUUCGAAAAUUUUUUAAAAAUAUUUUUCAGGUAUCAAAGCUCGUCAAAACUAGAUGGGGUAUCCUUACGUAGCGGGUGGAACCCACGGUGAAUGGUUUGUAGAGUCUUCAAAAAAGAAUAAAUAUUAUUGUAUUGAAUGAACUAACGGAUGCGAUCAUACUAGCACUAAUGCACCAGAUCCCAUAAAAACUUCGCAGCUAAGCAUUCUUGGGGGAGAGUAGUACUAGGAUGGGUGACCUCCUAGAAAGUCCUCGUGUUGCAUCCCUCUUUUCUUUUCUUUUUGAUUAAAACUUUGAGACUUUAUAACCUUUAGACCAUGAGGCCAAACUUGCCAUGUGAUACCGUUUGGAAAGCUCAAAGAGAUCCUUCCAACCAAAGAAGCAGGACAAUGGGUCAAGGUACAUCUAUUUUUUUUUUUCUCCAAAUUUUGACCUUUAGGUACUGUUUGGGGUGUGUCCGUGAUCUGUGGUAUAUUACGAGCCCAUCAGAACUCCGCAGCUAAGUGUUCUUGGGCGAGAGUAUUACUAGGAUGGGUGACCUCUCAGGAAGUCCUCGUGUUGCAUCCCUCAUUUUUUUUUCCGGUUAACACGAUAUGACUCUAUAUCGUUUAGACCAUGAGGCCAAACUUGGCAUGUGAUACCCUUUUGCAAACCCCAAAGAGAUCCCUCCGAUGAAAGAAGCAGGCCAAUGGGUCGAGGUACCAUUGUUCUUUUUUUUACUCCAAAUUUGUACCUUUAGGUACUUUUUUGGGUCUGUCCGUGAUCUGUGGUAUAUUACCCGCCCUAAAUUAUUUGUUCGGAUAUUGUUUUUGAAUAUUUUUCAUGUAUCAAAACUCGUUAAAACUAGUUGGGGUAUCCAUAUAUAGCGGCGGAACUCACGGCGAAUGGAUCCGAAAGUCUUCAAAAAAGGAUAAAUAUGAUUUUAUUGCAUGAACUAACGGAUGUGAUCAUAGCAGCACUAAUGCACCAGAUCCCAUCAGAACUGCGCAGCUAAGCGUGCUUGGGCAAGAGUAGUACUAGGAUGGGUGUCCUCCAAAGAACGCCUCGUGUUGCAUCCCUCUUUUUUUUUUUGGAAAAAAUUGUAUGACUCUAUAACUUUAAGACCAUGAGGCCAAACUUGGCAUAAGAUACAUUUUUGGAAAGGCCAAAGAGAGCCCUCCGACAAAAGAAGCAGGACAAUGGGUCGAAGUAUCAUUGUUUUUUUUUACUUAAAAUUUUGACUUUUAGGUACUUUUUGGGUGUUUCCGUGAUUUGUACUAUAUUACAGGCCCAAAAUAUUUUGUUCGGACAUUGUUUUUGAAAAAGUUUCAUGUAUCAAAGCAAAUUAAAACUAGAUGGGGUAUCCCUACGUAGCUUGUGGGAGCCACUGCAAAUGGUUCCCAUAGUCUUCAAAAAAUGAUUAAUAGAUUGCAUUGCAUUAACUAACAGAUGCGAUCAUACCAUCACUAACGGAUGCGAUCACACCAUCACUAAUGCACCAGAUUCCAUGAGAACUUCACAGCUAACCGUGCUUGGGUGGGAUUAGUAGUAGGAUGUGUGACCUCCCGGGAAGUCCUUGUGUUGCUUCCCUCUUUUUUUCUUUUUGGUUAAAACUGUAUGACUUUAUAACUUUUAGACCAUGAGGCCAAACUUGGCAUCUGAUACCUUUUCGGAAAGCCCAAUGAGAGCCAUCCUACAAAAGAAGAAGGACAAUGGGUAUGAGUACCAUUCAUUUUUUCUCCAAAUUUUGACCUUUAGGUACUUUUUAAGGUCUUUCCAUGAUCAAUGCUAUAUUACGGGCCAAAAUUAUUUGAUCAAACAUUGUUUUCGAAUAAUUUUCUUGUAUCAAAGCUCGUUAAAACUAGAUGGAUAUCCCUACAUAGCGGAUGGGACCCACGGUGAACGGUUCCAAGAGUCUUCAAAGAAGGAUAAAUACGAUUGCAUUGUAUGAACUAAUGGAUGCGAUCAUACCAGCACUAAUGCACCUAAUCCUAUCAGAACUACGUAGCUAAGCGUGCUUUUGUGAGAGUAGUACUAGGAUAAGUGACCUCCCUGGAAGUCCUCGUCUUGCAUUGCUCUUUUAUUUUUACUAGAUGAGUACCCGCACCACGUGCGGGCUUUCACUUUAUAUUUCGUAAUCUAAAAGUAUUUAAAUAUGAAAUUUAGGUUAGUUUUUUAAUAGGCAAGAAGACAGAAUUCCUAUUUGAUACUAAGCUCCAUAAAUCAUCAUUUUUUUUUUGCAUUUUGCAUUUAAAUUCCUAACAAAAUAUUUUCUUAGUAAACAUUAUUUUCAGAAUUGUUUUCAUUUGUAUCAACCUUAAACCAAAAAAAAAAAGACAAUAUGCGAAGAAGAUCGGAGUACCCGCUCUGAAAUUCAUGGUGGUAGUAUUUAAGUAGGAAAAUUAAGCAUUGAUAAUCGGGUUGUCGUUUCGUUUAAAUAAAAAGGGUUAUUAAGUUAUAGUAAAUAGGCAAAUAGAACCAAACCUUGAUAAGCCUUAUUAAUUUUUUGAAACAUAAAUGUAAAAUAAUUUUCUUCUUUUAAUUUUCAUUGUUGCCACUUUUGCAAAAACAAAACAAAAUAAUACGAAUUUCAUAACUGAAAAACUCUAUAACUGAGGAUUUGAGUCCAAGAAUUUAAUAUAUUAUAUAGAAAAAGAACAACCUAUGGAAACUAUUAGCUAAUCCACUAUAAAAUUAUUUAAUCAUAUUUUGACUUAAAAUGAUAAAAUUUAGGGGAAAAUAUCCAAGAGUAUGAGAAUCAAUUAAAUAAUUUAAUUUAAGAAAAAGACAUACAAAAUAAGAGAAAAUUAUUUUUGAUACAAUUAAUUAUGUAAACUUUUAUAAAAUAUACAAAUAAAUAAUAAAUUACCAUAAACCAUUAACUUACCUUAAUUAUUAAGUGGACAUGUAGCAAAAGCUAAGUGAUGAUGUGUCAUUCAUAUAAAGAGAGUUUGCCAACUUUCAUAUAUAUGAUUUUUGUGGUUAAAAUUGUAUGACUCUAUAACUUUAAGACCAUGAGGCCAAACUUGGCAUGUGAUACAUUUUCGCAACGCCCAAAGGGAGCCCUCCGACUAAAUAAGGAACAAUGGGUUGAGGUACAUUUUUUUUUCUUACUCCAAAUUUUGACCUUUAGGUGCUUUUUCGGGUCUGUCUGUGAUCUGUGCUAUAUUACAAGUCCAAAAUUAUUUGUUUGGACAUUCUUUUUGAAUAAUUUUCAUAUUUCAAAGCUCGUGAAAACUAGAUGGGGUAUCCCUACAUUGCAGAUGGGACCCACGCUGAAUGGUUCCAAGAGUCUUCAAAGAAGGAUAAACACGAUUGCAUUUUAUGAACUAAUGGAUGUGAUCAUACCAGCACUUAUGCAUCAGAUCCUAUCUGAACUGCACAACUAAGCGUGCUUUGGCGAGAGUGGUACUUGAGACCAUGAGGCCAAACUUGGCAUGAGGCCCUCUUUUUUUUUCUUUUGGUUAAUUUAUGACUCUAUAUCUUUUAGACCAUGAGACCAAACUUGGCAUGUAAUACUUUUUGGAAAGACUAGGGCGAACCCUCCAACGAAAGAAGCUGGAAAAUGGGUCGAGGUACCAUUCUUUUUUUUUUACUCCAAAUUUUGACUUUUAGGUAAUUUUUCGGAUUUUUCUAUGAUCUAUGCUAUAUUACCGGCCCAAAAUAUUUUGUUUUAAUAUUUUUUCUGAAUAUCUUUCUUGUAUCACAACUCGUUAAAAUUAGAUCGGGUAUCUUUAUGUAGCGGGUGGGACCAACUGCAAAUGGUUCAUAGAGUCUUCAAAAAAGGAUAAAUACGAUUGCAUUGCAUGAACCAACAUAUGCGAUCAAAACGUCGCAUCAGAAAGUCGCAGCUAAGCGUGCUUAAACGAGAGUUCUACUAGGAUGGGUGACUUCUCGGGAAGUCCUCAUGUUGCAUCCUUUUUCUUUUAUUUGGUUAAGAUUAUAUGACUCUAUUACUUUGACACCAUGAGGCCAAACUUUGCAUGUAAUACGUUUUCGGAAAGCCCAAAGAAAGCCCUCCGAUAAAAGAAUCAAAAAAAUGGGUUGAGCUACCAUUGUUGUUAAUUUUACUCCAACUUCUUAAUUUUACGUAAUUUUUGGGUCUUUCCGUAAUAUGUGGUAUAUUACGGGCCCAACAUUAUUUAUUCAGACAUUAAUUUUUAAGUUUUUCAUGUAUCAAAAUUCGUUAAAAUUAGAUGGGGUAUCCCUACAUAGCGGGAGAGACCCACUUCGAAUGGUUCCUAGAGUCUUCAAAAAAGAAUAAAUACAAUUGCAUUGCAUGAACUAACAGAUGCGAUCAUACCAGCACUAAUGCACCGAGUCCCUUUAGAACUUCGCAGCUAAUUUUGCUUGUGUAAGUUUAGUCCUAGGAUGGGUGACUUCCCGGGAAGUCCUCGUUUUGCAUCCCUUUUGUUUUGGCUAAAACUGUGUGACUCUAUAAUUUUUAGACCAUGAGGCCAAACUUGGCAUGUGAUACCUUAUCAGAAAUCACAAAGAGAACUGUCUAACGAAAGAAGCAAGACAAUGGGUCAAGGUACCAUUGCUUUUUUACUCCAAAUUUUGACCUUUACGUACUUUUUCGGGUCUUUCCUUGAUCUAUGUUGAAUUAAGGGCCCAAAAUUGAUUGUUCGGACAUUGUUUUUGAAUAUUUUUCAUGUUUCAAAGCUCCUUAAAACUAGAUGGGGUAUCCCUACAUAGCGGGUGAAACCCACAGCAAAUGGUUCCAAGAGUCUUCAAAAAUGAUAAAUAUGAUUGCAUUGCAUGAACUAAUGGAUGCGAUCAUACUAGCACUAAUGCAUCGGAUCCCAUCAAAACUACGCAGCUAAGCGUGCUUGGACGAGAGUAAUACUAGGAUGGGUAACCACCAGUGAAAUCCUCGUGUUACAUCACAUUUUUUGUUUUUUGGUUAAGACUUUAUGACUUUAUAACUUUUAGACCAUGAUGCCAAACUUGGCGUGUGAUACCUUUUCGGAAAGCCCAAAGAGAGUCCUCUGACGAAAGAAGCAGGAUAGUAGGUAAGAGUACCAUUGUUUUUUUUUACUCCAAGUUUUGACCUUUAGGUACGUUUCGGGUCUUUUCCGUUAUCUGUGCUAUAUUACGGGUCCAAAACUAUUUGUUUAGACAUUGUUUUUGAACAUUUUCAUGUAUCAAAGCUCGUUAAAACUAGAUGGGGUAUCCCUAUGUAGCGGGUGAGACCCACGGCGAAUGGUUUCUAUAGUUUUAAAAAAAGGAUAAAUAUGAUUGAAUUGCAUGAACCAAUGGAUACAAUCAUACAAUCACUAUUGCACCGGAUCCCAUUAGAACUCCGCAACAAAGCGUUCUUGGGUGAAAGUAGUACUAGAAUGGGUGACCUACCGGGAAGUCCUCGUGUUGCAUUCCUCAAUUUUAUUUUAUUUUUUGUUUAAACUGUAUGACUCUAAAACGUUUAAACCAUGAGGCCAAACUUGUCUUGUGAUACCUCUUCGGAAAGUCGAAAGGGAGCCCUCCGACGAAAGAAGCAGUACAAUUGGUUGAGGUACAUUGUUUUUUUUACUCCAAAUGUUAACCUUUAAGUACUUUUGGGGUCUGAUCUGUGAUCUGUGCAAUAUUAUGGGUCAAAACUUAUUUGUUCAGACAUUGUUUUUGAAUAAUGUUCAUGUAUCAAAGAUCGUUAAAACUACUAGAGUUUUCAAAAAAGGAUCAAUAUGAUUGCAUUGCAUGAACUAACGAAUACGAUCAUACUAUCCAUCAGAACUCUGCAUCUAAGAGUUCUUGGGCGAGAGUAGUACUAAUAUGGAUGACCUCUCGGGAAGUCGUCCUGUUCCAUUCCUCUUUGUUUUUUUUUGGUUAAAACUUUAUGACUAUAACUUUUAGAUGAUGAGGCCAAACUUGGCAUGUGAUACCUGUUGAGAAAGCCCAAAGGGAGCCUCCAACAAAAGCAGCAGGACAAUGGGUCGAGGUACAUUUUUUAGUUUUACUCCAAAUUUUACCCUAUAGGUUUUCUCGGGUGUUUCCUUGAUCUAUGCUAUAUUACGGGCCCAAAAUGUUUUGUUCGCACAUUGUUUUUGAAUAUUUUUCAUAUAUCAAAGCUCGUUAAAACUAGAUGGGGUAUCCCUAGGUAGCGGAUUGGACCGACGGUGAAUGGUUCCUAGAGUCUUCAAAAAGGAUAAAUACGAUUGCAUUGCAUGAACUAACAGAUACAAUCAUUCCAGCACUACGGGACCGAAUCCCAUCAGAACUCUAUAAUGACGAGAGUAGUACUAGGAGGUGACCUCCCGGGAAGUCCUCGUGUUGCAUUU